UUUUUUUUUUUUUUUUCUUUUCUAUAUAAGAUGCUAUGCCAAUAGCAUAGUACACUAAUUCACUCAUAAAAUCAUAGAGUUUCCAAUUUACCAAAACAUUAGAGCUCUUCCAUCUCACACAUACGAGUCAUCUUCAACAUGAAGGUAACCAUUUUAUUUUAAUUUGUUCUUAAACACAUAUGUAUAUGUACUAUUCCACAUUUUUUGCAAGUUUCGUGUUUUUUUUUAAUGCAAGUGAAAAGAACAAAUUAAUUAGUGUUUCCUAAAAGAGCUAAGAAACUAUGUGUUUUUUGUUUCUACAAUGCAGCAGAAGAUAUUGGUGAAGGUGCCAAUGCACUGUGACAAAUGCAGAACCAAGGCCUUGAAGAUUGCAGCAGCUGCACACGGUAUGCAUCCAUCGAUAUGAACAGAUCAAUCAAAAUUUCCUUCAACUCUUUCAUCACCAAUUAUGUCAGUUGAUUAGUAUUAAUGGAAUGAUUAUAUAUAAAGCAGGUGUGAGCAAAGUGUCCAUUGAAGGAGCAGACAAAGAUCACAUUGAGGUGAUUGGAGAUGGGGUUGAUUCUGUUUGCUUGACCAGAUUGUUAAGGAAGAAGCUUCGCUCCGCCACCAUUGUCAAAGUUGAAGAAGUGAAGGAAGCUAAAGCUGAUACGAAAGAGGAAAAGCCAACUCCACCAGUUCAAUGCAUAUCAUCAGCCAGCUAUUGUGCUCCGCAGUGUCCUUCAAUGUAUUAUGGAGUGGUUUGUGAAUAUCCAGAACCAAACAACUGCUCUAUCAUGUAAUUGUCCUUGACAUUUUAAUUCAAAUUUGAAGACCAGUCAUGUAAUUUUUUACUUGGCAUUUAAAUUUAAAUUCGAAGAUCAUUAUCAAAACCAAGACUAGCUAGAUCACAAGUUCAGAAAACAAAGAUAUACAAUAUCGAUCCAUUUCUUUUUAUUUUUUAGAUUUUGUUCGUGCUUGUGCCUUCUUCACGAAUAAUUUUUUAUUAGGAUUUAAAAAAUAAACGGUCUAAAUUACAAACUAUAAUGUUGAGUUCUCCAUAAAAAGUGGACGGCAUAAGAAAUUUUAAGUAUGAGAAGUGACACCUUAACUACUUGGUGCCUGAGGCUAGCCAAGAAUGAAUCAAUCAUAUGGGACAAUGUGUGGAAAACAAAGAUUGAGUGGGACGAUAUUUUGAGGGACAUAAUUCCAUGGAGGUGGUUUGGCAGUCAAGAAAGAAUCAAUCAUGUACACUUACCAUGAUCAUCUUGCAUUAUUUUAUAUGCAAAUAUUUGAAUAUCUCAUGUGACAUAUCCGCAUAUGUAAUAUAUGUUCCCCCACUGCAAUUAAGCAAAACAUUUUACCCAAAUUUACGAUAGUGCCACAUUAUUAAUUUAUGUGAAAGCAAAGGACUUGGACUUUUCUAUCAACGACAGCUAGGGGUUGUAAUAAUAAACUUGUAGUCAUGCAUAUUAGGUAUGCUUUUUUCAUCCAAAUAAAAUUAAAAAAAGGGUUUUCACAUUUGUGAAAUCUACUUUUACGCCUUCUUUUUUAUUACUAAAAGACCUUGACUUCACAAGAUAGAUUUUUACCAACUACAUGAAUCUUUAACCUUAAGGCAGUCAAAUCAAAAUGAGUUCUAAAGAUAAGAAAGAAAGAAAUGCAUGUACUUUCUGUAGUUUCAACAAAGUAGUCUAGAUUAUUUCUGCAGCGUAUAUAUAUCUAAUUUCAAAUUAAAGUAGAGAGCUUUUAAGCCUCCAACAAUUAUAUACAUAUAUGGGUAUUUCCAAUUCAUGUUGGCAAAAAUAGACUACUUAUAUAUAAUUUGAUUUUAGCUAAUUCGAUAUUAGAUGAAACAAUUUACAUAAGGAGUUGACUACGUAAUUAGCAUGAAAUUUUGUUUUUCUCGUAAUAUUGAAUGGAAAAAUAUACUUGACUCCUUAUAUGUAAUGCGUCCUUUCUUCUAGCAAACAAAUUAUAGUUUAACACAUCAACAUGGUCUAGUUCAGUGAAAAAGGGUAUUGACUUGCAGACUAGUGGUCUUAUGUUCGAUUUCCCUAUGACACAUUAGUAGUGUGUAUGAAAAACCUCCCUCCCUUUAUAAUUUAGAUUAUCACCUGUAUUUUGACAUUUAUUUUUUGUUGUGAUUUUAGUGAGUUACUCGGGUAUAUUAAAUAUCGUUUUCAAAUUCGUUACGUUGUAUAGAUUAAGAGGAUUAGCUGGAUAAGCGUGAUGGAUAGUUUUGAGUGGCCGAACCGUGUGAUGGUCAAAAGGUUUUGAUCCUUGAAAUUCAUUUGCUACUUGCUGGCGAUAUUGACUCAUUCUCUGGGUGUUGAGACUACUUAAUCACUGGAUAGAAUGCCAUUAAAAAUAAAUUAAUUAAAAGUUGUCAAACCCACUAGUAAUUAGGAACUGAUAAAUAUCUCUUAAUAAUAUAUUAGUUCCGUAUGAAUUCAAAUGCCACAACAAGGGAAAAUUAAAGCUACAGUGAUACGCAAUCAAAGUAUUCUAGCUUGUGGUAAAACAUUUAUAAUAAUAUAUAGAGAAAAGUAAGUAUUCUACGUUGACUGUCACCCUCUUGCUCCGUUGAUUCAGAGCUGUUGUGUUCUUAUAAGGCGUAUUAGUAACGGUCACUUUGCUCAUGUUUACAAAGAAAUGAAUUUUGUAGUUGAUUGUAUGACUAACUGGAGCAUUAACUUGGAUAUGGGGGUUUGUUAUUUGGAUGAGGCUCCUAUCGGGGUUAACUCUUUCUCGAUGGAUGAUUUCUUAAGGUGUUGUUAGGCUCACUUGAUCUGUAUUAGUUAGUUGUUGUUUCUUAUUGAGGUUUUGUCCCCCUUAUCUCAUUAAUAAUAAAAAAUAUAAGUGAGAAUGAGAUGUGUAUUCUUUUAUAAAAUAAAAAAUUAAAAUAAAGAAUACCAUUGGUCCAUUGGCAUGACUAAUUCUGCGAAACCGCGGUGCUUGACUGACUUUAUAAAAAGAAAACAAAAAUAAUUAUUGUUGCCAUAUGUAUAUGAACUUACAAUAGUAUAAGUACAGAUCACAGCAAGAGUUCUACUUUCAUAGAUUCAUAGAGUUUUCCAUCCCAAAAAUUCAAAGGUCUUCCAUUUUGUUUUGGUCAUACAUAUAUACCCUCCAACAUGAAGGUACAUUUUAUGCAAGUACGUUGCCUUCAUUUUCUUUUUUCAUGUAUGCAUAUAUUUAUGUGUUUGUUGUUUUGCAGCAAAAGAUAUUAGUGAAGGUGCAAAUGCACUGUGACAAAUGCAGAACCAAGGCGUUGAAGAUUGCAGCAUCUGCAUACGGUAUAUAUAUAUAUAUAUAUAUCCAUGAUCCAUCAAAAUUUCCUUCAACUUUUUCAGAUAUAUUAAUUGGAGUUGAUAACAUAAGCAGGUGUGAGCAAAGUGUCGAUAGAAGGAGCAAACAGGGAUCAUGUGGAGGUGAUCGGAGACGGUGUGGACUCGGUUUGCCUGACGGAGUUGCUAAGGAAGAAGCUUGGCUUCGCGGCCAUAGUUAAAGUUGAACAAGUGAAAGGAGAUAAAAGAGAGGAAAAGCCAACUGCAAACUAUAUUCAGUAUUGUGCUCCGCAGUGUCCUCCAAUGUACUGUGAAGUGGUUCGCGAAUAUCCAGAGCCAACUUGCUCUAUCAUGUAAUUGUCCUAGAAAGUUUUAUUUAAUUUCACGAUUAUAUCAAUUUAAUUACAGUAUUUUAAUUCAUGAUUGAAAAGUUGACUAUAUCUAUGUACAAAAUGGGCACAUCCACCUCAGCUAGUUUGCCAUUUCAUAUAUAUAUGGCGUAAGAUUCAAUCGAACAAAUUUGAAUUUACAUUUUUGCUGAUGCUAAAUGGAGCUGUUGCUUUCUGUAAGAAGUUCUGACCCACCCAACUUUAUGAAUAACCAAAGAGGGUAUAAUUUCACUACAAGAACAUAUUUUUUUAGUGAUGACACCAAUUUAAUUACCCGAACUUUUAAUUUUGAGUAUAAAGUUUUCACUUCAGGCUUAAAUAAGCUAUAAUAAGGUCAUAUUUAUAAUACAAGAAAGUUUUGUAGGCCAAAAAAAGUAAUAACUAUUAAUUUUAUUCACGGUAGGAAAUCAAAAAUAAAAGAAAACUAAUUACAACUAAUAUGGGAAUUCUUGAUGUGCAAGAAAACUCAUAAGUCACGCCAAGAAAGACUUUGACUUUGUUAUGAUAUAUAUAUGUUAUAUAUUAUAUUAUUUGUAUGUAGGAGAUGUAUAUUUAAUGACAGCUAGUGCAGGUUGGAAUAACAAACUUGUAGUCAUGGAUAUUAGGUAUGCUUUCUCAUCCAAAAUCUGCUUUUUACGAGUUGUUAUAGAUUACUAAAAGACUUUGACUUCGCUGUUCCAAUGUAAAUUAUAUAAAAGAUAUAAUCACCAUGACGAGAAUUAAUUAGUUUCAUAAACAUGUAUGAACCACUUAAAUAAGUGAUUUUCUCUCGUAUAUGUUUCAAACGAUUUUCUAAUUACGUACGUUGAAAGGUAUUCUAGAGAACCUAUGGUGGAGAGGAUUUUAGUUUUCAGUUUAGGUCUUGGUACCCCAUACCAGAGGCAAGUUUGUUAGAUACCUCGCUUUCAGAUCGAAUUUGUAUAUCUUAGAAAAACCUAUGAUCAUAUGGCAGGUAGUAUAUUGCAAAUCAACCAUCAAUAUGAGACAAAGGGGAUUGGGUCAUUAUCAAUGGAAAUGUGGAUUGUGACAUUGUGGAGGUGGGUUGGUAGUCAAGAAAGAAUCAAUAUCAUUCUUCACUUCUCAUCUUGCCUAAUUAUAAUUUACAAAUAUUAAAUAUCUCAUGUGACAUAGUCAUGCAUGUAAUAUGUACGUUCAAAUUAGAUUUUCUAAACAAAUGUUUUCCCAUGGGCUCUUCACUUUAUCUAUCUCUUCUGUUCUAACAUAGGAAUAAAAGAUACAGAAGCUGAACCACCCUUUAUUGAUGACCAAUUUAUAACGUAAAAACAAAGUCUAAGGUUUACCUGUUUCAUUGUUUAUCAAAACUAUAUCAAAUUUCAUAACUACAAAAGAGAAAAACCGAACUUGAAAGGAACAAAUUGUGAGUUAACGAAACUUACAGCCAAAAGGCAUUAUGCAUGGAUACUUUAGUUACCAUUGGAUUGUUGGCACUGAGUAGAAAACACUGAACACUAAAGACCCCGUUUUGAUGGUUAACAAGUCUCUAUUGUCUGAAAGUUGAAAUUCAAAACUUACCACAAAAAUGGCAUCUUCCUUAGAACUCCGUCCUUGGACUCAAAUUCAGUGUCAAUAGACAAAAUAAGACAUAUCUCUUUCCUCCUAGAGAGACGGUCCUAUAAUAUAUUUCACGCGGUUUAGCAGUAUACAAAUCACAGAACCUAGGCAAUAGUUUACACCCUGGUUGAGUAGGUAACAGAUCAUCAGGCAGGCACAGAGGUUGAAUAGGUAUGAGUGAUGUAAAGUCAUUUGACAUGAGAUAGGCGGGCAAAGAUGUAGGCUGUGUAACACCCCGACUCCAAAUUUAAUCCCUUAUUUAAAUUAUUUAAGUGAAAUUACAAAUUUACCCUUGGAGUAGGGGUAUUUGGGUCAUUUUCUUACCUGAAAAGAGUUUGGGGCAAUGACUGGUAUAUUUGGGUAGGUCGUACUGAGAUAAGUCCUUAGACAUGUUGUGGGCUCGAAUCGGAGUUGUAACGAGAGAGAUAUGGUCAAAAGAAACUCAGUGGCACAACCGUAAUUAUUUCAAAAUGAGAUUUUUAUAAAAACAGAUAUUUCUCUCUCUCUCUCUCUCUCUCUCUCUCUCUCUCUCUCUCUCUCUCUCUCCCUGCGUGCAGAAACAACCCUUUGUUACUGUUCACCGCGGUAGUUUUUGGGCCACCACCGUUGCAUCCGGCCACCGCUUGGGGUGGCACCAGUCCAAAAAGAACCGGGCCACCUCCCUCUUCCCAUCCCGACCAAUCUCAGCUACUGGAAUCACCUGUGAUCGUCGGAAAAUGCAAAAAUACAACCGGUUUUAACCCAAAAUUCACGGAGCUUGUUCGAACGCCUCCGUCCACCGUUUUCAUCGAUCUAGGUAUGCUUUCUCAUCCUUUUAAUGUGUUCUAGCUGAUGGUUGAGUAGGAUUGCAUUAAUUUUUAGGGUUGAUAGGUCGAUUUUCAAAUUGAAAAUCUGCCAGUUUUUGGAUCGCUAUUCCGGCCACUUCCGGUCAUUUUUUGGGGUAGGUCCAAGAACAAAAGAGGCUCCAAAUAUGGUGUUAUAGCUAAGAUAGGAGUUUGGAGCCGUGGUUUUGAGAUUUUCCGGCGAUGCGUAAUCGCUUUGGGCACCCACGUGCUGCCGGAGCGUGAGGCGGCGCGUGGGCACUGUAGAAAAAGGGCACUAUGUCCCGAUGUAAUCUCCUGGUUCUCACGAGUGCAUAGAUGUGCUCGGAUUUCAAUUUGGAUACCGUUUGAGCCUCGAACAGAUAUCGCCUAUUGCGCGUUAUCUGGGUUCGAUAGGUUGGGACCAUUGGAUGGUCUCGAAUUUAAUAUAUCUUAAUCUAGGUGUUUCUAGGAUCGUGUAGGAAUUCACGGAUCGUGAAUAGGAGCCCCGGAUGUUCCGAUUUAUUAAUUUAAAGUUUAUGUUUAUAAUAGCCGUCAGAUCGUGCAAUCGUGAGCGAUCCGACCGUCCAAUAUAGACCAAACUUGUGGGACAAGUGUCCUAUACUUUUUAGAACUCAUAGGAACUUGCAGAUCGGAAUUUGGAGGUUGUGGGCCCCGUGGUCCCGUUUGACCAAACGUGGGUAGUUUGACCCUUGGUUGACCUUGAGUCUUCCGAGGUAGUUUUACCUUCCUAGCAGGAUUAUAACGACCCUAAUGACAGGUCUUGAGCGUUGUUGAGCCAUGUUGACAAGGUUGAGAUCUUUAGAGUGUUUAUUAUUAUCGUAGGAAACUCUUAGACUUUAUUUUUAAAAUAAUUAGCAUGGCUUUGUGAUAGAAUUUUAUGCAUAUGAAUUAAAUGGUUUAUUGAAAUCCAUUUUUAUAAUUAAUAGAUGAUUUAGCAUUUUUGGUAAAGUAUUGGUGAUGGGUGGGGUACUUGGGAUGUUGUUGAGGUUCAUACAAUAUUAGAGUUUAACUUAUAUCUUUGAAUAUAUGUAUAAAUGUAUGAAAAGAGUUUAGAAUGUCAAUUUGAAGUGCUAUACGCACUACCCUAAGUACCUCGGAUUUUGAUUACACUAUAAGUACCACCCUGUAUUUGUUAGGUCCCACGUGGCGUAGGUUAUCCGGCUUGCGGACAGACCCCAUACGUGACGUUGGUUGUACCGGCGUAUGGGGAGAUAUUGUGAUAUGAUGUUAAAGUCUCGCGUAGCGUAGGAUUUUCCGGCAUUAAGACAUACCCCAUACGUGACGUUGGUGGUACCGCCGUAUGGGGAGAUUAUGUGAUAGUAUGUUGAGGUCGCACAUGGCGCAGGUUAUCCGGCGUGUUGAUAGACCCCAUACGUGGUGUUGGUUGUACCGACGUAUGGGGAGAUAUUGUGACAAUAUGUUGAAGUCGAACGUAGCGUAGGUUAUCCGGCGCAUUGACCGACCUCAUACGUGGCGUUGGUUGUACCGGCGUAUGGGGAGAUAUUGUGAUAAUAUGGUGAGGUCACACAUGGCGUAGGUUAUUCGGCAUGUUGACAGACCCCAUACGUGGCAUUGGUUGUACCGGCGUAUGGGGAGUUUAUGUGAAUAACAGAGAGAUAAAUAAAGGUAUUGUAUGUGCUUGGAAUCGGGUUUUAGGGGAAGAACUACGUGUGGCUUGAUCCCUCAGUAAGGGUACGUAGGCAGCCUAAGGUUACUAGGUGCAGCCACAGACUAAAUGUUAGUCAUGUUGUUUUAGUCAUGUUGUUUUAUGGAGAUUGGUUCGGACCUUAUUGUUGGUCCUGAAAUUUAUGUGAAAAUAAGAUGCAGUCUUGUUAGGAGGUUUAAAUUUUGUAUGUUUAAUAUUUGGGAACUUCGGGGCGGGUCCUAUCAGGCUGCCAUUCAUAAUGAUGAUGAGGCUCAGGCUAAGGAGGAUAAUCAUCCACAUCAGAAGAGUAGACAUAUUCGUACUCGUCGCAGCGACAGUAGUGGUCGUCUUCGAAUUCAACAACCUCAUUACGCAAACACGUGAAAAUCAGCCAAUUCCCGUCACUCAUUUUCACGGCUAAACUUUUUUCAUCAAAUUCGUAUGGCAAUGCAAUGCAGUUGAUAAAAGAAUGCUCUUUCCAUGUUUGGCUGGUGUCAGCCAUAUCAUAGCGGAAGAUAUACUAGACAAACAUGACACAAAGAUAUUAGUGCCUGUUGAAGAAAAAAUGUGAUCCUCCCAACACAAUUUUACCACCACUAAUUAAAUAAUGGGGUUUUAUUAUUUUAGGUUUAACCCAUUCGAGAUGCAAGUCUCUUAAUUACAAUCCCUUGCUUCAAGGGAACACCCUUUGAUUCCAUCAUAAAGAAACAGAACGUGUGUGUUUGAUUUUGCAGCUGCUCCCAAGUCCAACCUCAGGGUGCCUACGUAUCCCUUGCGGGAAUCAAGCCACUCGUAGUUCAAAAAUUUGCAAUGAGUAAAUGACUCAUUGCAAAAGGGGAAAAUUGAAUGAAUUUGAUUGAGGAAUGUUUGAGCGAAUUUAGCUGAAUAAACCAGGGAUUCUAUUUUGAUGUGUGUUUGGGGUGAAUUUGGUUAAGAAUAAACCAGGGAUUAUGAUCGGAUUUAAGAUUUGGGCGGUUGCAUCUAGAUUGAGUCUCUAGAUUGCCUACGUACCCUUUUGAAUGGAUCAAACCAACGUAGCUCAGAAUUGAUUUGUGCGGAGAUAGAAAUUUGAUUUGGGGGAAUUUGGUUGAUGUAAUCAGUUAUUCAAAUUUGGUUGCGAUUCCGUCUAUUGAGAUGUUAGACUGCCUACGUACCCUUAAUGGGAUCAAACCGACAUAGUUCCAAAUUUAGAAAUGAAUGGGUAAGUGUGGCCCACUAGUUUAGAAUUUGUGUCUUUGAGACAAUUUGGAGAUUUUAAGAUUUUCACAGGUAAAUGACCUAUGAGAAAAAUUGAAAAUUAAUGGGUAAGUGUGGCCCACUAAUUGAGAAUUUGUAUUUGAGAGAUUUAGAUCUAAUCUCAUUGAAAUUUGCAUGGGUAGAUGACCCAUGAGAAAGAUUGGAUGGUUUUGUACCAUUUUUCUUAUUGUCAAUAUCCAAGAAAAAUAAUUAGCAAUUUUGAUGAAUCCACUAAUUUUCUACAAUUGACACUUGCAUUUGGGAAAGUGUUUGGGCGAAUUUGGUUAGGAUAAACCAGGGAUUCAAAUUCGGUUGCGGUUGCAUCUAUUGGGAUGGUAGACUGCUUACGUACCCUUGAUGGGAUCAAACCUGCGUAGUUCCAAAUUUAGAAAUGAAUGGGUAAGUAUGGCCCACUAGUUUAGAAUUUGUGUCUUUGAGACAAUUUUGAGAUUUUAAAAUUUUCACAGGUAAAUGACCCAUGAGAAAAAUUGAAAAUUAAUGGGUAAGUGUGACCCACUAAUUGAGAAUUUGUAUUUGAGAGAUUUGGAUUUAAUCUCAUUGAAAUUUGCAUGGGUAGAUGACCCAUGAGAAAGAUUGGAUGGUUUUGUACCAUUUUUCUUAUUGUCAAUGUCCAAGAAAAAUAAUGAGCCAUUUUAAUGAACCCACUAAUUUUCUACAAUUGACAAUUGCAUUUGGGAAAGUGUUUGGGCGAGUUUGGUUAGGAUAAACCAGGGAUUCAAAUUGGGUUGCGGUUGCAUUUAUUGGGAUGGUAGACUGCCUACGUACCCUUGAUGGGAUCAAACCGGCGUAGUUCCAAACUUUGGAAAUUAAUAGGUAAGUGUAGCCCAAUAAUUGAGAAUUUGUGUCUUUGGGACAAUUUGGAAAUUUUUAUAGGUAGAUGACCUAUGGGAAAAAUUGGAAAUUAAUGAGUAAGUGUGGCCCACUAAUUAAGAAUUUGUGUUUGAGAUAUUUGAAUUUAAUCUCAUUGGAAUUUUCACGAGUAGAUGACUCAUGAGAAAAAUUGGAAAUUAAUGGGUGAGUGUGGCCCAUUAAUUGAGAAUUUCUGUUUAAGAGAUUUGAAUUUAAUCUCAAUGAAAUUUGUAUGGGUAGAUGACUGAUGGGAAAAAUUACAUGGUUUUAUACCAUAUUUCUUUUUGUCAAUCUCCAAGAAAAAUAAUGAGAAAUUUUGAUGAACCUGCUAAUUCUCUACAAUUGACAUUUGCGUUUGGACCCAAAUAUGACUAUGAGGAUUUUUUUUAUUUUUAUAUAGAAUUAAUCCAUUAAUUAUAUGAUAGGAAAUUUAGGUCUCUGUAAAUUUAAUGGAUAAUUAUUUGAAUUACCCAUUAAUUACUAUGGGCUUUUGAAAAUCAAUGGACAAUUAUUUUUGACAGUCCAUUAUUUUAUUUCGGGGCUGCGAUAUUUUGACUGUCCCAUUUGUUGGACAUGUGAGGAAGAGAGAAAAGAAGGAAAGAAGAGAGAGAGUUGAAAUAAAUCCAAAUCACAAAGAAAGUGGCGUCAGCCACUUUUUUUUUUUUAACUCUUCUUCCCUUUGUUUUCUUUUCAGUGGAAGCCUUCUCCCUUUUCUUUUGUUACUGCCAUACAUAACACCAAGCCAAUUCCUCUCGUCUUUUUUUGGUUUUGGCUUUUUUUUUUCUUUUGCUUUUGGUUUGCUGCGCAACCAGAAGUUGCCAACAGGAACGUGGCUAUCUUUUUUUUUUCUUUUUCUUUUAAAGACCUCCAUCCUUCUUUCUUCCUUCCUUGGUUUUGAUUGUUCGCAAACAAUCCCCAGAUGAAGGAUUCAAAGGAUAGGCUGGACAAACGUGGCCUCCCUUUUCAAGCUUUGUUCCUCUUUUUUUUUUUUUGGUGCACACAGCUGAUUUUUAUUUGCUGUGAGAUUAAAUCACUCCAUGAUUUUGUUUGUGGGUUUUGUACUCAAAUUGGAUUUGUGCUCUUGAGAACUCACUGAAUAGUUUUAUGCCCAAAAAUGGAUAUACCAUUCAGGGUAUUUGAUUGAGGGUAACACACCCAUGAUGGAUUUUGUAUCCAAGAUUAUUUUUUGGGGUGUAAAAACCCAAAGCCUUGAUUGAGGGUGAAACGUCCAGGCUUUAUUUCAAGGGUGAAAACCCAUAUUUGUUUUCAGGGUGAAAUACCCAGGCUUUGUUUCUGGGGUGCAAAACCCAAACUUGUUUUGAGGGUGAAAACCCAUAUUUGAACAUCCAAGAAAUUUUGAUUCAAGGGUUGCCACCCUACAUGGAUUGCCAUCCAUUUGAUUGAUUAAAGGGUUGCCACCCAAAAACGGAUGACCUCAAGAGAGGAGCCUUGAUUGCCUCUGUCAUAUUUCUUCAGCAUGGCUAUGCAUCCUCCAUGUUCCCCAAGCCUUGUUGGCUUUUUUUUGGUAUCUCUUCAGAGUCUGCCGCUGUGCUCCUUUUCUUUCUGCAGCCUCACGGCUGCCUCCCCUUUUUUUCUUUUCUCUCCUCCUUUUAUAGAGUCCUUGUGAGAGAGUUUUGAGAUGGCAGAAUCCCCAUUCAAAUUGGACUCCUCCCCCCAUUAUCUGAUUAUCCUCUUCCUUUAUUUAUCCCUUCUUUUUUUCUAGGGAUAAGAACAGGGACAAUCUGAUAUACACGUUGUUUCCCAUUUGUUUUGAAAGCAAGUGUCAUGUGGUUGUGGGAAUCACCCACCCAACGUUGAGGGGCUUAUCUAAACCCACUAUUUUUUAAAAAAUAUUUUUUUUUGGUUCAUCAGUGCCUAUAACAACACAAUUGGUGGCGUGGCCAAGGUAGCGUCUGUGGAAAAAGGACUUAAAAUUAAAAAGUCUACAAAACCGUGCAGGUGUAUGUAGACUUAAAAUUAAAAGUCAACAGGAGCUAAUAAUAUUGUCCGACGAAGCUGGCUCGUAUAAAAUAAGUACAUAAUAUAUGCCUUGACACAGCAUAGUGAUCGAUAGUUCUACUUUCAUAGAUUUAUUCACUCAUAGAUUUCACAGAGUUUUCCAUCCCAAAAAGCUUAAAAGCUUCAUUUCAUACCCUUCUCUCCAACAUGAAGGUAAGCCUCUAAAACUUUACGCGUCCACUUCAUACUUAAAUUCUCUGGAUUUUAUUGUACAUAGUCACAUACUUUCCUUUUUUAUGCAAGUGAAAUUGAAUAUAUAAGAUGAUCAUUGCUCGCACAUACUUCGUACAAAUUUUUAUGUGCAGCAAAAGAUAGUAGUGAGUGUGCCAAUGCACUGUGACAAAUGCCGAACCAAGGCCUUGAAGAUUGCUGCAGCUGCACACGGUAGGCAUCGAUCAAUCGAUACAUACAGAUCAAUUUAUCAAAAAAAAAGAAAGAAAAGAAAUUCAAGUAUUUCAUCACUAAUAAUUAGGUCAGUUAAUAAGUAUUAAUUGAUGAUUACAUAUAAAGCAGGUGUGAACAAAGUGUCGAUCGAAGUAGACAAAGGUCAUAUGGAGGUGAUUGGAGAUGGGGUUGACUCUGUUUGCUUGACCAGUUUGUUAAGGAAGAAGCUUGGCUUCGCCACCAUUGUCAAAGUUGAAGAAGUGAAAGGAGCUAAAGAUGAUAAGAAAGAGGAAAAGGCAACGCCUCCCCCAGGCUGUGUUCAAUAUUGUCCUCCAAUGUACUAUGAACUGGUUGAUGAAUAUCCAGAACCAGUCCAAUGCUCUAUUAUGUAAACCCUUUUCACAGCAAUUACUCUAUUUAGCUUGAAGAUUGAUAUAUCGAUAUCUUAGAUCGAUCACAACCAAACUAGGGUUUAUAAUUUUGAUUUCUUUUUCUGGUUUAAGAUAUUGUUUGUGCCUUGUGCCUGUAUUUUGGUUUUGGUUUUGGUUUUUCAUUAGUUAUGAAUUUAGAUUAAUUAAUAGUAAUUCUUAGACCAGUUAUAAUGAUUACACUAAGAUGCACAAUCCCUAAAUGUACAGGCCCCGAAUCUGUACUAGCAUGUAUGGUCAAUCAAAAUUUAAUGCUUGCUUGUAUCUCUUUCAUCUAGCACAAAAUGUUUUUUGGUAACCAACUUAGUGAGGAACUCUCAAAGAUUCAAAAAGCAAAUUUGAGGUUACAUUUUUGUUUCUGACGUGCUAUACAUGGAACGUGUUGUUUUCCAUAGAUCCCAACUUGAACGAAAGAGGCUUGUAAUUUAGCUUUAGGGUUUUUAGGGUUUACUUUUGGUGAUAUAUUCAUAUUAUCCAAAGUUGUAAUAUUGAGCAGGAAAUUUCCACUUGGACUUAUGAGUAACGCAAGGGGUUUUAGCAAAGAAUUUCCACAUGAUAAUUGAUAGCAGCAUUUGAGAAAAACCUAUGACUUGUCAGAAUUUCGCCUUUGCGUUAGCUUUGGGAUGAAAUGUUUCAUUGCCACAUGAUGUCUUGUCUUGUCGCAACAUUUAACUCUUAUAGAAUCUUUGAAAUUUCCCUGCAAUUUGCGUUACAUCAUUCUCCCAAUGCGUACUGUGAAGGGAAACUAUCUUCAACGAAAAGUCGAUCAAUUAAUCUACACCAUAUACGUCGUCGACUUGUCGACAAGUUUACUAAUAUUCAGAUACAAUAAAAACAAUAAUGCCAAGACUGUUAGCAUAUUCAGAACAUUAUCAUGCAUAUAGAUUCAAUCAAAACAUGUAAUAAAUCUCAAUGAAAAUGCAGAGAGCUUUUGAGUAAAGAGAGGUCAGAUUUCUGUGUGUGAGAGAGAGAGAGCUUUUAGAAGAAUGCUAGCUGUAUCAGCCCAGCACCAAAACAUGUAUAUAUCAUGACACUGACAAAAACCGUUAGGGAGGAGAUAUUCCCUAUUACAUCACUAAAUCUAGCCAUUCAAUCAUUACCCUAUAAGAUAAUGACAGGUGGCAAAAUGCUAUUACAUUCUCUGCUGUACACUUGGACUAUGAUCCAAGGCAGCCUUCCUAACAAGAAUAGAACCUUCAUAUUCUAAUUCCAUCACAGCAGCUACACCUAUACACCAACACUCCCUUCUAGGUGUUGUGCUGAAAUAACACCUAGAGCCUUCCUCAAAUACUCAAAUCUGUCUCUUGCUAAUGGCUUGGUGAAAAUGUCAGCAAGCUGCACUUCUGUUUUGCAAUAUAGCAAAUCAAUCUCACCAUUUUGUAGAGCAUCUCUUAUGAAGUGAAACCUGCGGUUGAUGUGUCUGGUUUUGUGAUGAUGAACAGGAUUCUUUGAUAUAGCAAUAGCUGAAGUGUUGUCACACAACAACUGAGUUGGUUCUACCUGUUCCUCUCCAAAAUCAGAUAACACAAACCUCAGCCACAUAGCUUGUGCAGUAGCUUCUGCUGCACUCAUGUACUCAGCCUCUGCUGUUGACAGAGCAACACUACUUUGCUUGAUUGAAGCCCAAGAAAAUGCACCUGACCCCAAGUUGAAAGCAUAGCCUGAUGUGCUCCUCAUGUCAUCUUCACUUCCACUCCAAUCACUAUCACAAUAGCCUAUUAACACUGCUCCUUUUCCCUUAUCAUAGGCAAUUCCAUAGUUUAUGGUGCCUUGAACAUAUCUCAGCACUCUCUUUGCUGUUCCCAUGUGCUUCUUGGUUGGAUUAUGCAUGAAUCUAGCCAAGAGGCUUGCUGCAAACAUGAUAUCUGGUCUGGUUGCAGUCAGAUAUAGCAAGCUUCCCACCAUUUGCCUAUACAAUGUCUCAUCUGCUAGUUCACUUCCAUCCACUUUUGACAACUUUUCAUUCACUGCCAAAGGUGUUGCAACAGACUUGCAAUCCUUAAGUCCAAAUUUGUCAAGUAAAGUCUUUGCAUACUUCUUCUGGUGAAGAAAGAUGCAAGAAUCAGUUUGUAGGACCCCAAGACCAAGGAAAUGAUGAAGUAGUCCUAGGUCAGUCAUCUCAUAUUGUCUCAUCAUAUCAUCCUUGAAUGCAGCCAUCAUUUCUUUUGAGCUUCCUGUGUAGAUAAUAUCAUCUACAUAUAGAGACACAAUGAGAAUACCACUUGUAGACAUCUUUGUGUACAAAGUAGCUUCACUUGGACUUCUAUAAAAACCAGUCUUGAUGAAAUAGGAAUUUAUCUCAUCAUACCAAGCUCUUGGAGCUUGUUUCAAACCAUAUAGAGCCUUUUUCAGCUUAUACACUUUAUCUUCACUUCCUUGCAUCACAAAACCAGAUGGUUGAUCUACAUAAACUUCUUCAUUUAGCACUCCAUUAAGAAAUGCAGACUUUACAUCUAGUUGAAACAGAUUCCAGUUUCUCUGUGCAGCAACAGCCACCAAGGUUCUCACAGUAUCAAGUCGAGCCACUGGUGCAAAGGUCUCAUUGAAGUCAAUUCCAGGCUUUUGAGAAUAUCCCUUUGCCACCAGCCGAGCCUUAUUCUUCUGCACAGAUCCAUCUAGGUUCAGUUUAGUCUUAUAGAUCCAUUUGACUCCAAUGAUUGGUUUAUCAAAUGGUCUAUUCACAAGCUCCCAUGUAUUGUUCUUCUCAAUCAUGGUGAUUUCAGCUUCCAUUGCUUUCUUCCAAGAGUCAUCCUUUGCUGCCUCUUCAAAACUUUCUGGUUCUAUAAUGCACAUGUUGCAUUUUUCAUAAAUUUCUGCAAUGCUCUUGUACUUGAGAGGAGUGUGAUCAACAUCCUGUGAUCCUGCUUCCCUUUCUUGGUCACUGAUUUCAGUGUUUAAGCUAGGCAUCUCAUUCACUUCCAAUUGUUCUUCAAAUUCAUAAGAACUCCCUUCUGCUCCUUGUUCUUCUUCUCUAAUUUCAGUGAGCUGAAUGUUCACACUAGUCUCCUUCUUUGUAUUCCAAUCCCAACACUCAUUCUCACUAAAUAUCACAUCUCUUGAAAUGAUAACCUUUUCAGUUUCAAUAUUGUAGAGCCUGUAUCCCUUUUCACAGCUGCCAUACCCCAAGAAAAUACACCUUUUGCUUGCCAAAUCUAGCUUCUGUCUUUGCUGUUUUGGUACAUGAGCAUAACACAAUGAACCAAAUACCUUCAGAUGCUUAAUUCCUGGUUUCCUCCCUCCAUAAGCCUCAAAUGGUGUCUUUUUGCUUAAGGCUUUAGUUGGACAUCUAUUCAAAAUGUACACAGAUGUGUUGACUGCCUCUGCCCAGAAAUCAAGUGGAAUUUUCUUUUCCAACAUCAAACAUUUGGCCAUUUCUACUAUAGUUCUAUUCUUCCUCUCGGCCACACCAUUUUGCUGUGGUGUGUAUGGGGUUGUGAGCUGCCUUUCAAUGCCUGCAUUGUCACAGAACCUCUCAAACUCCACUGAAGUGUACUCUCCUCCUCUGUCACUUCUCAAUUGUUUUAGUUUGUAGCCACUUUGCAAUUCCACAGUGGCUUUGAACUUCUUAAACACACAAAGAGCUUCUGACUUGUGCCUUAAGAAAUAGACCCAACACAUCCUUGUGCAAUCAUCAAUGAAAGUGAGAAAGAACCUAUUUCCAGCUUUGGUAACUGUCUGCAUAGGACCACAGAUGUCACUGUGAAUAAGUUCUAGUGGGGUUGAUGCUCUAGAAAUAGCUUCUCUUGGGAAUGCUUCUCUACUUUGCUUGCCUAGAACACACCCCUCACAUACCUGUCUAUCUUCUUUAAUUUCUGGCAGCCCUACUACCAUAUCUUGCUCUUUCAAUAGUUUUAGACUAGUCAUAUUGAGAUGUCCAAACCUUCUAUGCCAGAGAUCAGUGGAAUGGUCUACACUUGCUCUAUAAGCAAAGUGCAUUUCAGCUUGCAACUUCAAAGGAAAGCUUCUGUUUCCUUUCAUCUGAACCUUUGCCACCAGAUUUGUAUGAGAGCUGUCAUUGUAGAUUUCCACCUUGUGAUCACCAAAUACCAAAUAAUAGCCAUGUUCUAUCAUCUGUCCUACACUGAGUAAGUUCUCUUUCAGUCCAGGUACAAGCAUUAUUUCUUUGAUAUGUCUCUUGCCUGCUUUGGUUUCAACCACAAUAGUGCCUUUUCCAGUUACUUCUACAAGCUGUCCAGUUCCCAUUUCAACCUUGGCAGUCACUUUUCUGUCAAUAUCCACCAACAAAUCCUCUUUUCCUGUCAUGUGAUUGCUACACCCACUGUCCAAAUACCAGAUCUCUUCAUCCCUUGUUACAUCAGCACCACUUACAUUGCUAGCAUAGAACAUUGUUGGUGCAGCUUCCACUUGAGUAGCAUAGUUGAUCUGCUGUGGUGUUUUCUUGCUGUAGCAGUCUUUUGCAAUGUGACCAAGUUUAUCACAGUUAUAACACUUUGGCUUGCCCUUGAAUCGACAUUCACCAAAAUGUAGCUUACCACAGUGUUUGCAGGGAGUUUUAGUGCCUUCACUUGCCUUGUUAUCCCACUUCUUGCCUUUGGAUUUCCAAUUCUUAUUCUGCUUGCUGUUCUGUUCUCCAUUCUUAGUCUGUUUGGCAUCUACACUAAGGCUAGCAAAUGCCUUCUCUGUUCUGUUUUCAGAAUGCCCUAUCUAAACGCAACUCAAAGCUCUUUAGUGAGGCAACAACCUCCUGCACCUCAAUCUCAUUCAGAUCUCUAGAAUGUUCAAUAACUGACAUAUAGAGUCAUAGGUAGAUGGCAGACUAUUAAGCAGUUUUUGAACAAUUCUCUCCCUAGCAAUUCCUCCCCAUAACUUCUCAUUUGAUUAAUUAAAUCAAAUAGUUUAGUAACAUAGACAGUUAAGAUUCAUCAUCCUUCAUUCUGUAUAUUCAAAUUCCCUUCUNNNNNNNNNNNNNNNNNNNNNNNNNNNNNNNNNNNNNNNNNNNNNNNNNNNNNNNNNNNNNNNNNNNNNNNNNNNNNNNNNNNNNNNNNNNNNNNNNNNNUUUGAUGUCUCUUCAUGAGAUAUUCGUGGGAAUAUCUCCUCUGAAACUGCUCCUUGAAUCAAUCCAAGGGCCUUGGCAUCCUUCAUGAGUACCUCAGCAACCAUGCCUUUCCCACUUGAUUCUUCUGUCUCCUUUUUCUGAUCACCAGAUUCAUCUGACUUUUUCAGAUCCAUACCAUCAAGUCCUUUGAUCACAAAAUCCCACAGUCCAUGAGAUUUGAAGAUGGUCUUCAUCCUAAUGCUCCAGAAAUCGUAGUUCUCACCAUUGAAAAUUGGUGCUCUCAACUCACCACCACUUGAUCCAGCCAUGUUAGACUUAGAUCUGCAGAACUCAAGCUCAGCUGCAGCUUCAAUAGCUUAGCACAGAGAAACUCCCAGUAUUACAAGAUCAAACCUGGCUCUGAGGCCAUGUUAGCAUAUUCAGAACAUUAUCAUGCAUAUAGAUUCAAUCAAAACAUGUAAUAAAUCUCAAUGAAAAUGCAGAGAGCUUUUGAGUAAAGAGAGGUCAGAUUUCUGUGUGUGAGAGAGAGAGAGCUUUUAGAAGAAUGUUAGCUGUAUCAGCCCAGCACCAAAACAUGUAUAUAUCAUGACACUGACAAAAACCGUUAGGGAGGAGAUAUUCCCUAUUACAUCACUAAAUCUAGCCAUUCAAUCAUUACCCUAUAAGAUAAUGACAGGUGGCAAAAUGCUAUUACAUUCUCUGCUGUACACUUGGACUAUGAUCCAAGGCAGCCUUCCUAACAAGAAUAGAACCUUCAUAUUCUAAUUCCAUCACAGCAGCUACACCUAUACACCAACACCGGGUCACUGAUAGGCCUUCCACGUGUGAAGUCUAGGACAUAUAUAUUGUGUUUUGUUGCAAAAGACUUGUCGUUUGAUUGCUUCCACAUGCACACUUCUGUCCAGAUUAUUCCAAGUCCUCAACCCAUUGUCCAAGUCCACUCAGGCUUUAGUUAGCGGAGUCUAUUCAUUUUCUCUUGAGUUUGGUUUUCAAAGAAGAAAUAUGAGUGGUAGGUCUUGUUAUUGGAAAUAAACUUUGCUAGCAAAGAAUAAUAGAACUAAUACUAGACCACAUGAGCCUGUCUAAGAGGGAUUGCGAAGCUUUUUAAACUCCAAAUUAAGGAGUAGCUGUGGUUAUGCAUUUUCUUGAAUAGCAGAUGAGGAACAGAUGAAGUGCGAGUUGAAGAAUCACUAACGCACAUCUCAUUUUGGAAAGUUAAGAAAUUUUACAUGCUUUUAUAAGGACUUAUAGGCUACUCUCACAUAGCCAUGGCCAAUUAGUUUUGGACAAAAUCUCAAUUUCCUUCAUGCUAUCAGUCACACGCAGUGGCAGAGCUAGAAAUUUUUUACAGAGGGGGCACCUCAUAUAUUAAAAUUUAUUUUUCUUUACGGUGACAUUUUAAUUAAUUUUUUACUUGAUAAAAAUUCAUAAAUUUAAUUACUAUACUCUAUUAUUUUACAUAUCAUAUUAACUAUGUAUUCAUCAUUGAUACUAGCAAAAGAUAUUGCAUGUAAUUAGUUAAAUAUACACAUAUACUAACAAAAUUCAAAUAGUAAUUUAUUACUACAAUCAAAGUCAAAAUAAGACAAAAAGAGAGUAUGGGUAGUAAUAAUAGUGGAAAAGGGAGAGAAGACAAACAUAAGAGAAGAGGCACUUUGAAGUUUGAUAAAAGAUGUGUAAUUGUGUUAAGAUACCUAAGGUCUCAAGAAUAUUGAGUGGGGGCAUAGGACCCCUGGUCACACGUGAGGGGACAUUAGAGACAUUAGAGGAUAUGUGAAGAAAUUUCCCAUAAUCGUGUGAGGAUGUGAAGAAAUUUUCUAUAUACAAUUAUUUGCCUCCACUAGCAAUAGAGACUAUGCAGCCGCCUUUGUUUUAUCAGUUUCCUAAUUUGAUGUUGCUAUUGCUUCCUGUUUUUUUUUUUCUUUGUGAAAAAUCAAAGUAUUCCAGGAAAUCAAAUUUGAAUAUCUAGGUAGGUGUCUUGACUGAGUCUCUGGAAAAUCUUGGUUUCCAAGCAGCUGACCCCAUAUGUAUAUGGAUGGGGACAGAUAGGCCAACACGAGGUAAUAUCCUUGGAAGACUAAGCUUCUAUAAAUAGAAGCAACCUCCAAGUGUUGAAGCAGAAUUCCACAAAAAUAAAUAUUAAAAAAAAAUUCAGAGUAGAGAAAAGAUGUGUUCAUACAUAGAAAGAUUCAUAGACUGGAUUUGUUUUUGGGAAAAGGACAUUUCAUGUACACUCCCCACCACGAAGGUAAGCUUAAUUAGCCUUUCAAUUAGUUUUAGUUUGUUCCUAAAACAUAUAUUUUUGUAGUAUUUCCAUUCAUCAAAUUUGAAUAUCUAGGUAUGUGAUGUUUAUUUAUGCAGCAAAAGAUAGUCUUCAAGGUGCAAAUAAAUUCUGAGAAAUACAAAACCAAGGCCUUGAAGACUGCUGCAAAGGCCCGAGGUGUGUACCGUAUGCAUGCAUCAAUUUCAAAUAGCCAAUAUAUAUAUAUAUAUAUAUAUAUAUAAUUUGUGAUUACCCAAAUGAUAUCAUUCAAAGUAAUUAUUGCUAAUUAAUUAGUUAGUUAAUGAUGAACCACUAAUUAAUUAAGCAGGUGUGAGCAACGUUUCCGUGGAAGUAGAGAAAGAGCUAAUGGAGGUGACUGGAGUUGGAGUUGAUUCCGUUUGCUUGGCCAAGUCAUUGCAGAAGAAGCUUGGCUACGCCACCAUAGUAAGCGUUGAAGAAGCGGAGAAAGAGGACAAUAAGAAAGAGGACAAGAAGAAAGAGGAGAUAAAGGCAAUUCAAUGGGCAUCAACCUAUUUUCCCCGUCCAAUGUUUCCUGUGUACUAUGACUCUGACGGAAACCCGAUAUUAAACUAAGCACUGUUAAUCUUGAGACUCCUGUAAAGACUGCAGUUGUCUACAAUGGACCUUUGCCUUUCUACGUAUGGCAAAAAGGCAAACAUUUGCUAUGUUUACGUGAUUGUUGUUGAAGUUUUGUACAUUUUAUGUUUGGAUAAGGAAAAAUAACUUGAAAUUUAAUAGGAAAAAUAAGUUGAAAUUUAAGAGGAGAAAUUGACAAUUCUCUUGUUUGGCAAGUUAAGAGCGGAAUUUAUUAAAUUAUGCACAGAAAAAUAAUGGAAAUUGGGGCAUCAAAUUCCCGAUUUUAAUUUCCACCAAAAUACACGUUAUUUCAUAAUUUCCAUAGUGUCAUUUACAAAACUCGACAUACAUAAAUCUAAACACUAAAAUCUUCAAUUGCCAGAAAUUAAAAUUAUGGAAAUUUAAAUUCCGCAAUUUAGAAUUCUAUAUAAUUUUCAAUUUCUUCAUCCAAACGGAGUUGAUCCUGAACUUUUGAGUCAUGUACAUACGUUCUUCAUUCACACCAAAAACCGCUAGAAUGAUAUACAACAUUUUGUACCCCUUUGACUCUAAGAACAAGAGGGGUCGGCCCGGCCCAAUACUAAAGCAGGCUAAUUCAAAUACAAAAUUUCAUAAUAUAACAAUAGAGAUGUAUAUUUUGUUGGUGAGUCCUUACUUAAUUAGGAUUUGAGUUAUUUACCCAUUUAUCUAGUUCUAUUAUAAUUAAGAUUUAUUUCCUAUUGUAAUUUAUAUUUAUUUUCAUACAAUGGGUGUCAUCUUUAUUAAAAAUAUAAUUCACAAUUGUGGUAUAUAAAUGUAAUUUUUCUAAAAUUUUCCUAAUUUAAAUGGUGAAACUUUACUUUGGAAAUAUAUAAUCCCAUGAUCAACAUACCUUUACAUAGAAUAUGAAGCAAUUUUUGGGCAUAUGCUUAUGCACUAAGACAAACACAUAAGCCCCACCAUGUGUUCACAUAUUUUGGGUCUUUGUCCUCAACUAAGACACAAGGACUAAAUCAGUGGCUCCAGUUAACAAUUCCAAUUAUCACUUGUAUAAAGAUAAAUAAAUUGUAUUUAACCACAAAAAAAAAAAAAAAAAAAAAAAAAAAAAAAAACCCCACAAACUCACAUUCGCUUAUUGGUACCAGUAACCAAAAGUCUCAAAUUAUCUUUACCUGGAUGGAUGGAUUCACUUAGAUGGUUCCUAGGAGGUACUCUAGGUACAUCAACGCCUAUAAAAGAAAAAAAAAAAAAAAAAAAGGAAGAAGUUGAUAGUUUAAUGAAUUAACAUUAUAAAAAAAAAUUGUAACAAUAUUUUAAUGUAAAUAUUAAGACUGUCCACCUGAAAGACAUCCUUGGAAUUAAUUAUUUUUUUCUUCUUUAAUUUGGAUAGUAUCAUAGCCGUGACAAUUGACUAGUUGUGAAGAAAAACUUUCCAUUUUCCUUUAGUUAUUUUUAUAUGCAGUUUUCACACAUAAACUCCGAAUUGCAUUUUUGUUUUCUAUAUGUAUAUGGCCAAAUCAGGGCAUCCACAUAGAGCUGUCUGUAAUAAAUUUAAUAUGAAAUUAAUUCAAGAUGGCCAAUCACAUACAAAGCACCACCAGGGUCCAGAUUAGACGCAUGACUUACCAGUCAAUGUUUAUCUUGUAUUUGUAAGUCUACAAACUGAGCUUUCCAGCUAAAAACAAAGUACUCAUUAUAUCCGUUUAAACUUAAACUACUGCUACCCAUACUUUUUUUUUUUUUUUUAAGAAGCGAUUGGGGAUAGGGGAUUAUACAAAUAUUCAUUGGGUGUCUAGGGAUUUCGAAUCUCUGCCCACAUUGGUGGAAAUGAAAGAAUUGAACUAACUGAAUAAUACCCACUAACAUUACAACUCAUACAUUAAUCAUUGUAUUUCCCUUAAUCCAUAUAUAUUAUUUUUUGGUUAUUUUUUCUUUCUGAAAAUUCAAACUAGUCUGGAAUCAAAUUGGAAUCUACGAACGGUGUGAUGGACUCAGUCUAUGUGAAAGCCUUGGUUUCCAAGCAGCUGACUGUGGGGACCCGAGGUUCUUAAUUAUAUUCUAAGAAGACUAAGCUCCUUUAAAUAGAGCAUAGCGUUGGCAUUAUUUUCCAAGUGACCUCUAAGUGUUAAAGUAGAACUCGGCCAUACAAAAAUUGUUCAAGUAGAUCAAUUCGUCUAUACAAAAAGUGUUUAUCUAAAAAAUAAAAAUAAAUAAAAAAGAUGCCUUCAUUCAUAAAAUUCCUAAAGUUUUGUGUUUGCGAAAAGGACAUUUCAUGUUCUCUCUACAAUACGAAGGUAAGCCUUUUACUUAAUUUCAUUCUGUUUAUCAGAGUUUUUCUUUUUUCCUUAUGUAAAUAUGAUCUUUAUGUAUGCAGCAAAAGAUAGUGAUCAAGGUGCAAUUGACCUCUCAGAACUGCAGAACCAAGGCCUUGAAGAUUGCUGCAGAAGCCAAAGGUGUGAGCAAUGUUUCCAUAGACGUAGAGAAAGCGGUAGUGGAGGUGAUUGGAAUUGGAGUUGAUGCCGUUUCCUUGGCACAGUCAUUGGAGAAGCAGCUUGGCUUUGCUUCCAUUGUUAGUGUUGGAGAAGUGAAAAAACCAGAGGAGCCAAAGCCAGCCAUUCCAAUUGAAUGGACAUCAAGCUAUAUUCACUGUCCACGGUAUGCUGUGCACUAUGAUGGAUUCUGCCGAUGUUAAACGAAGCACUGUUUAAUUAAGUGCUUCUGAGAACGUAUCAAUUAUUUCUGGCUGUUGUUAAACCCUUAAGUUGUAAAUCUUUGCCUUUUUACAAUUAGUAAAAGGCAAACAUUUGCACUAUAUUUACUUGAUUAUCAUUGAAAUUGUAUUGAUUAUAAAGUUUAUGGGGGAACCUUUGAUUAAUGAUAUGCAUUUCUUUUCUUCUUUAUAUAGAAAACUUUGUGCGCCUCAAAAGGCCCCAUUUGACCCAUGAAUAAGGAUCGGCCUAUUUAGAACAAGAAGACCAAAACUUGAAAAAGAAUUUUAAAAAACAACUCAAAUUGCAAUUUAGAUGGUCCAACUUAACAUCAGAAAUGAAUAAUAAAAGUUGUGUGCACCAUCUUUAGUUAUUUAUUUUACAAGUUGGCAAGUGGGCUUACACACACUUUGACCUGCAAUUUUCUGCUAAAAAAGCUAACAUAUUCAAAGGACACAAUAAUCUUCAGCUCAUCCAACUCCACUGUCAUGAUGUAAGCCCCUCAACGUAAUUGCAGAUCUAAUCUCUUUGUGGCCUUAUUGACAAUAAUAGGGCUAUAUGGCUCACUACUAUAUAUACCACAUCGAUAUUGUCCUUAACUAACCACCUGUAUAGUGCGAAAUGUGUGAAAUUAACCAGUUUGGAUUAGUAUUGUAUUGAUAUUGUAAUUAAUCCAAGUCAUGAGAGCUUCCUAAAUAUAAUUAGGGUGCUGAAAUAAAGAAUUAAUGGAUGCUCCUAUAUUUUUGUUUUUAUGAAAAUAUAUUUUAGGGAAAAGCUAGGAGGGCUCAACUCAACCCAUUAACAUUGACAUGUGAAGUGCUACAUCUAGAAUUGGAGAAAAUUAUUUGUUUUUUUUCUAUGCUUGACUCCCUUGUCCUGAAAAAUAAUGAAUUUGGCACGUACCGUUUGUUAUAUAGAUAUCUACAUGAUUAAGCAUGGGUGUUUUCAUAUAUAAAGACAUUUUAAAUUAAGCCACUCCGGAAAAAGACAACCAUAUGGAGUAUUGUUUUUACGAUUGAGGACAUGUAUGAUAUAUCAUAUUUAUUUGUAUGUAAAAGAAAAGGAUCAUCUUUAAAAGCUUCAUGUACAUGUGCAUAUUAUUGUUGAAAAGGAAAAUUAAAUAAUGAGGACAUCUUUGUCAAACCCAUUAGGGUUUACAAACGAAAGAGAUGGAAGAGAGAAUUAUUAGUUAGUUUCUCAAUUUAUUUGUUAGUUCCUAGGUUCUCUAAGUUUUCCAGAUUUCAUUAAGAUUUUUAGUUUUUCCACAUUUCAGUAGGGUUUCUAAGUUUCCUAUUUUAUUUGGAUUAGGAUUUCUUUCCUAGAAUAAGUUUAAUUUUCCUUUUCACUCUAGGGUUAUAUUAAUAUAAAUACCCAUUCUAUGUAAUUCAUUAUGGGAAUUGAGAUUUGAAUAUUAUUUUCUAGAGAUUGAACUGGUAUGUAGUUUGGCAGAGGAACUCAUAAACGGGGCUUGUGACUGGGAAGUUCUUGUGCCUACCAGAAUUGGCAAAGGAACUCAUAAGCGGGCUUGUGACCGGUGUAAUUGUUGUGGCAAAGCAUGAAGAAUCGAGUCUCUCAGCAAAUAUCAGGUUAUGGGGAUGCCGCUGCUGGAUGCAACUUUUCAACACUGCCCAUUUAUGCUGCUGCGUUCGGAGAAACAAAAUAGGCAUACGGAGGAGCAGAAGAGUACGGAAGCUUUCAAACCGCUGGAUAAGAUGAAGGAUUGGGAUAAGAUGAAGAACUGGGAUAUGACAGAGGGUUAUAAUAAGACCCUACAUUUGUGUUUUGGCAAGUAUAACCUGAGUGAUACUGUUUCUUACAAUAUUAAAGCCCUGUAUUUUUCGUCUUCUGAUGUUCGGCAGGUGGGGGCUUAUAUAGUUGGCAAAUGGCGCCCCAAUAUGGGUAUAGGAGCUUUCGAAUCCAAAAUAGUUUUGGCCGGUGGUCAUGAAAACAUAUUCGAGGGCUACAAGUACCAAUCAUGUCCAAGUAAAGAUAUUUAUGUCUUUGAAACUGAGGAUCCCAACGACACAAUCAAAGACCCAUGCGACGUGUUCAACAACAGUACCCUUCAACGAGGGAAGUCUUGUCCCCUUGUGGCGCAACAUGACUAAAAAUUGUAUAUGCUCUCUACUCUCUGUUUAAAAACAUGGGAUGAGGAUCCUUUUAGAGGGGGGUUCGAGAUGUUUGACCCAAAAGUAAAUGGGAGACUCUGCCCAAAUCCCCAACUUUUGGAUACAUUCGGCUCUUUCGUGGGACUUCUUGUGUAGUUGUAAGCAGUAACAUUUUUGUCUCAACAUUGUGUUGUCCUAUUUAUCAAUUUGACAUGGCCGACCCAAACACAAAUGGAAACAACACAAUUUCACCAACUGCCCUGAAUUUCCCAUGCCUUUGGGUUGCCAAACUUUAGCAGUGGAAACUAGGCAUGGGGUUUGGGUGCUUUUCACGUGUAAAGUGGAAGUUCAUCAAGUUGCAAAUGACAAAGACUAUCCCAAGGACGACUACUGUGAUAUGUUUGAUGAUUUUCAUCGUCUUCUUGAAUGGAAGGGUACAUCCAUGCUCGUCUAUUUGAUGUCAAAGGAUUUGACAUCGUUGACAGCUCUUGAACCACUGAAAUUGCCUCAUUUGAACACGUUACUUAGACGUGUGUGUAAUAUAGAACCUUAGAUGAUAUAGAACCUAAGCUGGUCCAUUUAGGAGCUCAAACCAUCUGCCUAAUUUUGUACACGAGGGACGGAGCAAUGAGGGAGAAACAUAUUUUUUCCUUGAUGUUUGAAUUUGAAAUUGUAGACAGCAUACACUCCUUAGCCCUCCGGAAUUUUUGUGGUCCUUUCAAGUUUACGUUGGAUGUACCGGCCAUCUGAAUCGAUGGCCAUUAGAGUAGGCUUGCUUGGUGUCGAAACCUUCAUAUCAAAUUUCUCAUAUUCAAAUCCAAAACCGUAGAUCAAAUUCCUCAUAUUUAAAUUCCUCAAAACCAAAUCCCUCAACUCUAAAGUUCUCAAAUCCUCUUAUCAAAAUCCCUAAACACAUACCCUCAAAUCUUAUAUUAAGAGUUUCAAUUUUAGUGGGACAUAUAUUUGAAAGUGAUCUUGAUGGGAUAAUUAGCCUCCUCAAUAUUUUUGUAGUCCGCUUUAUUAUCGUAAGAAAUAAAGAAGAACAAAAAAAUGUAUUGAAUUGAUAAGUUUUGCUACAUGCCUAUACAUAUGCAAUGAGUAAUUUUUAGAGAUAACAAUUUAUGAGAAUGUUUAGAGUAUAAACAUUAGGUCCAAUUCCCGACACACCCAUUUGUUUAUACAAGGUGAUGACGGCCGAAUAAUGUUUCAAUUUCGCAACUUGACCCAAUAUUUGAGUGAAACGAACAACUGAAGGCCGAGGACGCAUUUGAAGCUCUUUAUUCUCUCAGCUUCACCUGAGUCAUACCAGUAGGCAAAAAUAAGAAAAUCAAUACAACUUUGAUCAUCAUGCUUCAAGUAAAAUCUUAAGAGCACAGUACUAAACCGACCUGGAGUAUCCGGUUUCAAGUCAUGCAUUGAUAUGUUGUGAUGCAGUAAUGACUGAUUAAUGAAUGAAUAAUUGCUAUGCAGUAAUAUAGAAGUGGAUCAAUAAUAUACGUAGAUAAAAUGUCUGGGGGCUCAGAGAGUGAUGAAUGUGCAACAGCUAAUGGGAGGGUUUAUAUUCCUGAAGUAAGAAAUGACGGAGAUUUGUCUGAUAGGGCACGGAACAGAGUAGCACAGCAUGGUUGCACCAGGGAAAGCUCAAGCCAACAGCGGAAAGGAGAAUUCCUGGAUGAAUAUGGAGAUUCAAGGAUCCGAGAAAGUCAAGCGCGCCUCUUAUUCUUUCAAGCAGUAAGGACAAGGAUGCAUCGGAGUCAGGGUUUGCAAAGGCAUUGAAUGGGGAUUUGAGUAGGAACCAGAAGAAAAAGAUUAGAAGAAAGGCUAAACGAGCAGCCCAAGGAUGUGUGGAUAGAGACGAAGCUGAUGCUGAUCUAGAAACAUCCACCGAAGUAGAGUCAUCCCCUCCCGGCACAAACUUGCUCAGCCUCUUUCAACACUACCGAGUCCAUCACCACUUCCCAACAAUCAUUUUCAUCAACAUAUUUGCUCAACACUCCUUUACUCUCAUCCACAACAUACAUCGUAUCAUGGUCAUGAUGAUGAUCAUCAUUUAAUUGGAUAAUUCCCAAUUAAAUUGAGUAACUCCUAAUUAGGUUGAUUGACUCCCAAUUUGGUCAAAUAAUCCCCAAAUGGUAGGAAUUAUUUGACCUAGGGUUUGAUUUGGGUUCAGUGGCAGCAGUGGCUUUAUACUUGCGUUACUAACCUGGACUCAAAACCUAACUCCCUUCCCUUCCCUUCCCUUCACCCACCUCAAGAGACACCAAACCAACGCCAAACUAAGCAAUGCCUAUUUAAACUUAGGCAGCGAGAGAGAGAGAGAGCGGCUGACAAAAUCACACUUGUUCAAUGUACAUGCCUUCUUCCUAGCUCUAUAGAUUUGCUGGGAAGAAGGUUCCAACCCAAAGUCCCUCUGAAUUGCAGCUGUAAAUCCCUUUACAGACCAAUCAGGAUCCAGAACCCUGAGCAGACUGUUGAACACCCAAAUGGGUAAUACCACCCUUAGAAACAGUUGAACCAACUGAUCCACUAGAAGUGCUCAGUGAUGAAGACAUUCUGGCUGAAACUAAGUCCUUUCCAGAGCACACAGUGGUUGGAACUCUACUCUUGAGAGUUUGUGUGGUGGAGUGCCCAUGAUCUGUUGGCCCUUCUUUGCAGAGCAACAAACCAAUUGUAGGUUCUGUUGCAGAGAGUGGGGAAUAGGCAUGGAGAUAGAGGGUGAUGUUAAAAGAAAAUACCAAAGCCUUGUCUAAAAACAGAUUCCAGUUUCUGCAGUCCAAGCUUUCACUUGGAAUUCUUGAUUCUUCCAAGUUUGGCUUGAGGGGGUGUAAAGAUGAAGAUGAUAUAUCAUAACUAAAGUUGGUUGGUUAUUAGUUUAGUCUGUUAUAAGUUUUGUGAUGUUUCUUGGUUACUCCUUAUAGGAAUAAAAUUUGGCAUGUGGGAUUUGCCAAUGGAAGAUUAUUCUCAGAAUAGUAUAGUGAUAAUUUAUUUUGUACUUCUUCAAAUUUUCCAUAUACUAUAGAUUUUUUGUUAUUGAAAAAAAUUUGGGCUUGGGUGACAUUGUGUAAAUUUUUUGUACUCGCCCAGGCCAAGAGGAACCUUCGAUUCUGCUGCUCUGCUUUAGCCCUGAGAGAAUAUCGAUUUUCUAAUAUCUAGUGAAUACAGUGCUUAUUAAGAUUUAUAAUGGAUGGCUAUCAUAGUCUAGUUUUAGUUUCCCCAAGGAAGUAGGAUUGAAGAGUCAAGAAUAGGGGUACUGAGAUUUUGGAUGCACAAGAAAAUUGACACAGCAAAUAACAAAUGAACCAUCAAUAUUUGACCCAUGGUGAUGUAUUCAAGAACAGGAAGGUGAUUUCCUAUAAACUAGGAAUUCUUGAUGGGUUUUUGUUUAUGCUCUGAGAAAGAUGAAUUGGGAGCUGAAAUUUUGAAUCUUAGUUACUUUCCCAUGUGGGUCUGUAGGAAAAUGAAACCCUUUAUUUAACUAAGCCCAAUUAAACUAUUCGUUCAAGUAGAAUUUAGCUUUUUUUCCAAUUUUUUCGUUAAUUUUGUGACGGCGCCUCUUAAGCUUAGCCAUGAGCUUCUCGUGGUCUCCCAAAAUUCUUUCAUUGGAGACCUGCAGCAUGUCUAGCCUUCUCAGUGUAUCAACAGAGUACGAACUCACCAGUUUCGUCUACUGCUAGGUAUAUAAUACAGAAUAGCUAGGCUUAUUAUGAAAAAGGAUUGAGAUUCCUUUCAUUUCAUGUCACGGGCAUAGGGUUGAUGUGAGAAGUAUGAAGCAAGAAGAUUCCAUUCAGGUCAUGGAAUGACCAAUUUGGGGACUUCUUGCUACAUCUAAUACUCAUAUAAAUUGCAGGAAUGGACUUAUGCAACUAUUAUUUGGGAACAUGACAUUGCAGCUCAACAUAUUCAACAUUUGCAAUCAGCCCGCAAUUAAUACAUGCUUUGAAGUUUGAAAGUUGGAAGCUUGGGCUGAUUGAUGUGUGUGUUAGGUUUACAGAGUGAUGCGGACAUGGACGACGACUUUUCGUUUCUGCAACCGUUGGAUCUUAUCACUCCCGCCGCCCGUUUGCCGACCCUCAGUAGGGGCCCUAGGCCCCCAAAGGCACGUGUCGUUGGUGAAGCCCUCGCGGCGGACGAGCUGCAUAUUUGUACACAACAGAAACAAGCACAUAUAGUACAGGUUAAUUUCUGCAAUUCACAAAAAACUCAACAACAAAAAAUCCACAAAAAGAGAAAACACAUCAUUAAGUCAACAAAAACCGUACACAUGAUUGUAGAUAGAUAGACCAGCGUAAAAAGAAGCCAUCUUCUUCAAGUAGUUCAACAAAUUAUAAUUCUGUAAAUCAAUUUGAUGCAAUGAAGCUCGUUUCUGGAUCUGAGGCAUCUUCUAUGGCAUAUUUUCGUGAAGUUUUAAAUGUUGAUAAGAACCCACAAAUAAUUGACGUUUACUUUAUCGCAAAUUUAUUUUUACUUAAAGUAUGAUGUGGAAUUAACCCUCAUACUUUAUGAAUUUACUUUACUGCACAUUUACUUUUACUUAAAGUAUGAUGAGGAAUUAACCCUCAUACUUUAUGAAUUUACUAAACAAACACAAUUGAUGGAUGAAACUGUGAGAUUGUCGAGGGUUUUGUGAGGUUUUUGGGGGUUCAACCGAUAGACUAACGAACAGCGUAACUUCUUCUUCUUCCUUUAUUUUGUGGCUAUAUUGCUAACUUCUUAUUAUCCAUGGCGGGGGAGUGUAUCAUUCAAGCUUGUAUCGGCCCAGUAAAUGUAGCGCUUGAUGAUCUAGUUAUAUCCUGCAAGAAUAAAAUCACAAACUCUUUUCUCUGUGAAAAUAAAUAACCUACAAAAAUUGUGAUAUUGAUUGCAAGAGAAGGUAAGCAAUCAUGGAAGCAAGCUGGUGGGAGCAGACAACAAGCUCAAGAAGGCUUGAUGAGUGGGUGAAACUUGACCAACUUGAUCUUGAUUCAGUAGAGGCUGUAGUUGAUGAGAAAGUGGAGGAUAAGGUAACUCUGCCCUCUUUGUUAUCAACCCUUCUUCAAAUGUCCCUCUUGAUUCUUGUUCAUAGGUGUCAUUGCGGUUUGCUUAGUCUUUCAACUUGAGGCUCAACAAUGGGAGGCUCAAGAAGUGCUAGAAGACAAUGUACUAGACGAUGACCCAUCAUUCUUUUUCUUAAAAAAAGACAACAAAUUCUUUGUUCUCAUAGGAUUCCGAUAUAAUAAAAGAUAGCUUAUAAACUAUUCAAUUCAACAAUGGAGAACCGAGCGGUCCAAGAGGUAGCUCUCUUUCUCUCUCUAGCUCUUUUGUGGCGUAUGUACAUUUAUGUUUAUUAAAAAGAAUUGAGCUUUGCAAUGGUUGAUUGUAGAUAUUGGAGAAGCAAUUACUGACAGUAGCGAAGGCGGUGUCAAAACGGAGACUAUAACAAAUAACUAGUCCUUGUUUGGCCUUCUGGAUUGAUUGUGUGCGUGUUUUUUCUUUUUCAAAUGAUUCUUUCACGUUCUUUUUACUUUUGGAACCCAAAAGAUGUAGAAUUAUUUGGGAGCUUCAUGUUAAUGUCGUUUUCUCCUUUGUUCUGUGAAAAAAGGUAACUUGUUGAUAUUUUUUUCUUUUCUUAUUCCAAUAAUUGUUAAAUGAGUUUGUUGCUCGGAAUUUUCCGAAGUAUUGUGCACAUAGUGAUCAUAAGUUUUGUUAGGAUGUGAACAUAUUAUGUCUUGAGUGUUUUUAAUGAUAAUUGAAUUACAUAUAGAUGAAUCCCUAUCCUGAACUAGCUAUACAAUUAGUAAGUAAUUUGUCUUCUCCAGGUAGGGAUCCGGAUCCUCUGCUUUGAUUUUCUCUGCCAUAAUCUGCUUUACUUUUCACCUCCAUAUGACACCUCAUUAAAAUUUAAUCUAAGGGAUUAAAGUUUGACACAUCAUCUCUAAAAUAAAAAUCCAAUUUACUACUAAUUAAAAAACAAAACAAAAACCCUAAUUCAACUAUCAAGAAACUUUACUCCUGCAAUUUUUUUUCUAUCUCCCUUCUCUUCAACAUCCCUCCUUUUCAACUGUUUUUCUCUUCUUUCUUUCUCUGCAGCUUUUCCACCCAAUUGCACAAUUUUUUUUUAUGGGAGAAAAUACAAUUUUCUUAUUUUGUAUUGGUUUGAUUAAAGACAACUUUUUGUACUUCUUUUGUUGGUUUGUUUGCUGUAAUACUGAGUCUUUUUUUUCUUUACUGUGCUCCCUACGCCCUGUUGGAUUUGAUCUUUUAGACUUUUUUUUGGAUUUGUUUCUCCUGAUGGUACCAAAACAUUGAAAUCCAAUUCAAAGCCAGACAGAAACCCAUCUAGUUUCGGUGAGAAAGUGGAAGUUUUGAAUUGUUGCAGAGAUAGGAAGAAAACCCAAAAAACAUAGGAGCAUGUAGAAGGGACCAAUAAAUAAGAGAAAAGCAUGUCCACAGACAAACCCGGAAUCCAGAUAUUGAAACAUGAUUUCUCUUUUAUCUAGGAAAACAACAAGGGAAUACUUUUUUCUUGGAACCACCAUCUUCAAACAAUGGAUAUGGGAAGAUUUUUUUAUUUUAUUUUUAAUCUUGUAGACAGGAAAGAGGAGAUUACAGAGGUUUUGGGGAAGGAAAGCUUGCAGAGGUCGUUAGUUAUUUUUGUUUGUUUUUUAAUUAGUAGUAAAUUGGUUUUUGUUUUAAAGAUGAUGUGUCAACUUUUAAAUCUGUUAGAUUAAAUUUUAAUGAGGUGGCAUGUGGAGAACAAAAGUAAAGCAGAUCAUGGCAGAGAAAAUCAGAGCAGAGGAUCCGGAUCCCAGGUAGAUCUGCUGUAAAAUUUCCAAAUGCUAUUCAAAUGUUAAAGAUUACCACUUAAUUUGAAUUUGAACUUGUAGAGACCAGACACGCCUUAUCCUUCCAAAGGUUGUAUCCUCCGUUCAUCUUUAGUUAUGAGGCAUAGGCUCAUUUAUGAUUUGUUGCAAGAAGAGUUGUAAGGGUGCACUACUAAAAAAACUCGUGGUUUACACUUCAUAAAAUAGGUUAAUUUUAUUCUUGUAAUUUGUCAGGUUUGAACCAUUCUCAAAAUUCUGUGGAUGCUUGGAGACGCUUUUAACUUUUAGUUUUCUCAAGGGUUAUCAAAAUGACCCUAAAAUAAACUUUUUUUAAAAGUGAUUUUCUUGGUAUGAUUGAAGUUCACGUCCCCUCACUUUUUUUUAAAAAAAAUUUAUAAUAUAGAUAUAAUUGGAUGGAUUUCUUAAGGGAAAUAUAUAUCCCAAUAUAUAUAAGUAUACAUUUUCUUGGAAUCUAUCAAACUGAUAGACAUGUACGUGUAUUUGUUGACAAACAAUUGCAAAAUAUUUCAUAUAUGCCUAGCUUUGACUAUGUUUUAUACAUAGCUUGAAAAAAAAAAUUAUUGUACAUAGAAAUUUGCACUAGGAAACAUGUUCAAUUAACUUUAAUAUUUAAUAUGACUAACUAUGCACUACUGGAUGAAUAAUUCCCUGCAUCCAAUUGUUUGCUCCAAAAGACAAGUUUAGACAAGUUUGCAUGUAAAAUAAUUAGCCCAACUUCUUGUCAUUAUUUUAAAAUUAUGUUUGUGGUCAAUUAAAUUAGCUGAUAAUAUAAUAACUAAUAAUUAAAUAAAAAGGCGUCAUGAAUGCUAGGAAUCGUUAACCUAUUUUAUACUGGGUUGUGGUGGGUUUUACGCUUUCCCUAAACCCUGUUGAGAUAGUAGUUUGCUUAAAACUUCCAAAAGCCACUUUCACACAUUUGCAUCUAUCUAUCAGUGUGUAGUGAAUAAUAUUCUAGUAGUGGUGGUGUGUGUUGAGAAAAGUCGAGUCUCUCCUUCAUAUUUAUGUUAUCCAUGCAUAUUGAGAGAGAGAGAGAGAGAGAGAGAGAGGGGGUGGUCGGGAAAGCCAAAUCAGAAGAGACAAUGCAUCUUUUCUUAAAUAAUAGUUUUUGUUAUAAAACUGGAGAAUUUGGAGAGGAAAUUGAGAGAGAGAGAGAGAAAGUAGAGAAACUGAGUUUCUUAUUCUCAUUUCUAUGUGUAUUGAACAAUGAAGGGAUGAACCCUUUUAUCGGCAAAGCCUAGGGAACAUGUGGGCUCCACAACUAAUUAUUUACAACACUCCCCCUUGGAGACCACAAAUGAUAUGGAAUAUGCCUCGUUAAAAACCUUGCCAGUAAAAACCCAGUGGGACAAAAACUGGUCAAAGGGAAAAAGAGUACAUAAUCAUGUGUAACAUAAAAUUCUGUGUAUAUUGACGCGCGUGCGACACUGCCUCAUUAAAACGUUGCCAGGAAAAACCCAAUGGGAUAAAAACCUGGACGAAGGAAAAAGAGUACAGUGUUUGAAGAUCUGUAUUGAUAGCACGCUCCCCCUGAUGCUUGGCAAAAUAUCUUUAAGUCAUGCUGUUGAUCACCUUUCUGAAUAUUGUAGUUGACACUGCUUCUGUGAGUCAAUCUUGAGCGACACUGCCACGUUAAAACCUUACCAGGAAAAACCCAGUGGGAUAAAAAAAACCUGGAUGAAGGAAAAAGAGUACAGUGUAUGGAGGUCUUUAUUAAAACCACGCUCCCUUUUGUGAAUAUCUCCCCCUGAAAAAAUUUCAUGACUAGCUUUUCCAGUAUGCGACCAUAAAAAUUUUCAUAGUAUACCCUAAACCCUUGAGCGACACUGCCUCGUUAAAACCUUACCAGGAAAAACCCAAUGGGAUAAAAACCUGGAUGAAGGAAAAAGAGUACAAUGUGGAGCUGAGCUCUAUCUGGUCUAGUAUACUUCCGGAAAAACAUUGAAGGACCAACGGAUAAGACUCUCUGAGUAUAAGCAAGAAUCUCGUUGGCAUAAUGCUCAAUCCUUAAGUCGAGACAAAUAUUUCGUGAAUUCUGCAGAAGUUUUAAUGUGUUGCAAACACAUUAUAAUCAAUGUACUCACUGAGGUAAUUUAUGCAUAUUAAUAUUGAGUACAAACUUUGUGCUUCAAGCACAUGUCCUUUAGGGACUUGCUUCAUGCAAUUUCAAUCCUUUCAAGGAUUUUGUUUAAAGGGAUUAAACUUUAUGACACAUUAUAUAGCUUUAACCCAGCUAUUUAUACAUCUUUAGGGAAUCGCUUCUGGCGAUAUGCUCUGUGCAUUUAAUAACCCUUAAAGAUAAUAUGUUGGUCUCCAUAAUUGUGUAAUAAGGGGGGGCACAAUUGAAUCUGUAAAUAUGGAGAAAAACCCAACAUUCCUUGUUUCUGCCAGAAAACAGUGUGUCAUACAAAGUAGGUAUAUUCCCUUUUAUUCCGAACACCCAAGUAUAAAUUUCAGUAUUAACAUGUGUUGGGGUUCGUACUGUGGGUUUGUUCUUUCACGUUCAUUCUCAUCUAUAAUGGAAUUACCUCUUUCCAUUUUGGCCAAUGAUAUUGUCGACAUUUAAUAAUUGAACGUGGUUCCAAUCAACACAGCCCAUUGAUGAUUUGAGUAGCUACUCUAAAACCAAAAAUUGUCAUUCAUCAAUUCAUGAUCCCACCAUUCUCGUUUGCAUGCGCAUGCAUCAUUUAUAAGCAUUUCUUUGCUUUUGGGUACCCAAGCCACUUCAUGGGGCUUUUAUUAUGUGAGAAUGUGGAUUAUAACCUCCAUAGGAGCGUUAUUUAGUAGUAGGGCGUGGAUAAUCUCCAUUUAGGGAGUUGGAACAUUUAGAACCCAUAUAUCUGUCAUGCUGCAGGCAUGCCACAGAUUAAUACAUACAUGUCAAUUAAUUUCUGGGACUUUAACCCAUAUUACGGGACUUUAACCCAUAUAAUUUGCUACCCAUUAGGCGUGCAUAAUAUCAAUAUUGACAUGUCAAAGGAUUGUCCUUUCGGGACUUCAAUCCACAUCAUUUGCUACGCAACAGGCGUGCAUCAUAUUGAUCACUGCUAUACCCAUAUUCUGUUCUUAUGGGACUUUAAUCUGUGCAGUGUAUUAUCAAUGUAUCCAACUUACAAUCUGUAAAAUUUGCGUUAAUAAUUCAUGGAUACAUACAAGCCAUUCUUUUGGAACGGACUUAUCUCCCUAUUUGGUUACCUUUCAAGAUAAAAUAUCAAAUAAGUAUAUAAGCAUAAAACAACACAAGUAUUGCUUACAUCUUAGGUGGGAGAAACUUUUCUCAAGUAUCAUUCAAGCUCGUAUCGGCCCAGUAAAUGUAGUACUUGAUGAUCUUGUUAUAUCCUGCAAAAGCAAAAGUCACAAUUCUUUUCUCUAUCAAAAACAAAUAACCCUCAGAGUUAGGAUCACUUCAUGGAUUCUUUCUUCAGAUGUUCAUUCUAAAGAAAUAAGAUCUCUUAUGAACAGAGAGUUAUAAAAAGAGAAAAAAAAUGCAAAAAGAUUGUGAUAUUGAUUGCAAGGUAAGGUAAGCAAUCAGGGAAGGACGCUGGUGGGAGCAAACUACAAGCUCUCAUUUCUUCUAGUUUAGAAGAACUUCCGGGGAUUAGAGCAUAAGGUUGCCUUCACAGUUCCCUGAUGUGGGGGAAACGUGAUCAGAGAUAGUCUCGCUUCCUGAAUGGAUGAUCAGAGAUAGUCUUGCUUCUCGGGCACAUUAAGUGCUCACUGAUAAGAAAAACAAGUAGAUAUCGCAUUUACUAGAUAUGGAGAAAACUGGAUAUCUUCUGCAAAGAAAAUUUCGUUAGUAACACAUUUAUACACAAAUAAAAGGAAUAGGUAGAACUGGUGAAUUUCAAAUUAACCAUAGGAAAAUUGCGAGAGUCUCGGGUUACUUUUGAAAAAGUAGCUCCGUGAAAUCCGUAAAGCAAGAUCGGCUUUGAAAAUAAUACUUGAAAACGCCGAAAGUGCCGACAAACAUUAAUGGAGGCCGCGUGAAGUUUCGGAAUUUCCUUCAGAGGCUUCCAGAACAUAAUGUAUUUUUAUAGAUUUUUACAGGACCUGCACCUUCAUUGCAGGUGGAAAAAUCUAUCAGUUGUAUGUUCCUGUAAUAAUAAUUGCGCACAUUCUUAAACUUGCACCUGUGGUUUUUACGUCUUUUCAAAAUGACGGUUUGGAACCUUGUGCCUUAUAGGUUCAAAUAACCACAUCGACUCUCCCAAAUUUCAUAUUUCAACGUAUGGGAACCCGGAACUUUUGGCCUGGGCUAAACACAAACUCAGAAUUUUUUUCGCCCCUGUUCAAAUGGUAUGGACAUAUUUACAAUUUUCUGUACAUAUUUCUGGACUUCAAGCCCUGACAUAAUUGUCCAUAUCAUGAGGAACUUCUGGCAUCUCAUUUAAUUGCUCAUCCAUGAGUUUAAGGAACUGCAGGUUCCCUUUUUGAAUAGUGAUAGUUUACCCAAAAUGGUAAAUAUUUAUGCAUACAUCACUAUUCAUGUAUACGGCACUAUUCAUGUGUACAGUACAUUUGCCAGUAUAGUUAUCAUCCAUGUGUACGGCACUAUGAACCAAUACGGUACUGUUACAUCAUUAAGGAACUCUAGGUCCUUAUUUACAUGUCAGGGAUCAAGGACCCUUAAGUCCGAUCACAUGUUUACAAAUAUAGUACCGGAGAGACUGCCAUCUCUCAUUUUAAUAUCAUCAUCAAGGAUUUUCAAGUCCUGAUAUAAUUGUAUGAUGAGGAUCAAGGAACUUCUGGUCCUGAUCUGCAUACUGUAAAAACUCAUCAUACAGUACAUUUAAUCUAUAAAAUAAAUUGCUGGUAAAUAAAUUAUUGGAUGGACGAUAAACCCACACCAUACUUUAAAUAAAAGGAAAUAUAAAGUAUGAGGGUUAAUUCCACAUCAUGCUUUAAGUGAAAGUAAAUUUACGAUAAAGUAAAGGCAAUUAUUUGUGGGUUCAUAUCAACACCACAAUCAAAUAGUAUGAUAUUAUAUUAAAUCAAUUUAUAAAGUAGAAGUCAUAUUUACCCCGACCGAAGUUCACGUUAAGAUUCCAAAACCAAGAGACCAAGUGGGUGGCUGUCAAUCAGUAAAGCCUGGCAAUCAUUUAGUGUGCAUGUGUAAUUUCGAUAGCGGCACAAUCAAUGGGGCUUUAAAGAAAACUUCAAAACUUAUGCCUGAAGCAAGUUGGCCAGCACCAAUAAUGCCGCCCACAAUGCAAAAAUCAAGUUGCCCAGCACCAAUAAUGCCGCCCACAAUGCAAAAAUCAAGUUGGCCACUUUUGCCUGUUGCUUUCUCUUUCACCCUCUCCUUGUCUUUUCUUCUUUCCACCCGACAGCAUCUCGUGUGCCUGAGCUGCUGUGCUUUUAUGGAGCUCCGCGUGAGAUUUGUUAACAAUAUUUUCCUCAAAAGCCAGCCAAUCUGUGCUUAUCCAUGGGACGCAAAUAGUCCCACCACGUUUGUACUACAACCUCACCCACUCACUCAAUUUCUUUAACCCAGUCAGACGGCACCAAAUUUCUUCUUCCACUACUUCUCAUCUUCUGCCUCUCUCUUGCUUUUUUUUUUAUUUUUUUUAUUUUUUUUAUUUUUUUAUUUAUUCGAUUUUCUGGCAAGCCUCCAAAGACAGCAACGACCAAGUUGCCUUGUCAUGGCUGGCGGCCAUUGCAAAAACCUUUUCCAUGAAGAAAAUGACUUGGACAUGAGGCUGGUUGAUUAUGUAGAUGGAGAAUCCGGCGGGGCCCCAGGUGAAGCCGAUGGUCUGCCUCACUCCCCACGCUCACUCCACUCUCCUAUUGUUAGGAGAGAGAGACGACGAGUUUCAGAGUCAGUGGGAGGGGCUAGCCGCCAUCUCCUCAUACCAAUUUGCUGCUUCUUGCUUCAGCUGCUAUCUCUCUGCUUCAACAUCUCAUCACCUCAGAAUGCAAACCCACUGCACGUCCACACCACAAAGCACAGCUAGUGGUGGAAGGCCAGACUCUCCGUCAGCCCUCAGCCUCCGUCUGCUGUUGCUGCUGCCGCAACUGCGAAGCCUUCGUACUUACUGCUACCAACAGUAACAAAAGCAAACCCGGUGAGGGAGAACACACCGGUGCCGCUCCACUACGUCCGCAACCACGGCGUGUUCCUGGUGGGGAUUCUGGCCGGAAAACACCCCAGCGGCAGAGGCAAGAGAUGAGGCCAUUAGAAGCUCUGCUGCUUCUUCACUAUGUUGCUAAGCCCGAAAGCUUGUCUCUCCAUUGUUGCUUGCAUGUUCAGGUUCAGGGCAUGGUCUCCAGCUGCAGGCACAGCUGCUGGAGUUGGUGGGACUGGGACUGGAUUUCUCUGAGCCAGCUCCUUCAAGUUCUGGUCAAACGAGCCACCCGAGGUCGUUCAGAUCAAUCAUGGUCAGUCCCUGCAGAGGCUUACCAGUCAGGCUCUGAAACAUGACCCUCGGCGGAGGCGGCGGCAGAGCUCGAGCUGUUGCUCUGGUGCUGGCUAUGGGGUCCGAACCCAUGGUCGUGGUCUCGAGCUGUUGCUGUUGCUCUGGUGAUGGUUGUGGUGGUUGUGUUCGGAGGAGUAGGUGGAGGAAGAAGAAGAAGAGUGUUUCUGCUCAGGCCGAAGUCUCGGGGCAGCUCCCCUGAGAUUUUGUUGUUUCGGAGGUCGAGGUACAUGAGGCUGGAGAGGUUGGUCGGCGAAGUUGAGGACUGUGAGCUGGUGUAGCCGGCCGAUACCUGCCGGAAACUGGUCUGAUAUUUUGUUUCCAUGGCCAGACAUCUUCGAAGCUUAGGUUCACUUCUUCAACCUGCCGCUAGCCUUCUAUUAUGAUUAUAUAAUAUUAUAGAUAUAAUAAUGUGAUAAACAAUUAGGAUAAAGAAAAGUAUGAGAACUUAUCUGCCGUAGCCCUUUUCUCUGCUUUGGAUUGAUAAUUCUGAUCUGAAAUGAGAGCUCUUUUAUUUUUCUUAUGUUAAGGCUCAGGCCAGUUGGUGGGGAAGAUGAUCGGUGUGAGAGAGAAGCUGUUGGGUAGGUAAUUUGUUACCGCUUUUAUGUAUCCAGUGAAGAGUGAUUGGUUUUACAAAUCUGGAUCUGUGAUUUACAAACCCAUGGUUGCUUGCUUGCUUGUUUUAUUGUGAUCUACAUGCUGGGAAACAAAGCAGAGGUCGGUUGUUAAGGUUUGAGGCUUGGCAGAGAAAGAGAGAGAGAGCGUUGAGGCUCUGAAUUUUGGAGGUAGAGAAAUCGUGCUGAUAACGUGUUAUAAAACUGGAGAAUUUGGAGAGGAAAUUGAGAGAGAGAGAGAGAAAGUAGAGAAACUGAGUUUCUUAUUCUCAUUUCUAUGUGUAUUGAACAAUGAAGGGAUGAACCCUUUUAUCGGCAAAGCCUAGGGAACAUGUGGGCUCCACAACUAAUUAUUUACAACAGUUUUCAGAUUUUAUAAUUUUGUUUUUUCCAUUCUACAGAUGGACAAUAACCCACAUAUCUUGGGUGGCCAGGUCCAAGGUAGUCAGUUUGUAAGUGUUUUAUAUUUGUUUUUUUCUUUAUCGUAAUUGAUUGAUUUUUUUGUUUACAUGUUUAUUUAGUUUAAUAAUUCAUCUUUCAGCCUGAUGGCUAUCAAAUCAACUAUUAUUCGAAUGGGUUGCAAAUUGAGCAUAACAAGUGGGCAGGAAAAAUAUUGGAGUCCACUGGUGGCCAAUAUGAGGCAUACUAUCAUUUGCUUUAUCCAGAUGAGCAACAUAUAGCUGAUUACUGGCUAAAUUGCACAAGUGACACCAACAACCCACUAUACCUCACAGUAUAUGGUAGCAUCAAAAUAAUGGCAAAUGAUACUAUGUGUACGCUUGUAUUCACGGAACUUGGUGACCCUUCAAGAUUGGAUUUCUCCAAAUCUUGUUGUAUCAAAAGGGGAAUUUAACAAUUUGUCGAUUGUUACAAUUGUUUUCAUGGUCACAGGCUGCACUUAUAGCAAAGUGUAGAAUUGGGACAAAAAAAACUUUGAGAAAUUAGACAUAACCUUUAAGAAACUCUCAAAAAACCCUAGCCCCCUUUCUCCCAAAAAACACUCUUAGAGCCUUUUCCACCUUGAGGGGGGAAGAAGCCAUUGUUCUUCCCCCCUCUCCUCUCUUCUCUUCCUUUCUUCCUCCUUUCACCUCUUCCCCCAUUUUCAAAGACAAAGGGUUUUCCCUAUUUGUCUUAGUUUUAUUAUGAUUUGCAUCCAACCAUUAUUGGCGGCUGCGGCUCAGCGUCGGAUCUUCACCUGCAUUUCGGCGUCAGAUCUCCACCACCAUCUUUUUUGCAAUUUCUUUAUGUUUGGAAUAAGUUGCAGAGACUCUUUGGGUUCUCUGUGUAGUUUUCACCUCUCCUUUUGUGAGAGUUUUUCGUCCCUCCUUUGUGAGAGCUUUUCAUCUCUCCUUUGUGAGAGCUUUUCAUCUCUCCUUUGUGAGAGCUUUUCAUCUCUCCUUGGUGAGAGUUUUAUUUGUAUUGUUAUGGCUUGGUUUUUUCAAGCUUUAUCUCUUUUUUAUUAUUCUAAGUUUGCAAUCUUAAUUGGGAUGCCUAUGCCAGAGUUUCUUCGAUCUUGCCUGAUCGUUGGUGGAGACAUACCUGAUUUUCUUAAUUUUGAUAUUAGACCGCUCCGUUAUUGUAAUGGCUCUUUUGUGGCUAGUUUGUAUUGGCCCUUUGUGGCUAGUGGCUUUUUUAGUUGAAUUAUGAAUGCAAUCAUAGAAUUUCUCAAAAGACAUAACCUUUAAGAAUUGGCAAGACAACUUGUCAUACUUCAUACCAGUUAUGAAAUUUAUAUUGAAAGUGCAAUUACUGCUCAAGUAAUCAUAAAGGCAAAAGUAAUAGAAAUGUUCUUUCUGUACAUGGUGUACAACCCUCAUAGAUACAGAAUCCAUUUUGAUGCAUUCAAAAUUACCUUGCUCUUUUGCACUCUUACACGAACCCGAACUCCAAUUACUUCAUCUCCAUUUACCUAAUCAGUACAGAAGUACGUUCUAUGAGCAAACAACAUAGAUCAAACUCUAUUAGAUGACCUAAAGAGAUAAAUAUACUCAUCCAUUAAAAAGCUAUCAUGCAAUAAGAAACAAUGGCUAUUGUUCUUACAGACUUUAUCUUCCCUGUAGAACGUAUUUCAAGCCGAAUUGAGGCAAAGAAUUUUAAUGCAAUUCCUCCAAAUGUCGCUUGUGGAGUACCAUAGCAUACACCAAUCUUGCAAAAUGAACGAAUGAUGCCAUUAGUUUCUGGAAGUGAAACAAUUGUGAUUAGGGGAAAAUAACUAACAAAGAAACUUGACGGAACAAUCAAAAUCAUACACAUCUGAAAAAUUAAUGACUCAAGUUUAGUUGCUUAGACCUAGGCACUCAAAUCUCAAUUGUUUCAAUGAAUCCAAGUACAUACCAUACAAAUAUAGAUAUACAUACCAUGCAUUCAGCUGCUUAGCCCGUGCUCUAAAAUCAAGCCCCAACUCCUUCAGUUGCUUCUCAUAGUGAAAGGAACCAACCCCAAAACCAGGGAGAAACAACACUGGAAGGGAGCCUAAGGUUUCACAUCCAGCUUUCUCAUAAUGCACACUUAAUUUGGGCUUUCAUUCUCAAAAGCAACUAUUUACUGGCGCACCCGAUUCACCUUUGGAUUCAUCUGGUAGACCAGGACUCAAAACUUUAGUUACUGGUUCCCCUGUUUUCGAAAUACUUUCAUUCUCUUCCCCUUCAAUUACGUAGCCAUCAGAGCUUCCACUUGAUAAAAUUGGACCAACAUGUUUGAAGUUUUCACCGGUGUCUAAUGACCUAAAACCUCCUUGGUGAUUUAGUUGCUUCAAGAAAGGCUGAUCUAAAUUGUAACAGCUCAAAAAUUUCCUUCUAACAUCAAAUUUAGCACCAAAAACUCUGUUUUUUCUAAAACCUAGGAGACUGAAUUGAUGUGAACUUGAGCUUAUCACAAUCAAUUUCCACCUUAAAUUAACAGUAUCAUAGCAUGGUGCAGAACUGUAUGAGAGUACUUCCAUACCGACAAACUGUUCUGCAAUGACCAAUCAAAACAGUGAUUCAACAACAAUUUGACCUUACCCUUUAUUGCAUGAGACUAAUUGAGAAAAUGAAUAAGAAUAAUUUGCAAAUCACAUGUUGUAUGUAGCUUUCAUGCUUCCAACUUUUCCUCAACACACACACACACACGAACACACACAAAAGUAUAAACUGAUAUGAACAGAACUUAAUAUCAAUUACCAAUCAUGAACUUCAGUAAACACCCAAAAACUGGUUAAGAUAUUUAUUAUAACUUGAGAAAAGACUAAACAAAAUUAGCAACCAGUAGCUUUCCUGCACAACUCUAAAGGAAACACAAAGAUUUAUGGCAAAAGAAGAACAAAUUUCUUAAUUGUUUUGGGUUACCUUUAAAGUGAGCAGCCAAGUGUCGUUAGAGUUGCGAUGCUUUGUGGAAUUCUCAGUCUUCUCCAAGUAUUUAGGAGAUCCUUGCAAAAUCUAGAGAGAGAGACAGAUUUGGGCAGUUGCUUGCUUACAAGCUUCUUCUUGCUUUAAUAACCAAGCAAAAAAAUGAACUUUUAAAUUUGUGUUUUAUAUGCAUUUGCUAAAUAUCAAUCAACCGACCAAAAAACACGACAAAAGAUUAGUUCAGGCUUGCACGCUGUCAAGUUCUUGUACCUGCUGAAUGGAUUCUUUUAACCAAAAAAGUGCUCCACAGUAAAUGCACUUAUAAUUCUUCUCUCCCAAAUCGACACAUCCUUCAAUAAUUCCUACAGAGAAAAGAAAUGUGGAAUGGAGACAAUAGAAGACACAAAUGGAGGUUAUCAGCAAUAGAACAAUACAGUUCAAAUUUAGAAGAAAAAAUUUAAAUCACCCUAUACGUAGCAAUAUCAGAAAGUCAAAUAUGAGCAAUUGCAUAUCUGAAGUUUAAAAUUGCCAAGCACAAUUGCAAUUGCAUAUCUAACCCUUAAAUUCACUAAAAGCAGAAAUUUUAGCAAUAAAAGGAAAUAUAUAUAUAUAAUUUUGUAUAUAUAUAUAUAUAUACGUACAUGUCUAUCAAUUUGAUAGAUUCCAAGAAAAUGUAUGCUUGUAUAUAUUGGGACAUAUAUUUCCCUUAAGAAAUCCAUCGAAUUAUAUUUAUAUUAUAAAAUUUUAAAAAUUAAAAAAAUUUUAAAAAAAAUUUUAAAAAAAAAAAAGAGUGAGGGGGACCUGAACUUCAAUCAUACCAAGAAAAUCCACUUUUAAAAAAAGUUUAUUUUAGGGUCAUUUUGAUAUCCCUUGAGAAAAACUAAAAGUUAAAAUCGUCUCCAAGCAUCCACAGAAUUUUGAGAAUGGUUCAAACAUGAAAAAUUACGAGAAUAAAAUUAACCUAUUUUAUGAAGUGUAAACCACAAGAGUUUUUUUAGUAGUGCGCACACACUUUCUCUGCGUGCAAGCUAGCUCAUCUAAAUGGACUAUCCUCAAAACACACUCACUCUCUCUCUCUCUCUCUCUCUCUCUCUCUCUCUCUCUCUCUCUCAUAUUAAGGAAAAAAAAACAGAUGCAUUAAGAAGAAAAAAAAUGAGAGCAUUCAUUUGCAACCCAAAGCAAAAUUGAUCUAAUGGAAAAAAAAAAAACGUACCUUGUCACCAAAGAAGUCAAGAAGGGCAAACUGUGAGUGCAAGUGAAGCUGAGAGAGAGAGAGAGAGAGAGAGAGAGAGAGAGAGAGAGAGAGAGAGAGAACUUAAGAAAGGUAACAAAGCCAACUCUGUGUGUGUGUGAGUGCAAGGGCAAACUGUGUGAGUACAUUCCGAGUUGUUUUCGCUAGUUUUGUUUUAUUUUGUAUGUUGUAACUUGUGUGUGUGUGUGUGUUGCUUUUACUUUUCACCUCCUUGUGUUUACAUUUCGCCUUUUCUCCUCUAUAAACUUUUCCUGCUAGGCUUGCAGGAAGAUGAAGCAAAACAUGUGGUGCACCUUUCUUUACCUCAACAACUAGUCUUUGUCCGGUGGAAUCUUGCUAACCAAGAUGAGGUCUGAGUUCAAUACAAUUUUUUAUACGAUUGUUAUAGAUAUUGUAAAGUUAAAAAGGCCACUUCAUUUUGCUUCAUUAUUUGCAGUUGUGACUUCACAGAAGUAUACAGAUGUGACCCCUGGCUGAUUAUUCUUUUUUCUUUCUGAUAUGCUUAAGCGUGCAUAACUUGAGGCUAUUACUUCUAAUAUUAUAUAAAUGAUCGAUGGGGUUAGUAGUACCGCUGUGUAUAUUCCUAAUGGUUGUUCUGCACCCAGGUCAGCAAAUAUUUGUGCACUAAUAUUGGAGCCACCCCAAUGCUUCAAAUUGAUGACAUUUUUGUUGAAAAGUAGCAAAAAGCUAGAAGGCCUAUAGUUGAAAUGGUCAAGCGUUUGGUUGUAAUAAAAUUUUUGAGAAUCUUUUGAAUCAGAUGCAGCCAACUCUUAGUAACAUGCACUUCCAUUCUACGAUCUCAAAUUCACAAUUUGACUUAAAAACUUUCAUUUCCAAGUUUCAUAUAAAACUGAAAACUUCAAAUUAAAAUCAGUUACCAAACAACUUGUGUUUAGUUACUAAACAAGGUUUCAGUUUUCAAUUUUUAAAAAAUUAAAAACUAAAAAGGUUAUCAAAUGGCCAACAUAUCAAAAGCUUUUGCACAACUAAUCCAUUGUUUCUUGAAGCCACAAUACCAAGAGAAGGUUGGUUGAUUGGCACCCGCACCCAAAAGUCACAUACGUACACCAACAUUUUUUUAUUUAAUUCAGAGAGAGAGAGAGAAGUCAAUAGUUUAUUGAAUUAAACAGUAGGACAAUCCUCAAGGAUAACAUUCUCGAAUAAAACUAACUGACAACACAUAUAAAUCUUAUAACCUUCGACCUGAAAGACAUCCCUUGGAAUUAAUUAAUUAUUCUUCUUCCAAGAAACUUUCUAUUCCUUUAGGUCAUUUAUAUAAUGCAGUUUUCACACAUAAACUCCUAAUUGUUUUUUGUUUUCUAUGUAUAUGGCCAAAUCAGCAUUCGUGCAUCCACAUAACAAACUUCAUAUUAAAGUAUUCUGGAAUUAAUGAGAUUGGAAUCUUCGUAGGGUGUGGAAAUCUUGGUUUCCAAGCAGCUAACUAGCUAUAUGUCCAAGUCUUUUUUUGUUCUUUUUUUGUGGGGACAGAUCAACCGGAGGUAAUAUUUUAAGAAGACUAAGCUCCUAUAUAAAUAGAGCAUAGCAUUGGUAUUAUUACCAAAAGUGUUCAAGUUUUUUUUUUUUUUUUUUUUAUAACAAAGAUGCAUUCGUUCAUAUAUAAAUUCAUAAAGUUUUGUGUUUGCAAAAAGGACAUUUCAUAUUCACUCUACAAUACGGAGGCAAGCCUUUUUAAUUCAUUUCAUUCUUUUAUCAGAGUUAUUUUUUUCUUAUAUGUAAAUAUGAUCUUUAUGUAUGCAGCAAAAGAUAGUGAUCAAGGUGCAAUUGACCUCUGAGAACUGCAGAACCAAGGCCUUGAAGAUUGCUGUAGAAGCCAAAGGUAUAUAUAUGCAUCUCAAUUUCAAAAUGGUCGAUGAAUUUUGUGACUACCCAAAUGACCAAUUUAUACUAAUUACUUAUGCAAAGGACUUGCUAAUGUAAUGGUUUGGAGCAUUUGAUCCCUCCGGAAAAGGUUCUGAGUUUGAGUCCUAGCUAGCUUCCGUGUAAUGUGUGUGAGUUCAGUAUGUUAUUACCCCUCUCAAUAGGAAUAGGAAAGGUACUCAUUAUUGAUAAUUAAUUAGUCAGUUAACAACUAAUGAUGGAUCACUAAUUAAUCAGGUGUGAGCAACGUUUGCAUAGACGUAGACAAAGCGGAAGUGGAGGUGACUGGAGUUGGAGUUGAUGCCGUUUCCUUGGCCGAGUCAUUGGAGAAGCAGCUUGGCUUUGCUUCCAUUGUAAGUGUUGGAGAAGUGAAAAAACCAGAGGAGCCAGAGCUAGUCAUUCUAAUUCAAUGGACAUCAAGCUAUAUUCACUGUCCACACUAUGAUGGAUUCUGCCGAUGUUAAAUUAAGCAUUUUUAAUUAAAGUGCUUCUGACAAUGUUUUACUUUUACCAUUAGUAAAAGAAAAACAUUUGCUCCAUUUUAUGUAAUUGGUGUUGAAAUUUGUUGUGGAAUAAAAAGGCAAACAUUUUUUUUUUUAUUAUGUAAUAUUGUUAUUGAAAUUUGUUAAGUGAAUAAAAACAAGAUUAUAAGUUAACAAUAUUACAUAAUAAAAAGGCAAUAUUGCAGUUUUCUGUAAUAUUGUCUUUCCUCUGUCAAGAUUUGAAGCCAACAAACUGCCAAUUAAAUCUCCUCUUGGCCUUAUCGAUGUAUAACAGGCCUUAUCAACAAACUGCAAACUUGUGCGAACUUGAUACAAUAUUUGGUUUAAUGUUCAAUAAUUUUAUAUAUCCUACAAGUAUAUGGCCUCCGUAGUAGCGAACCAAUGGAAAUGAGGUAGAGGAGAGACACCAUACGGUGCGUUUUGCAAAUAUUGAAUGAAAGUGGUAGGGAAAAGAAGGAAAAGAAAGAAAGAAAAAAUAGAGAAGGAAAAGACAAAGUUGUCUAUAGAAACGUUAUAAAUCUCAAAUGGUGUAGUACAUAAUCACGAAAUUGUCUAUAGCAUGGUGGAUAAGGUGUUGGAGAGGAAUGAAAGUGGAAGGGAACCCCUUGUGUGUGUUGAAGUCUCUAUUUCCUUAUAUCUUUUAGGUAUAUAUAUAUAAUAUAAUUAACCCAAUAUAAUAAGUUAUAUAUAUAUAUAUAAUUAAAUUUGGGCCUAUGGGCCGGACUUUGAUGAGCGGGUUGGGCUUUAAGCACCUAUGCUAAGCCCACUAACUAAUCGGUUGGGCUGGACUUUUUCUCAAUGGGCCAGACGGACCCCAUGAGCCCAUGGGCCAAAUGAGGAUCUCUAAAAUCAUAUAUGAACUUGAGAAAUACCUAAUAAUUUGAGAAAUUUUAUGUAAUUAACCCUUAUUUUUAAUUAGUGCACGAGGAGUUGUGCAGAAGCUUCUAAUUCCAUUGUGCAUUAAUGAAUGAAAUAUGAAGUCCACUUUAGUUCAUUCUUUAUAUAAGAUUUCUGGAAGGACCACAAGAAGCAUCCGGCUAGACCGCUGCCUGUGAAAUGCAAGUCUUUCUCAAUCAAAAGUACUGAUCAGCCGCGUUUUACUACAAGAAUUGGAAUCUACGGUUGCUUUGACUCAGUGUAUGAGUGCGGAAAAAGUAGUUUGUUUGUUUUAGAUGAAGGUGUGUAAACUUGGUCUUCUGUGGGGACAAGUCAACCGGAGGUUAUCGUAUUAUAACACGACCAGACUCCUAUAAAGACAACAUCGCAUUGGGCUACUUUCUCAUCCACCUCUAAAGUAAAUCACAUCAACUCAUAAAGCAAAGCCCUACCUACCAUGGUGCAGCAAAAGAUAGUUAUGAAGUUGCAAAUGAACUGUGAGAAACACAGAACUAAUGCCUUGAAGAUUGCUGCAGUCGCUAAAGGUUUACAAAAUUAUAUAUAUGUUUUUUAAAGGAAACUUUAAUUCUUUGAUAAAUUAACUUGCGAUCUAGAGGAAGUUAACGUUCCACACCAAAACCAAUUAGUAAUUAGGAAGUAAUUCAACUUUUUAUAAGUCUUAUGCAAAAUUUCGUAACUUUCAAAUGUGGAACAAUUCUUUAUUUCGCAUCCUCACGGGACGAUCCUUAUAUAUAUGUAAGCAGGCGUGAGCAAAGUGUCGAUAGAAGCUGAGAAAGAGCAGAUGGAGGUGAUUGGAGAUGGAGUCGAUACCACGAGAUUGACCAUGUCGUUGAGGAAGAAGCUUGGCUCCGCCGCCAUAGUAAGUGUUGAACCAGUGAAAGCAAAUGCGGAGGAGGAGAAACCAACUCCAACAACAACACAAUAUUGGACAUCAAGCUAUGUCCAUCAUCCACGACAUCGUUCUACUCACUAUCGUGUAGUUCAUGAUGAAUCCCCGCAACAGAUCAAUUGUUCUAUUAUGUAAUUGUGAUUGAAAUUCAUUUUCAUUAUUCAUUUUGUAUUAUUAAUUUAUUACCAAACUUAUCAAUAUAUAAACAUCUUCUUGAGUUUAACAACUUAAAAGACAGAGUGCAAGCAACAUCCAUAUGUUUUAAUUAAUUUUUCUUUUCAAACGCAAUCAACCCAAAUUCCUCAAGAGAAGGAUGAGCGUCCAUUCGGUAAUUAGCUAAGGAUAUGAAAUUGCACAACUAUUCCAUUGUUUCUUGACUUCAUAGUGCAUAGAGACAUGCAUUAAUCAAAAUGGGUCACUAUUACUGGUCAAUGUUUUUUAAAGGCAUGCAUAUAUAGGUGCGCGUCGAAAUGAAAUGAUAAUAAAUUGUUUGAGGCGUAUAUAAAUUAUAAAUUAUUUUAAUAUAUAGUACAUAUGUUAAUAAGGACUGUGAGGUUUUUAAUUUUAAGUUUGGAGUGAAAGAAGGUUUAGGGUACAAACUGUCAUCCCUACGAUUUAAUUAAUCUAAUUAUUCUCCAAUAAAGUAGACACUAAAUGUCAUGCACCAUACCAAACGGUGACAAGGGACCAUCAAAACAAUUUUGAAAGAAAUUAUUCAAUUAGCUAAAGCACUAAUACAGACACAGUAAGGCCCCACCACACACACAAAAUAAAAAUAAAAUUUAAAAAGUACUGAAUGUUGUAAAGAAUAAACAUGUGGAGCCCACAAAGAAAUUAAGCAAAAUAUUUUGGAAGCUUAUCACAUGCACACUCACGGGCAUCAUUUUCUCUGCCUAUAAAUAAGGCAUUAUCUUGCCUUUGUCGUGUGACCAAAGGAAAGAGAGAAGAGAAAAGAGGAAAGAAAGAAGGGAAAAGAGAAGAGAAGAGAAAAGAGGAAAGAAAGAAGGGAAAAGAGAAAAGAAGAGAAAGGGAAACGGAAAGAAACAAAGGAGAGGAAAAAGUGAAGAGGAAAGAGACAAGAGGAAGAGAAGGAAGAAAGAGGGUGAAUGAGUGAAGAGAGAGAGAGAGCAGAGAGAAAAUUCAGUGAGCCACACAUGUUGUAAACACUAAAGUUGUAGCCAUAUUAUUUUAUAUAGUGAAAAGUUACUGCUGCUGCUCUCCGAGGACGUAGGCAUAGCCGAACCUCGUUAAAUGCUGUGUCUCAUCUACUUUACGUGCAGCUCAAUAUUCGUACAUAUUCCAGGUUAUUUUUAUAACACGUUAUCAGCACGAGAAGCUCUCAAGUAUAAUUUUUGUGCUGCACUAUUAUUUAUACUACUAACCAUUAUGUUGAUGUAAAGAAGAAAAGCCAACAUAAUUUGUCUAGCUUUCAAACUAAUGAAUCAUGGUGUUGAUAAGAUUCCAACGAAGAAAAAAAAGGGGGGGGGGUUGGAAAAGCUUCCUACAGUAAUUUUCACUUUCUUAUAUUUUUAGUUGUGGUUUUUAUUCCCACAUUUAUUUUAUUUAUGGUAUGGUGUAAGUUUAUUACCCAUACGACAAUAUUUAAAGGGUGGUGCGGGUUUAUCGUCCACGCCUUUGCUUAUUUAUUUUAUUUAUGGUAUGGUGUAGGUUUAUUACCCAUACGACAAUAUUUAAAGGGUGGUGCAGGUUUAUCGUCCACGCCUUUGCUUUUAUUUAAAUGUAUGGAGCAGAAUUAGUGCCCAUACAAGCACGUUUACUUUACCGCACAUUUAAUUUUAUUUAAGGUAUGGUGCGGGAUUAACGUCCAUACAGCAAGCUAUUUAAUUUAUUUAAGGUAUGGUGCGGGAUUAACGUCCAUACAGCAAGUAAUUUAAUUUAUGAAUUUAUUUUACCGCACAUUUACAUUUAUUUAAAGUAUGGUGCGGGUUUAUCGUCCAUACCAGUAAUUUAUUUAUCAGCAAUUUUUUUUUAUGGAUUAAUUGUGCUGUAUGAUGAGUUUUUACAGUAUGCAGAUCAGGACCAGAAGUUCCUUGAUCCUCAUCAUACAAUUACAUCAGGACUUGAAGAUCCUUGAUGAUGAUAUUAAUAUGAGAGCUGGCAGUCUCUCCGGUAUUGUAUUUGUAAACAUGUGAUCGGACUUAAGGGUCCUUGAUCCCUGACAUGUAAAUAAGGACCUAGAGUUCCUUAAUGAUGUAACAGUACCGUAUUGGUUCAUAGUGCCGUACACAUUGAUGAUAACUGUACUGGCAGAUGAAUAGAUACGUAUUCAUAACUUGAUGAAUAGUACUAUUCACAUGAAUAGUGACAUAUGCAUAAAUAUGAACCAUUUUGGGUAAACCGUCACUAUAUACAAAAGGGAACUUGCAGUUUCAUGGUGCCGUACACAUUGAUGAUAACUGUACUGGCUGAUGAAUAGAUACGUAUUCAUGACUUGAUGAAUAGUGACGUAUGCAUAAAUAUGAACCAUUUUGGGUAAACCGUCACUAUAUACAAAAGGGAACCUGCAGUUCCUUAAACUCAUGGAAGAGCAAUUAAAUGAGAUGCCAGAAGUUCCUCAAAAUAUGGACAAUUAUGUAAAGGCUUGAAGUCCCGAAAUAUGUACAGAAAAUUGUAAAAAUGUCCAUACCAUGAGAAUAUGUGGCUUUGGCCUGAAGUUCAAAAUUUAACAAUGUUGAGAACCUGAAGUUCCAACAAUUAAAUGGAUAACCCUUGAGGUAUUAUUGCAAAUUGUGGUAUGCCACAUAUUUCUUUGGCAUAAGAAGAUGAUGAAUUUAAAGUUCGAUUUUGUUAUAAUCGACACCUCAAGGAAGAAAUAUAUUUUGUGAAUUCCAGUUGUUAAGAAUACACCGCGAAAUGGAUAAUAUCAAUAUAAACCUCAAAUAAUGAAUUGAGGCUCCCCACAUAUUUUGUUAUAUCUGGGCCGGAAGCCCAUGGAUCCGAAUAUAUGAGAGAUCUUGAACUUGAAGUUGUGGGUAUAUAGUAGUUAAUGCUCUUCACUACUAUAUUGUGAUAUUAUCAUGGCUUUUACUCAAUUCAUAUUUCAUGUCCAUUUGAAAAGGGCAAAUAAAUUCUGAGUUUGUGUUUAGCCCAAGACAAAAGUUUCAGGCUCCCAUACGUUGAAAUAUGAAAUUUGGGAAAGUCGAUGUGGUUAUUUGAACCUAUAAGGCACAAGGUUCCAAACCGUCAUUUUGAAAAGAUGUAAAAACUACAGGUGCAAAUUUUAAGAAUGUGCGCAAUUAUUAUAACAGGAAAGGAGCAAGUUGAAACACAGUUGCUUCAAUCAAGUUUUGCAAAGGCCAUAUCUAUAGGAGGAAAUAUGGCUACAGUUUCCAGGAUCCCAAUAUUAUCUCAGAUCCCCAUAUUAUCUUUUUCUUUCCCAGAGUCCAAAACUUCACGUGGCCUCUGAUAAUGCAUGUUGGCACUUUCGGCGUUUUCAAGUAUUAUUUUUGUCAAAAUCCGAUCUUGCUUUGCGGAUUUCACGGAGCUACUUUUUCAAAAGUAUCCCGAGAAUCUCGCAAUUUUCCUAUGGUUAAUUUGAAAUUCACCGGUUCUACCUAUUUAUUGUAUUUGUGUAUAAAUGUGUUACUAACGAAAUUUUCUUUGCAGAAGACAUCCAGUUUUCUCCAUACCUAGUGAUGCGAUAUCUACUUGUUUUUCUUAUCAGUGAGCACUUAAUAUGCCCGAGAAGCAAGACUAUCUCUGAUCAUCCAUUCAGGAAGCAAGACUAUCCCUGAUCAUGUUUCCGCUACAUCAGGGAACUGUGAAGGCGACCUUAUGCUCUAAUCUCCUGAGGUCCUUCUAGACUAGGAGAAAUUAGAGCUUGUUGUCUGCUCCCACCAGCUUCCUUCCUUGAUUGCUUACCUUACCUUGCAAUCAAUAUCACAAUCUUUUUGCAUUUUUUCUCUUUUUAUAACUCUCUGUUCAUAAGAGAUUUUAUUUCUUUAGAAUGAACAUCUGAAGAAUGAAUCCAUGCAGUGAUCCUAACUCUGAGAGUUAUUUGUUUUUGACAGAGAAAAGAAUUGUGAUUUUUGCUCUUGCAGGAUAUAACAAGAUCAUCAAGCGAUACUUUAUAUUUACUGGGCCGAUACGAGCUUGAAUGAUACUUGAGAAAAGUUUCUCCCACCUAAGGAUGUAAGCAAUACUUGUGUUAUUUUAUGCUUAUAUACCUAUUUGAUAUUUUAUCUUGAAAGGUAACCAAAUGGGGAGAUAAGUCCGUUCCAAAAGAAUGGCUUGUAUGUAUCCAUGAAUUAUUAACGCAAAUUUUACAGAUUGCAAGUUGGAUACAUUGAUAAUACACUGCACAAAUUAAAGUCCCAUAAGAACAAAAUAUGGGUAUAGCAGUGAUCAAUAUGAUGCACGCCUGUUGAGUAGCAAAUGAUGUGGAUUGAAGUCCCGAAAGGACAAUCCUUUGACAUGUCAAUAUUGAUAUUAUGCACGCCUAAUGCGUAGCAAAUUAUAUGGGUUAAAGUCCCAUAAUAUGAGUUAAAGUCCCAUAAAUUAAUUGACAUGUAUGUAUUAAUCUGUGGCAUGCCUGCAGCAUGACAGAUAUAUGGGUUCUAAAUGUUUCAACUCCCUAAAUGGAGAUUAUCCACGCCCUACUGCUAAAUAACGCUCCAAUGGAGGUUAUAAUCCACAUUCUCACAUAAUAAAAGCCCCAUGAAGUGGCUUGGGUACCCAAAGGCAAAUAAAUGCUAAUAAUUGAUGCAUGCGCAUGCACAUGAGAAUGGUGGGAUCAUGAAUUGAUGAAUGACAAUUUUUUUGGUUUUGGAGUAGCUACUCAAAUCAUCAAUGGGCUGUGUUGAUUGGAACCACGUUCAAUUAUUAAAUGUCGACAAUAUUAUUGGCCAAAAUGGAACGAGGUAAUUCCAUUAUAAAUGAGAAUGAACGUGAAAGAACAAACCCACAGUACGAACCCCAAAAGAUGUUAAUACUGAAAUUUAUACUUGGGUGUUCGGAAUAAAAGGGAAUAUACCUACUUUGUAUGACACACUGUUUCUGGUAGAAACAAGGAAUGUUGGGUUUUCUCCAUAUUUACAGAUUCAAUUGUGCCCCCCCUUAUUACACAAUUACGGAGACCAACAUAUUAUCUUUAAGGGUUAUUAAAUGCACGGAGCAUAUCGCCAGAAGCGAUUUCCUAAAGAUAUAUAAAUAGCUGGGUUAAAGCUAUAUAAUGUGUCAUAAAGUUUAAUCCCUUUUAAACAAAAUCCGUUGAGAUGAUUGACAUUACAUAAAGCAAGUCCCUAAAGGACAUGUGCUUGAAGCACAAAAUUUGUACUCAAUAUUAAUAUGCAUAAAUUACCUCAGUGAGUACAUUGAUUAUAAUGUGAUUGCAACACAUUAAAACUUCUGCAGAAUUCACGAAAUAUUUAUCUCGACUUAAAAAUCGAGCAUUAUGCCAACGAGAUUCUUGCUUAUACUGAGAAAGUAUUGAAGCACUUUUAUGAGGAUUAUCCGUUGGACACUUUAAUGAUUUUCCGGAAGUAUAUUCGACCGGACAUCAUAUUUUUCAGAUAGGGCUCAACUCCAUCACCAUCAUUUUGGAAUGAUGUGAGGUAUAUUUGAUGCUAUCUCCGCAUAACACCUUGUACGGGCAUAUUCUUUCAAGUGAACUUACAAAUAGCCCAAGUUUUGUUAGAAACGCGGACUCUGAAAAUUUCUAUGAUUUACAUAGAGAUAGCUCACUGGAAAUAUAUUUACUAUAUGAAUUGUUGGUGGCUACAUCAUUCACUCACUCCGAAAGAUUCUCACUCCAAAAGAUAGUUAUGAAGACAUCAGGGGGAGAUAUUAAUCAGGGGGAGCAUCCAGAAGUAUGCUAUACAGAUUGUUGUACUCUUCUUUCUUCCUUCCAUCAGUUCUCUACCUUACUAGGUUUCCUCCAAGCAAGGUUUUAAUGAGGCAACCAAUCUAGGGACAUGUGGUCUCCAAGGGGGAGUGUUGUAAAGAAUAAACAUGUGGAGCCCACAUGUAUGGGGCCCACAAAGAAAUUAAGCAAAAUAUUUUGGAAGCUUAUCACAUGCACACUCACGGGCAUCAUUUUCUCUGCCUAUAAAUAAGGCAUUAUCUUGCCUUUGCCGUGUGACCAAGAGAAAGGAAAGAGAGAAGAGAAAAGAGGAAAGAGAGAAGAGAAAAGAGGAAAGAAAGAAGGGAAAAGAGAAAAGAAGAGAAAGGGAAACGGAAAGAAACAAAGAAGAGGAAAAAGUGAAGGGGAAAGAGACAAGAGGAAGAGAAGGAAGAAAGAGGGUGAAUGAGUGAAGAGAGAGAGAGCAGAGAGAAAAUUCAGUGAGCCACACAUGUUGUAAACACUAAAGUUGUAGCCAUAUUAUUUUAUAUAGUGAAAAGUUACUGCUGCUGCUCUCCGAGGACGUAGGCAUAGCCGAACCUCGUUAAAUGCUGUGUCUCAUCUACUUUACGUGCAGCUCAAUAUUCGUACAUAUUCCAGGUUAUUUUUAUAACACUGAACACAUUUUUUCUCGGGCUUGCCAUCAAUUAAGACCAAUUCACAUAUAUAACCUCAUGGUUGUUAGAACAGUACCAAUUAAUACCCGACUUGACUCGAUUGUCUUUACCUGGAUUGACUCACAUAGAUGGUUCCUAUGACUUCACUAUACAUACAUCAUCCAAUACCAUAAGACUUAGCCAACGAGAGUUAGUUGAAUUGGUAAAGAUCAUUAUCUUUGUUAUUCAGUUUUAAGUUCGAGUUUCAUUAUCAACAAUUCAUCUUAAUAUGUAAUUUGUAAAAAUAAAAAAAAGGAGCUAAAACCCAUUUAUAAGUCCUCGAAGAGACUUUAGUAUGCUCUGACCUUGAAACGGAGUAGUCUUUCCUCUCUUAAACUUUGAACAAAUCAAUAAAUAUAUAUAUUAAGACUUAACAAUAUUUAAUCCAAUCUUAACCCUCCACUUGAAGAACAUCUCUGUCCUUCACCAAAACUCGGAUAUUAGAACUUGGAAUUAACUAAUGUUUGUUCUUUUGAUUAUUUUGGCAUACUAAUAAAAUUUAUUAUAUGUGAAGAAACUCUCCACUUAUUUAGUUAUCUAUGUAUGAAGCUUUCACACAUAAAACUCCAAUUUAUUAUUUGGGUAGACAAUAAAGGCUCAUGCAAGAUUUGCCCAAUCACUUAAAAGUACUAAUCAUACUUUAAUGGAAAAGGGCCCAGAUGGGAGCUCCGGCACCAAACCAAUUUUUGUGUAUUUGUAAGUAUCAAUCAUUGUACUUCUACCUUUUCCUAUUGUCUUUAGGAAAAGUCAAAGUCUCCUCGAAUCAAAUUUGAAUCUGUCUCGUACAGUGUUUCUUGACGCGGUAUGUGAAAAUCUUGGUUUCCAAGCAGCUGACCUGAACGUGUAUUGAAUAUUGGACUCUACUUGCCGUUAAUAUAUUCUAUGAAGACCAUAAGCUCCUAUAAAUACAGCAUAGACUUGGUAUUGCAUUGCAAGGGACAUCGAAGUCUUCAAGUACAAAAAAGACACAUUCAUUCAUAUAGAUUCACAAGAGUUUUCUGCUCCCAAAAAGGCUACUUAUAUAUUUUUUAUAUAGUUCAAUUUCCGACAUGAAGGUAAGCCCUUUUCAUUAAUUUGUUCCUAUAUCCAAACGAUAGUCUAAAUUACUAUUUUAGAUUUUCUUGAGGCAACUGAACAGUAAGCUUUAACCGCGAUCCUUGUCCAUGCAGCAAAAGAUAGUCAUGAAGGUGCAGCUGAAGUCUGAGAAAUGCAGAACCAAGGCCUUGAAGAUUGCUGCGGUGGCCAAAGGUAUGCAUCGAUCAAUCACUCAAAUAAUAAUCAAACACUUUGGUGGCUACACAAAUGAUAAUUAAUUAGUUAAUUCAUGAUUGAUUAAGCAGGUGUGAGCAAAGUAUCGAUAGAAAUGGAGAAAGAGCAUGUGGAGGUGAUUGGAGACGGAGUCGAUGCGGUUGACUUGGCCAAAUCAUUGAAGAAGAAGCUUGGUUAUGCCACCAUAGUGAGUGUUGAAGAAGUGAAGAAACCAGAUGAUGCAAAGCCAGUUGUUCCAAUUGAAUGGACACCAAGCUAUAUUCACUAUCCUGUGCACUACGAUGGAUACUACCUCUGGUAAAAACAGCACUUUUUAACAAAGUGCUUUUAGCCAUCUAUAAAGUUCUGAUCGUCUUUAAACCCACUUUUCCACAACGGAUCAGCUGUUAUCCUCCCUAUCAUGUAAUUUUCGUUGAUCAAGUAAUUAAAAGGUGCCAGACGAUUGUUUCAGUUGCCAAUCAGCAAAUUAAUUACAUGGUUUAAAAAAUUAAUUAGCCGUAAUAUAUAUAUAUAUAUAUUAAUUAAUUUUUAAAAAGCCCACUUGUCAACAACCCCAUUUGACCCAAGAAUAACCCAAGCUCAUUUAGAACAAGAAGAAAAAAAACUUGAAAGGAAAAAGAAAACCCAAAUUGCUUCAAAUUAAUGCUCCAAGCCUCCAACCUUACAUAAGAAAUAAAUAAUGCACCAUCUUUAAUUACUUUACAAUUUGGCUUGCGCACACUAUAUCACUUGCACCUUUCUGAUAAAAGCUAUCAUUAAAGGACAAAAUAGUCCGUGGCCCAUGAAUUUCCUUGCUCAAUAUUUGAAGCCAACAAAUUCCCAAUCAAAUUUAUAUAUAUAUAUAUAUAAACGAUAAUCUACUUUAAUCUAAUCUAAAUUAUAAAGAGGGAAAUUCGAACUCAAGUGCAGAGUAUGGAGUAUGUUGGCUCUAACCAACUUUACUAAACCCUAAAUCAGGACAAAAUAGUCUGCAGCUCAUCAAUUUCCUUGCUCAAUUUUUGAAUUUUGAAGCCAACAAUCCAAUUAAAUCUUAGUUCCUUUGGCACUUUAGUUUUGGAGUGGUUUUUCAUGUUUUAAUGCCUGAAGAUCCACGGAGUACUUGUCAAUCCAUCCUUUAAUAAUUCUCACCUCAAUUUUGCGCCGGUUGACCAACCCUCCGGAUCACUACUGUUUCAACGUAGCAAAUCCAAGCGAUGAGUCCCUACAAAAUCAUUUUAAUUACAAUUAAUACUUACUCUAAGGUAAAAAAUUAGUACAUGCUAGCUCCAAAUGUUUUUAUUUUUUACUUUUUCAGACUCAUGUGGAUGUUGGGGCGGGGUGGGGUGAGUGACUAUGUGGAUGUCGGGGCUGGGCUUGGGAGAAGAGAGAGGAACAGAGAGAGAGGUGGGGGUGUCUUGAGAAGUUGUGUGGUGGGAGGGUGGUAAGGGUUGGUUGCUGGGCGGGUGAUAUUGGGUAAGGUUGGAGUGGUGGUGGUGAGGGUGGCUUUGGGUUGGGUGGUGGUUGUGGUCUAAUGGUGUGAAGUUAGGGGAAGGGGAGGGGACGACAGAGGGAGAGAUGGAGAAGAAGAGAUUUUUUUUUAAUAUUAAUUUUUUUCCAUUUUUGAUUUUUUUAUAUAUUAACAAGUAAUUGCAUUAUUUAAUUAUUUAAUUUUAAUUAUUUAUUAAUAUUUUAGUCUACUUAAAUAGAAAAAGUGGGGCCUACAUCUCACACAUCAUCACUUAUAGUAAAAAGACUGAAACAGUCAUGUCACACGUCAUCAAAAUUGACGAAGUUAUUAAUAGAGAUAACCAUAUGAGUUAAACUGGAACACCAAACUUUGAUCAAGGAGAUUAAGUGGGCCAUUUUAACUUUUGGAGGAUAAAGUAAGAUUUGACCAAAAUUUUAAGAGAUAUUAUAAUAAAUAAGCCUUUUAUUUAAAAGCAAAGGGCGACAAAAAGAUGGAAAAGAUCAAUAAAUAUUUAUAAUAAAUAUUUCUGGAAAACUUCUUGAAACGAUGGAGUAGUAUCCAUUUUCUGGGGCAACAAUGUUAUCGAAGUAAAAAACUGGAGCUGAUGAGGCCAGAGCUCCAACAGUGACGUGCGGAUAUUUUAGGCGCAACCAUGCAGCAAGCACUGCACCAAAUAGAUAAACAAAUUUUAAAAAAUAAAAGAUAAAAAAGCAUGCACCAAAUAGUUUAAUAACUUUCUUUCUUUUUUUUCUUUUUUUUCCUUCUUUGUUUUUGUUUUCAAUUACAAAAAGAGAAAAGAAAAACACAUUAGAGAAAAGUGAGACCAGGAAUAAUGGAUGGGAAGAAAAGUGGAGAACAUAUAUGCAUAGAAUGAAGAAAUAAAUAAAAAAUAUUUCAAAGAUUCUUUUGUAUCUCAUUCUAUUUAUUUAACUAAAUAAAACCAGCCCACAAAACUGUUGUGUAAAAUACCCACAGGUUCAUUACUAAAUCUAAGAUCGUAACGAUAUUGUUCACAAUUUAAUUACCUAAGUUCAAAACAUUACAACAUUAAUUCUUAAAAAUGCCCUUAAAUAUACCGUAUAGGAUCGGAUGUGACAGUUAUGAAGAAGGCUAUGAAAGUUACUUACUUCCACCAUAUGAUCCACCAAUAACAAUCACCAGACUAUGUUGAGCAUGUAGUUCCUUCUUCACAUGUAUGAGUAUCUCUGCAUAAUCUGCUAUAGCUUGGGCUGAGUUGAAGUAUCCAAGAGUGCUUGCAUUUUCAAAUGCUUCCUCCAUUGGUCCGAACGGGACUGAUUCCCCAUAGCAUCGGUGCUGCAAGACCAGAAAAUUGUGUUAAGAACCAAAAUUCAUAUUCAUACCUCUAUAUAUACCAGGAGAGCUUUAAACUGAAGGGCAUUAUCUGUGAGAAAGCCAAGCCAAGUUAAAUUAUCACCUAAUGGUUGUUCUGCACCCAGGUAAGCAAAUAUUGGUGCACUAAUAUUGGAGCCACCCCAAUACUUCAAAUUGAUCACAUAGGGUUUAGCUACGUUAUUUAUUUGGAAUUAAAAGAAUAAGGGUCAAGGACUCAAAUUGUGUCCACAUAACUCUAUGCCCUUCAAAAGCCCAAUUGAAGCCAAGUAUAGAAGAAGGGUCAGCCCAUUUAGAACAUGAAGAAGAACAGAAACUUGAAAGAACAACCCAAAUUAAUUCAGGUAGCCAGGCCAACUGUGUAAUGUGUACGAAUUUGAGUAGAGAAUCAGAUGCCAUGGAAAACUUAACAAAUUGGCUCUUAAGGAAAAACAAGUCGAGUUCAUCGUAUUAUAAUGACUGUACUUGUGUGUGUGUGUGUGUGGAUGGUGCUCACAACUCGUACACCACCUCUGGUAACACCUUCCAAGUGAUGAUAUAAAUGAGAUGAUGGGCUCUAGUGUAUGGUCAAUACGCGACUUCUAAGUUUGGCACAUGCAGUUAUAACAGUUUCAAAUUGGUGUGUUCGAGUUGUGUCAUUUUGGGGUCGAGUACGACUAAUUCGACACAAAUUGUCAAUUGCAAAGUCAUCUAAAAAAUUAUGAGCACCAAUAACUAGCACUUUGUCUAUUGAUAUUUUUCUUUAUAACGUUGCAACAAGUUACAAAUCCGAAUGGUAAUUCACACUGAUAAAGAAAACUGUUCAGAGUUCUAUACGGAAAUUUUGGAUAAAUUUUCUCGAGUAACUAGGGUUUUGUUUAGGUCAGAUGACAACCUAAAAAAAUUGGAGAAGAAGGGAGGUUGUGUAUUGGUUGGUCCAUAUGCACUGGUUUGGUGACUUAUCCUAGUGUGCCAAUCAAUCGCAUAACCAUGUAUGCAGCAGCCAUUUGUCUCGUCAGUGUUUGCCGACAGAGCUGGUCUUCUUCCACUACACUUUUUUUAUUCUUAUUUUUUGCUUCUACCUAAGUUUCAAAAUUGAAUCAUUUCUAAUAAAUAUAUUACAAAAUCAGUAUCAUGCGCUACACUGUUGCCACCUGUCCCUGCGACAGUCCUCUCACAAAAACUACCAUUCAAGCUUUGAAAUGCAAGUUGAUAGAUAGGUCGCCGUGACCCAAUUGUCUUUCUCAGUGUUAUCUUGUAAGGAAACGUCUCUCUCAGUUGUUGCCUCUUGUUUGAUCAUCUGCAUAUGAUCAACGGUCAGAAGACAAAGAACCAAGAUUGUGAUAUUAUUUCUGACCUCUUAAUUAGGGCAUUUCAGUGAUGGCUUGACUUAAUUAUGAGGUCAAGACAAAAAGGUCAUUAGUAACAUAAACUACCCAACUUUCAUAGAAUUCUGCGGUCGCAUGGAUGCGAAAUCAUAGUUUUACCUACCACUAUAUUUAAAAUCAUAUAUGGGUUUACCUAACCAUUAUCCGUAGUGCUUUAUUAAUUCUAAGCAAAAUCUAGUAAUUGAUUGUUCACAAUUUAAUUGGAUAAAAAUAAUACAAUUAAUCCAUCUUUCCUAUAUUAGUACGUAUGGGUUAUAGGGCUUAGUACAUAUACCUCAUUCUAGAAGAUUGACGUACCCGUGCUUACCAUCAUUGUCCAUAUAUCGUAAAUCUUUAGAGGUUGUUUGUUAUAUAAGCUUGGUUUGGCCAUAAGGUAACACAAUAUAAGUUAUAUUCUACGCUAUUUUAAAGUAAUUCUUCGACCCAUUCAUAAGUGAGAUUCUGCAGUAUAUUGAGGGCUUGAUCUUUUUUUUUUUUUUUUUUUUUAUAAUGGCAAUGUGAAAGUAAGAAUUAAAACUUCUUCGACCCAUUCAAAAGUGGUCAGUUGGACACAUUAUAACCGAUUAUAUCGCAAUAACAUUCACUAUAAAUCAAUGAGUAAAAUUGAAUACAUUAAAACCACCAUAUGAAAAAUCACAUAUACCAUUUAGGACUUUUGGCCUAUUUUUAUUCUCAACAAAUAAUUUUAUAUAAUCGCAAUUCUCACCCUAAAUAAAUGAAACUAAUCCAAUCAUUCAUUUUUCCUAUUUAAAGAGUGAAUCAUCAUCUUCUAUAUAUAUAAAGCAAAAGGCAGAGAAUGGUGAAACAUUCAAAAUACCAGAAAAUGCCCUUGGUUAAUGCAAACAUUAAGAAUUGAAAUUAUUAAUUAAAUGAGGAUAAUAUGGUAAAUUCACAAUUUUUCGUAUUAAAAAAAUUAAAAUUAAAAGAAAAUUCAGAUAAUGGGUCCUAUUUUUAUGGAACACAAAUAUCCAUUAUCUUUUUUAAUUCUAAAAUAAAUUUAAAUUUUUUUAAAAAAAAACCUCUCGCAUGCGCGGAAGCGCGUGCAGAGAGGCUAGUAUAUAUAAAGCAAAAGGCAGAGAAUGGUGAAACAUUCAAAAUACCAGAAAAUGCCCUUGGUUAAUGCAAACAUUAAGAAUUAAAAUUAUUAAUUAAAUGAGGAUAAUAUGGUAAAUUCACAAUUUUUCAUAUUAAAAAAAUUAAAAUUAAAAGAAAAUUCAGAUAAUGAAUCCUAUUUUUAUGGAACACAACUAUCCAUUAUCUUUUUUAAUUCUAAAAUAAAAUAAAAUAUUUUUAAAAAAAACCUCUCGCAGGCGCAGAAGCGCAUGCAGAGAGGCUAGUGUUUAUAAAGGCAAUUAUGUCUUAUGAGAGGCCCUAUCUUCCCAAAUGAGUGUCGUACGACAAUUGGACCAAGAAACUAAAAAUAAAUAAAUAAAAUCCAGGCCACUGUCUAUUGCCUACGAUUCAUGAUCAUCUGCCCAUGCCCCAUUACUUUAGAGGAAAAUUUAAAAUAAGAAAAAUAGAUGAAUCAACUAAUGAGUCAUUACUAAUUAUAGGUUACUUGCAAUAUUGGGAUGCUUAUAAGGAUUCUGGUUGUUAUGUCCCACGCAGAGAUACCUUUCUUGUCGACUUAUAUCGCAUGCCCUCCUCCAAUCAAAGAAUUUUCCAUUGCCAAUUAUCUCAGAGAAGGAAACAAACGAACCCAAGAUUCCACCCCCUUCUCAAUCCAUGCCCCCACCACACUUUGCUCUCUCUCUCUCUCUCUCUCUCUUCCCACAAGAAAUUAUAUAUUCUUUACUUUAAUUUAUAUAUUAAGCAAAUCAUGUUUAAAGAACUUAAUUAAGUAGAUAUGAUUGCAUGCAUAUGGUCCAAAAGGUAGAUAUAAAACAAAUAGCUUAAUGAAUGAUGGUGUGUGAUAGCAUCCAUUUAAAGCUUACACAUUAAUGCUUUGGAUUUGCUAUGACUUGUAAGCUAUUAGUUUGCAUGUCAUUUUCCUUUUUCCUUUUUCUCUUUUUGAUACGAGACUACAAAUAUACAUCUCAUUGUGACUCAUGGGUUUAACUUCAAAGUCACCACAAAGCUAUCGACCAAACUAAAAACUAAAAACUUCAAAGUCACCACAAAGCUAAAAUACCUGAGGUGACCUAAACAUCCUAAAAAUGCAUCUUCAAAAUCUUCCAUAAUAAAACUACCAAAACAUUACUAUUCAUAUUCCAAGACACAUGGAUGACUUCUACUAAUCAGCGUAUAUUGGUUAGGAAGUGCUUUUUGACUACCACCUCCACUUAAGGAGCCAAAGUUUACAAGAUAUUAGGUAAUGAAUACGUAGAAGGAGAUGUUGAAUUGGUUAAAUUCUGUGUUACAUGCACUUUAUACAUUUUGUUCACAAUAAUUUAUCUCUAUUCAUUUUGAAGUCUUAUAUAUAUACACUUAUCUUUUCAUUAUUUCUUAGUUGACAAAAACAUGUUCUCUUAAUAAUUGUAUAGAGUCCAAAAUAAAUAAAUAAAAGUAAAAAAGGGUUCAUUUCCAUGAAAUCUACUCUUUAAUCAAACAAUUUGAUGAUUACACAUCAAUAUAAAUAAGCUAAGAUAUUACUAAAAAGAAUAGAUACUUUGCUUCAAAGCCACCAUAAACCAAGGACAAGGCUUUCCCAUUCCAAGCAUACUCCCCAUGCCAUGACCAAUUUAUGUGAAGCAAACCAAAAUCCAUCUCAAUAAAUAAAAACUCCACACACUCUCUCUCCCCUCAUCCUCUCUCCUGAAGUAGUUUGUACUUCCAUACCCAAAUACCUCUCUAAGGCCCCAUCCCCCACUCCCCCCCCCCUCUCUCUCUCUCUGCCAAAACAACCCUCACUAUCAAUGGCGUAAAGAAACAACAAAAGCAAAGGGGCGCUUGCGUGCCCGAAACCAUUGAAACAAUCGCAACCCAAAUGAGUUUUAAAUACGAAAAUUAAAACCCAUAUCGAAAAACUUUAUCUUUUCUUGAAAAUUUUGAGACUGCUUUAGUAGAAGCAGUCCACAGAGGGAAAACAGAGAGAAACAGAGUGAAACACAGAGAGAACAGACCAGAACGGUGUCGUUUAGGUGUUGCAUAUGCUAAUGAGAAGCGAGCAUUGUGGGAUUUGUCAACCUGGGAAAGCCGGGAGAGUCUCUGUUGGAGGGUAUUUUCGACUGCAUCCAUGAAAUCACGACGGCUUUGGCUUUCUCUGCUGAUAGGAUGAGCGAUUCAGCUUACAGAGUCGAAACAACGUCGCGUCUCGCCCAAUGGAGAAUCGACAACUUGGCUUCCUGCACCUACCGCAAAUCCGAUCCUUUCAAGAUUGGCAAGUGGAAUUGGUCAGUCAAAACCCAACUCAAAAUUUUCACUUUUUACCAAAAUUCUUGCUUUGUUGAAAUUAAAGAUCAUCAAGAUUGAAAUCCAUGCAUGAUCAAUGUUAAUCUAAGAUCCCCCAUUAGCAUUUCAAGAAUUUAUAUUAACUAUAGAAAUAAAUUUAACCCAUUGCAUAUGUUACAAGUCUGAUUGGUAGCUGGGAAAAUUUGCUCUGUGUUUGCGUUAUAUUUUUUUAUGGGUUGGAGUGAAUUUUAACCUUUUCUUGUUUUACUUUUUGUUUGGGGUUUGAAAUGAAGGCACUUGUCUCUAGAGAAGAACAGGGUGUUGUAUGUAAAAUUGUAUCCAGAGAUAUCGAAUUUAACUAGAGAUAAUCCACCGAUUGCUUCUUUUAUUAUUCGAGUGGUCUGUUCUGUGGGUGAUCGCAAGACCUUAACUCAUCCAGGUAACCCUCAAGUUAUGUCAUGCUUUUCUAAUUGGGACCCUUAAUUUUGAUUAUGCUUUUAGGGAAAGAAAUUCAUGAUUUAAAGUAUUUGAUUAAGUCGAAUUCUUUGAUAUGUUUUCUUAAUGAUGCUGCUUUUCUUUUCUUUAGCAGAGCUCAUUCACUGCUUUAUUUUUGUUUCGUAUUCAUGUAGAAAUUAAAAACAAAAAGCUCAAGAGCAAUGAGGAUUUUGUUUGGGCAAUUGAGGUUCCCUUAACUGGAAAAUUCAUCAUAGACGUUGAAUUCCUUGAUUUGAAGACUGAGUCCGGAGACGUAAGCAUCUUACUUUACUUGCUGUUGUAAAAACUGCUAAUAUUAAUUUAAAUAUGUAGUAUGAUAUUGAAAAAAGCCAACAUAAUCACAUUGUUCUGUUGAGGUUAGGUUGAGCAUAAGUAAUAAUAAACAAGAGUGCUGAUUUCACCAUUCCUAAUUUAACAAUGAUAAUUUGCCAUUACAUUUAUAGAGUGGAGAACCUUGCUCCAUCUGGGCUGAAGGAUUGACGCAAAAGCGAUCCAAUGCAACAGCUCUUGUGUCCCUUGGUCGAAUGUUAACAGAAGGCAUCCACACCGACAUCAUGAUUAACGUGUCUGAUGGAAGUAUUGGAGCUCAUCGGGCAAUUCUUGCUGCAAGAUCACCUGUUUUCCGUAGCAUGUUUUCGCAUGACCUCAAAGAGAAGGAACUGUCCACCAUAAACAUCUCUGAUAUGUCAAUUGAUGCUUGUCAGGCUUUUCUUAAUUACAUUUAUGGGAACAUCGGACAUGAAGAAUUCCUGACUAACAGGCUUGCCCUUCUCCAUGCUGCUGAUAAGUAUGACAUCUCUGACCUGAAAGAUGCAUGCCAUGAGAGUCUUUUGGAAGAUAUUGAUGCAAAGAAUGUACUUGAGAGGCUCCAAAAUGCAUCUCUAUAUCAAUUGCCGCGACUGAAAACCAGCUGCAUGCGGUAUCUUGUGAAGUUUGGUAAGAUAUAUGACAUCCAAGACGAUUUCAAUGCCUUUUUGCUAAGUGCAGACAGGGACUUGAUAGCAGAAAUCUUCCAUGAAGUUCUUAAUGCCUGGAAAGGUUUCUGAAGCCUACCAAAACAGAAGAAUGAAAUCAUAACCGCUGUUAUGUCUGUCCUAUCUUGUUAUGUCCAUGAAUAUGUGGAUUGCUAGUAAAGUUAGUGUCCAGGAUUUAUUGUCAUGGUGAUUCUUUAGUCCAUAUCGAAUUUAUCUAUGUCGCCCUGUACAUAUAUAUAUAUAUAUAUAUUGGUUCUCAUGUCAUGACAUAGAAGCUGCCAUUCGUGUUACAGAAACACAUAUUCUUGAAUUCAAAAGUGAAAUUUGAAUGAUUUUAUAUUUUGGUUUCGGAUUUGAAUGAUCUUUUUAUUUUAUCAAUGGAAUAGUUACAUCUUGAAGUCUGAAGAACAGGCCAAAUUCUUGACAUGCAUGGCACACGCCUGAGAAACAAAAGCAUCUGAAUUAUCUUCAAGAACAUGUUUCGUAAUCAUUUUAGGGUUAAGGCCAGGGUAUGGAUUUAACGAAAAUUCAAAACAUAUAGCAACUAAAGCACAACCAACAAGUUAUGAAGACAAAAUAGUAUAGGAAUUCUCUUUGUUACUCGAGAAUCUUAAACUCGGCAUGAGAAAAACAGCGACAACGGCAAGUUUCAGAGCAAGAGCAAUUAAUCUAUAACUUCUUAUAGCAAGCAAGUAGCUCACCUUGGAGAGAAACUAAGGGGGGGUUCCUUCUUCUUUCUAACACUGAUGUAAUUGUGAGCGUUUCUUCUUCAACUGUAAUGUUGAGAGACAAGUCCCGAUGAAGUGUACACUUCCAAGGAAAGCUUGAAAUAACGCUACCAAAUCAUAAGUGAUAAGAACUUCUGGGGAAGCAUCUGUUAGAAUAUAUGCAUUUACACACACACAGAGAGAGAGAGAGAGAGAGAGAGAGAGAGAGAGAGAGAGAGAGAGAGAGAAGAGGAGUUGUUAGACAGCAUAUGGAGAGAAUAUUAUUUGUGUUAUAAAUCUAAAGAAGAAAUUUGGAGAGGAAAUUGAGAGAGAGAGAGAGAGAAGGGAAUGAUUUUCUCUUCUUAUUGUGUGUUCCUUACAAGAAUGGAGAAGCCCUAUUUAUAGGCAUUUGGGCUCCAUCAUAUUUACAACACUCCCCCUUGGAGACCACAAAUGAUAUAGAAUAUGCCUUGUUAAAAACCUUGCCAGUAAAAAUCCAGUGGGACAAAAACUGGUCAAAGGGAAAAAGAGUACAUAAUCAUAACAUAAAAUUCUAUGUAUAUUGACGCGCGUGCGACACUGCCUCGUUAAAACCUUGCCAGGAAAAACCCAGUGGGAUAAAAACCUGGACGAAGGAAAAAGAGUACAAUGUUUGAAGAUCUUUAUUGAUAGCACGCUCCCCCUGAUGCUUGGCAAAAUAUCUUUAAGUCAUACAGUUGAUCACCUUUCUGAAUAUCGUAGUUGACACUGCUUCUGUGAGUCAAUCUUGAGCGACACUGCCUCGUUAAAACCUUACCAGGAAAAACCCAAUGGGAUAAAAACCUGAAUGAAGGAAAAAGAGUACAGUGUGGAGCUGAGCUCUAUCUGGUCUAGUAUACUUCCGGAAAAACAUUUAAGGACCAACGGAUAAGACUCUCUUAGUAUAAGCAAGAAUCUCGUUGGCAUAAUGCUCGAUCCUUAAGUCGAGACAAAUAUUUCGUAAAUUCUGCAGAAGUUUUAAUGUGUUGCAAUCACAUUAUAAUCAAUGUACUCGCUGAGGUAAUUUAUGCACAUUAAUAUUGAGUACAAAUUUUGUGCUUUAAGUACAUGUCCUUUAGGGACUUACUUUAUGCAAUGUCAAUCCUCUCAACGGAUUUUGUUUAAAAGGGAUUAAACUUUAUGACACAUUUCAACCCAGCUAUUUAUACAUCUUUAGGAAAUCGCUUCUGGCGAUAUGCUCCGUGCAUUUAAUAACCCUUAAAGAUAAUAUGUUGGUCUCCGUGAUUGUGUAAUAAGGGGGGGCACAAUUGAAUCUGUAAAUAUGGAGAAAACCCAACAUUCCUUGUUUCUUCCAGAAACAGUGUGUCAUACAAAGUAGGUAUAUUCCCUUUUAUUCCGAACACCCAAGUAUAAAUUUCAGUAUUAACAUCUUUUUGGGGUUCGUACUGUGGGUUUGUUCUUUCACGUUCAUUCUCAUCUAUAAUGGAAUUACCUCAUUCCAUUUUGGCCAAUAAUAUUGUCGACAUUUAAUAAUUGAACGUGGUUCCAAUCAACACAGCCUAUUGAUGAUUUGAGUAGUUACUCCAAAAUCAAAAAUUGUCAUUCAUCAAUUCAUGAUCCCACCAUUCUCAUGUGCAUGCGCAUGCAUCAAUUAUAAGCAUUUAUUCGCCUUUGGGUACCCAAGCCACUUCAUGAGGCUUUUAUUAUGUGAGAAUGUGGAUUAUAACCUCCAUUGGAGCGUUGUUUAGCAGUAGGGCGUGGAUAAUCUCCAUUUAGGGAGUUGGAACAUUUAGAACCCAUAUAUCUGUCAUGCUGAAGGCAUGCCACAGAUUAAUACAUUCAUGUCAAUUAAUUUCCGGGACCUUAACCCAUAUUAUGGGACUUUAACCCAUAUAAUUUGCUACGCAUUAGGCGUGCAUAAUAUCAAUAUUGACAUGUCAAAGGAUUGUCCUUUCGGGACUUCAAUCCACAUCAUUUGCUACGCAACAGGCGUGCAUCAUAUUGAUCACUGCUAUACCCAUAUUCUGUUCUUAUGGGACUUUAAUAUGUGCAGUGUAUUAUCAAUGUAUCCAACUUACAAUCUGUAAAAUUUGCAUUAAUAAUUCAUGGAUACAUACAAGCCAUUCUUUUGGAACAGACUUAUCUCCUCAUUUGGUUACCGUUCAAGAUAAAAUAUCAAAUAAGUGUAUAAGCAUAUAAUAACACAAGUAUUGCUUACAUCCUUAGGUGGGAGAAACUUUUCUCAAGUAUCAUUCAAGCUCGUAUCGGCCCAGUAAAUAUAAUGUAGCGCUUGAUGAUCUAGUUAUAUCCUGCAAGAGCAAAAUCACAACUCUUUUCUCUGUCAAAAAUAAAUAAUCCUCAGAGAGUUACAAAAAGAGAAAAAAUGCAAAAAAAUUGUGAUAUUGAUUGCAAGAGAAGGUAAGCAAUUAGGGAAGGAAGCUGGUGGGAGCAGACAACAAGCUCAGCAAUCAAGGAAGGAAGCUGGUGGGAGCAAACAACCAGCUCUCAUUUCUUCUAGUCUAGAAGAACUUCCGGAGAUUAGAGCAUAAGGUUGCCUUCACAGUUCCCUGAUGUGGCGGAAACGUGAUCAGGGAUAGUCUCGCUUCCUGAAUGGAUGAUCAGAGAUAGUCUUGCUUCUCGGGCAUAUUAAGUGCUCACUGAUAAGAAAAACAAGUAGAUAUCGCAUCACUAGGUAUGGAGAAAACUGGAUGUCUUCUGCAAAGAAAAUUUCAUUAGUAACACAUUUAUACACAAAUAAGAGGAAUAGGUAGAACCGGUGAAUUUCAAAUUAACCAUAGGAAAAAUUGCGAGAUUUUCGGGGUGCUUUUGAAAAAAUAGCUCCGUGAAAUCCGCAAAGCAAGAUCGACUUUUGACGAAAAUAAUACUUUGAAAAUGCCGAAAGUGCCGACAAACAUUAAUGGAGGCCACGUGAAGUUUUGGAAUCUGGAAAGAAAAAGAGAAUAUGGGGAUCCGAAAAGAUAUUGGGAUCCUGAAAAACUGUAGCCAUAUUUCCUCUUAUAGAUAUUGCCUUUGCAAAACUUGAUUGGAGCAACUGCGUUUCAACUUAACUUUCUUCAUUUUCUGAAACUUCAGUUUUCUUAAGACUUUCUUCGAAACCUUCUUAAAAAUGGCUUCCUCUUCUUCCUGCCCAAAUUAUUACAAUUUAAAUGAUACUCCCACAAUAACCAGUGACGCCCAAGUUUGACGUCCAUCUUUUGUAUCCAAAAAUCGUCAUCUCACAGUUAAUGAUUCUGUGAUGAUGAAUGAUGCUACUGCUGUCAUAGUAGCUAGGAAUUUCAUUACUCCAAUGGAUGAAAUGCUGUUAACAGGGAGAUCAGAGGAAGAGGCUAUUGAUGACUCAAUGGCUUUUAGCAUUCAGAGUGCUGCUUCUGUUUCUAACAUGGCUGAUCGUUUGCGUGCCAGAGCAAACGAGGUUCAGAUUUUAACAACUGAAAAUUCGUCUCUCCAAAGAAUGCUUCAUGAGUCUCAACAGGAGGUUGAGAAACUUAAAGGAGAGAAUAAUGCCUUGUUGAAACUGGUGAGUUCGUACUCUGUUGAUACACUGAGAAGGCUAGAUAUGCUGCAGGUCUCCAAUGAAAGAAUUUUGGGAGACCAUGAGAGGCUCAUGGCUAAGCUUAAGAGGCGUCGUCCUCUUCCUGCAGAGGCUUCCAGAACAUAAUGUAAUUUUAUAGAUUUUACAGGGCCUGCAUCUUCAUUGCAGGUGGAAAAAAUCUAUCUGUUGUAUGUUCCUGUUAUAAUAAUUACGCACAUUCUUAAACUUGCACCUGUGGUUUUUACGUCUUUUCAAAAUGACGGUUUGGAACCUUGUACCUUAUAGGUUCAAAUAACCACAUCGACUCUCCCAAAUUUCAUAUUUCAACGUAUGGAACUUUUGGCCUGGGCUAAACACAAACUCAGAAUUUAUUCGCCCUUUUCAAGUGGACAUGAAAUAUGAAUUGAGUAAAAGCCACGCUAAUAUCUCAUAUAUUUGAAUCCAUGUGCUUCCGGCCCAGAUAUAACAAAAUAUGUGGGAAGCCUCAAUUCAUCGUUUUCUUAUGCCAAAGAAAUAUGUGGUGUACCACAAUUUGCAAUAAUACCUCAAGGAUUGUCCAUUUAACUGUUGGAACUUUAGGUUCUCAACACUGUUAGAUUUUGAACUUCAGGCCAAAAUCACAUAUUCUCAUGGUAUGGACAUUCAAUCCCCUUAGACUUUGAACUUCGGGCCAAAAUCACAUAUUCUCAUGGUAUGGACAUUUUUACAAUUUUCUGUAUAUUUUUCUGAACUUCAAGUCCUUACAUAAUUGUCCAUAUCUUGAGGAACUUUUGGCAUCUCAUUUAAUUGCUCAUUCAUGAGUUUAAGGAACUGCAGGUUCCCUUUUUGAAUAUAGUGACGGUUUACCCAAAAUGGUUAAUAUUUAUGUAUACGUCACUAUUCAUAUAUCCGGUACUAUUCAUCAAGUCAUGAAUACGUAUCUAUUCAUGUGGACAGUACAUUUGCCAGUACAAUUAUCAUCCAUGUGUACGGCAUUAUGAAACAAUACGGUACUGUUACAUCAUUAAGGAACCCCAGGUCCUUAUUUACAUGUCAGGGAUCAAGGACCCUCAAGUCCAAUCACAUGUUUACAAAUAUAGUACCGGAGAGACUGCCAGCUCUCAUAUUAACAUUAUCAUCAAGGAUCUUCAAGUCCUGAUAUAAUUAUAUGAUGCAGAUCAAGGAACUUCUGGUCCUGAUCUGCAUACUGUAAAAACUCAUCAUACAGCACAUUUAAUCCAUAAAAUAAAUUACUGGUAAAUAAAUUACUGGUAUGGGCGAUAAACCCGCACCAUACUUUAAAUAAAUGUAAAUGUGCGGUAAAAUUAAUUCAUAAAUUAAAUUGCUUGCUGUAUGGACGUUAAUCCCGCACCAUACCUUAAAUAAAAGGAAAUAUAAAGUAUGAGGGUUAAUUCCACAUCAUACUUUUAAUAAAAGUAAAUGUGCAGUAAAGUAAAUUCAUAAAGUAUGAGGGUUAAUUCCACAUCAUACUUUUAAUAAAAGUAAAUGUACGGUAAAGUAAAUUCAUAAAGUAUGAGGGUUAAUUCCACAUCAUACUUUAAGUAAGAGUAAAUGUGCUUGUAUGGGCACUAAUUCUACUCCAUACUUUUAAAUAAAAGUAAAGGCAUGGACGAUAAACCCGCACCACCCUUUUAAAUAAAUACUGUUGUAUGGGUAAUAAACCUACACCAUACAGUAAAUAAAAUAAAUGUGCGGUAAAUUAAAUUUCAUAAAGUAUGAGGGUCAAUUCCACAUCAUACUUUAAAUAAAAGUAAAUUUGCGAUAAAGUAAAGGCAAUUAUUGGUGGGUUCUUAUCAACACCACGAUCAAAUAGUAUAGCAGAUAAUAUUAUUAUCGUUUGUGGAAGGCAUCAUGCUUGUCUCUCAAAUCAAAUGCUUUCCACCUGUAAUCUGCACACCUGCACCAAUUGGUUUAUUAAAUACUGUAGAGGAAUAAUAAAGUAAUAGAAAGCAUAAAAAAAAAAUAAAAAUUCUUUAUUAUUAUUUAUUUUUCUUUCUUUCGGUGGAUUUGCUGUUGGAUCUGCUGUUGGAUCUGCUUUUGCUUUCAUCAUUGCUGCUGAUAAUUGCCCAAAAUAAUCGCAGGUCCACCACUACCGCCUGGACCUACAACCCCAUCUGUAACAAUGGUCAAGCACACAACGCCUGAGCUUGAAACCAUAGAGAAAUAAUUCUUUGUCUCAGCUUCCACGGCAAGUUGUGGCCUCUCCGAUGGAGCUGCAAGUUCUGAUUGUUUAAAAUAAGCAAACACUUUUUGAUUGUUUCCCGGAAAAAGAGAAAUUAAUUCCCGAGAAAAACCGGCCAAGUUGCUCGAGCUGAAUUACUAGACUCUUUGCUCGUUCAACGAAAAACCAACGGAAACACCGAUUCAACUCAGUCAUCGAGGUCAUAACGUGUUAUAAAUCUAAAGAAGAAAUUUGGAGAGGAAAUUGAGAGAGAGAGAGAGAGAGAGAGAGAAGGGAAUGAUUUUCUCUUCUUAUUGUGUGUUCCUUACAAGAAUGGAGAAGCCCUAUUUAUAGGCAUUUGGGCUCCAUCAUAUUUACAACAAUUUGAAUCUUUCUUUUAUUUUUGUUUCUCUCUCUGGGUUCCACAAGAAACAUGGGCUUUUGUUUCUCCCUUUGUCUAAAACUGCAUGGACUAUUUAUCCAUAGAUGAAAAUGCUGAGCACAUUUGUAUCUCUAUUUGGACAACCUAGUUGAAGGCUUGCCUUGGCUCUAAAGGCAAGUUUGGCCCAUCUACAAAACAGAAAGAUUAAAGUUGAGAUUUCUAUUUUUUUUCACCUUUUUUUUAUAUUUUUUUAUACGAGAGAGACGUGAUACAUUUGCAUUUUGCAAAUCUUUUUACAAGCAAAUUUUAUAAUUUACUAGUCAAAGCAAAUCAACAGUGAUUUGCUUCAGAAAAAAAGGAACUAAAUUUGAAUCAAUUUCCCACUAAAGAAGACUAAUUGAUGCUAAUUACUGAUUCCCUGUACUAAAUUUAUUGCCAAAUUCAAUCAGAUUCCCGAAAUUAAUAUACAGGCCACCAUGAUAUUUGACUGAUGGACGACAUAAUUUUUGCAAAAACAUAAGGAUAUUUUUCUCUCUCAAAUAGUCAAAUUGCCCUUUUUUAAGGCCACUGUUUUCCCACCAAUUUUCAGAAAUCUCCCAAUCAUAUAUCCAAAUAAAAAACUGUUUUUAAAAAUUAUAUAAUUUCCAAAAAAAAAAAAAAAAUUGCCAAUUCCCUUAGAAGGUAACUUUCAAAUCCCACAACUUUCCGUUAUUAAUCCGAAGAGGGAAGCAAAUUUUGCUUCCAAAAAAGGCAAAAAAAGAGUUUUAAAAACAGGGGAAAGCAGAGCCCUCUUUACGAAUUUCUUCAGAAAACAUUCAAAGCAAAGCAAUGGGGAGUUCAAUUCUCCCUCCUUUUCUUCUAUCUGUUCUUCUCUUCUCCCUGUUUCAGAUACCAGUUCAUGCUGCCAAAAAUGUAUACCUGCGUUGCUUUUCUUCACUUCAUUCAUGCAAUUCAGUUUUCUCAGUUUUCUUUUUUCAUUCUAAUGAAUUCUACUGAUGGCCUUGGAAUUUUUCUUUGUUUCAGUCUUACAUAGUGUACUUAGGAGCACAGCCUCAUGUCCUGGACCCUUCGUCGGUCGAUCUCGAUAGCGUAACAAACUCUCAUUACAAUUUAUUGGGAUCAGUAUUGGGAAGGUAUGGCAUUAGAUAUAAGUUCUGACCAGGCUUUUAUUUUUUUCUUCUUUUUUGGUUUUUUCAUUUCUAAUGUGGUUGAAUUUGUUAUUUGCUGCACUUUCUUCAAUAGCAAUGAAAGGGCCCAAGAAGCAAUAUUUUACUCCUACAACAGAAAUAUCAAUGGCUUUGCUGCAAUUUUGGAUGAGGAAGAAGCUGCUCAGAUUGCAAGUAAGAAUUCAAAUCUUAUACCUUCUAUAGAAAUGUAACAAUUACAAUGUUUUUGAAAAUCAAUUUUACAACUUCUUUUUUAUUUACAGUUUCCUCUGUUUUUCUCUGUUGUCCUCUAUUUCUCACAAUUGCUAUGCAUAUGCAAUUGCAGAGGACCCAAAUGUUCUUUCUGUUUUCCCAAACAGAGGAAGAAAACUGCAUACAACUCGUUCAUGGGAUUUUCUUGGAUUGGAAGAAAACGGAGAAGUUCGUCACGGUUCGAUUUGGAAGAAGGCACAGUUUGGUGCAAAUACCAUUAUCGGAAACCUUGAUACUGGUAAUUUAAUUUGAUUUAAUUUGUUGUUUGGUUCAGAAUUUAUGCAACAUUGAACUCUUUGGAGUGUAAGAUCGGUCACAUUGUUUGCUUUUCUUGAUACAUGCCUUGCCCGUUAAAUCUUGCGUGAGUUUUUGAAACUUGAUUUCAUGUCCACGUUUUUAGCACAUCUGAUUUCUUCGAAUUAAAUCCAGAAGUUGACAAUGAUAUAGUGCUGCUGAGUUUUAUAUAAUUAUGAUACUUUGACCUGACCCUAUUAGGUCAGCGUUUUUCAUAUCAGAUAGAAACUUUCUGUAGUGAUAUAUCAUGGUUUAUAUGAAACAAACCCUAAUUGUGAAAUGCUGCCAACCCAAUAUGGCAUUUUGCAUAAUGAUUUUGACCAACCCACUUUCAUAUUUCAAAGAGUUUUGCAAGUUGAUGUCAAGCCUUGUUUUACUUAACUGCAAGAAACUCUUAAUUCUUAGAAAUUAACCGCUGUAAGAAAUGCAGAUCAGUCUAGAUAACUGACUGUAACGACUUCGUAAUAUAUCUGUGUUUCAAAUUGUGGGUAUUUUCUUCUUCUUUUUUUCUAUUAAAAUACCAUAUAUAAUAUUUCCCUUUCUGGUAUAAUUGUGCUUUUGCUUCCAUUAUUUGUGCCAUACUGUUCUUGUGUUUCUUUUGUUUGGCUUGUUUUCUUUAUUGGGUGUGUGUGGUAGGUGUUUGGCCGGAAUCAAAGAGCUUCAGCGAUGAAGGGAUUGGACCAAUCCCAUCCAAGUGGCGUGGAAUCUGUCAGCUUGACACCAAAAAUGGUUCUCAUUGCAAUAGGUUCAUUCUUUUCUCCACUUCUUGCUGUCUUUCUUAAGCACUUCAAUUUUCAAAACACAUUACAUGUUUGAAGAGUUUAAUUGUCCCGCAUUUGAGUGAUCUAAGAUUUAUUUAUGGGUACAAACAUAACUUAAUAUGCUAGGUGAAGAUACCCAAUAGGUAUAUCUAACUUUAGUAGACAACUUAUGGGCUCUAAAUUACAUUUACGGACAAAAGUCACCCACUUGCGUGUGAGCUCGCCUUUAGCAUUUCUCUUAUUUCACGCUUACCCAACUAUUUUGGAAGUGGUUUUCAACACCAUGUGAGUUUAUGGUUUAUGGGAGGUCACUGUAUCCCAUGGGUAAUUGACUUUUGAUCUAACACCCUAUUGGGCAACAUCUAUGAUCUAACACCCUAACUUUAUUAUAAAGUUUGAAAAGAAAGGGGGUUCCUAUUAUAAAGUUCGCAAAAGCUGUGUCUCCCACCUAUUUUUUCUGGUAUGUCAUACUUUUGCAAUUUAUCACCUAUCAGUUCAGCUAUAUUUUAUUUUUAUUUUUUUGAAUUAUGUGACGGAAAGAAUGUGCUUUGAGAGUCAUCAAAGUAAAAAGUUUGGAUAACAAGAAAAAUGGUUCCCUGUAUUUUAUCCACAUUGAAAGAGGGUUUUUUUGUUUGGUCCCGAUCAUGCUUGGAGUUGACUGAAAUGCCUCCAAUUUAAAUCUCAGAAAGUCAACUUGGAUCAUUGUUUAUGUUGCACAUUUUCAUCACAUGCAGACGUAAGACCAACUAUGCUAGCAAUGUCUGUGUUGUACUAAUCUAAUCUACAAACCGUUAUUAUUUACUAUUAAUAUUAUAUUCCUUACAUGCUGCCUCACUUUCAUGUAUAUUUUUCUUAGCACGCAAAUUGUGAUUGCUGCAUUGCUAGUUUGUUUAAUUCAAUUCACAUGGCUGUGUUUUUCGGUUGAAGAAAUCUUUGCUUGUCAGCUUAAUACAAGUUUAAUUAGCUGAUAAUCACUUGUGCAGGAAGCUGAUCGGAGCAAGGUACUUUAGCAAAGGCUAUCUUGCAUAUGCCUCCACAGUAAACUCCUCUGCAGCUAAGACCAUCCAGCCCAACGCACGCGACUUCGGUGGCCAUGGCUCUCACACCCUGUCAACAGCUGCUGGUAAUUUCGUCCCGAGAGCAAGUGUCUUCGGCAAUGGCAAUGGCACUGCAAAGGGUGGAUCACCGAAAGCUCGUGUGGCUGCGUACAAGGUAUGUUGGCCGCCAAUCAAUGGCAAUGAGUGCUUUGAUGCAGACAUCAUAGCAGCCUUUGAUGCUGCAAUCAGUGACGGUGUUGAUGUGCUUUCGGUGUCUCUGGGUGGUGAAGCCGCAGAGUUCUUUAGUGAUGGGAUCGCAAUAGGGUCCUUCCAUGCUGUCAAGAAGGGGAUUUCUGUAGUCAGCUCAGCUGGCAAUUCAGGCCCUACCCCCGGGACAGUGUCGAAUGUGUCACCGUGGUUGCUCACAGUUGGAGCUAGCACAAUUGAUCGUGAGUUCUCCAGUUAUGUUGCUCUUGGCAACAAGAAGCAUCUCAAGGUAUUCCAAUUUAACCUCUCAGCCGCCAUUUGUUCUUCGUUGUUAUGAGUAAUGCUAGAAGGAGGGAUCACAUUAAUUGGUGAUAUGAUAUGGUCGUUGAUGUGCUAAUCAACAGUUAUAUUUCCCAAAAUAAACCUAGUUUUCUUUUGCAUUGUCUUUACUAGGGAGCAAGUCUUUCCUCUGGAGCUUUGCCAUCUAAGAUGUUCUACCCAUUGAUAAGUGCAGUAGAUGCUAAGGGAGCUAAUGCUUCCUCUUCGGAUGCGUGAGUACCGCCAAUUAUUUUCAUGAUAUGUUCUUCAUGAUUUACAAUGCUUGACCGUUUCUUGUUGAACUUCGUUCAGCCAGCUCUGCAAAGCUGGAAGCCUGGAAAAAAAGAAGGUGGAGGGGAAAAUUUUGGUCUGCAUUCGAGGGGAAAAUGCAAGAGCAGACAAGGGUCAGCAAGCUGUUCUUGCAGGUGCUGUUGGAAUGAUUUUGGUUAAUGAUAAGCUAAGUGGGAAUGAAAUAAUUGCUGAUCCUCACUUGCUUCCCACUUCACAUGUCAAUUAUUCGGAUGGGAAAGCUGUUUUUGCCUACAUCAAGUCUACCAAGUACAUGUUUACAUCUUUCACUUUUUGUUUGUGAACUUCAAAAGUUCCUGAUUAAUUAUCUGGCUCCUCAUUCAGUGAAAUUUUGCAUGCAUCAGGACCCCUGUGGCUUACUUAACUCGUGUGAAGACGGAAGUAGGAGCAAAACCAGCACCAUUUAUGGCUUCAUUCUCUUCUAGGGGACCUAACACCAUUGAGCAGUCAAUCCUUAAGGUAUUCUUUGAAACUGUUUUCUAACUUGUGGCUAUAGUGUUUGUUUAGAUUAUUUCAACUAAUUUGUUCUUGUUUGUAAAUCAGCCUGAUAUCACAGCACCAGGAGUGAGUAUAAUUGCUGCUUAUACUGGAGCAGAAGGGCCAACUGAUCAGAAGUUCGAUAAGCGCCGUGUAUCUUUCAAUACAGAAUCUGGAACUUCGAUGUCAUGCCCUCAUGUAUCUGGAAUUGUUGGUCUUCUGAAAACUCUUCACCCAUCUUGGAGCCCUGCAGCUAUUAAAUCUGCAAUCAUGACUACAGGUACAAGCUUUUUUUAGUGACACCAUAACUAGUCAAACUUGUUUUGGAAUCUUAUAUUUUCCUUUAUUUGCUUCGGUUGCAGCAAGAAAACGAGAUAACAAGAAGGAGGCAAUGCAGGAUUCAUCCAAAGCCAGAGCAACACCAUUUGCUUAUGGAGCAGGACAUGUUCAACCAAACCGUGCUAUGGACCCUGGACUUGUUUAUGACUUAACUACUGAUGAUUACUUGAAUUUCUUAUGCUUUCGUGGCUACAACGCAACACUGCUCAAAGUAUUUUCCAACGAGCCACACACAUGUCCCAAGGCAUACAGUCUUGCAGAUUUUAACUAUCCUUCAAUUACAGUUCCUGAUCUCCAUGACAAACCAGUGACUGUAACUAGAAGAGUUAAGAAUGUUGGUUCUCCAGGCACAUACGUAGUACAUAUUAAGGAACCAGCAGGAGUUUCUGUGUCGGUCAAGCCUGGUAGCUUGCAAUUCAAGACCAUUGGUGAAGAGAAGAAAUUCAAGGUUGUUCUGAAGCCUAAGGUUCAGGGUGCUCAAGACUAUGUGUUUGGAGAGUUGAAUUGGUCUGAUGGAAAGCACAAUGUCAGGAGCCCUAUUGUUGUCAUGCACUACUAGAAAUGACAAAGUAGGUCAAUUCAUUUUCAUCAUUGUCUAGAGCCCUUCAAAUAUGUGGAAAUUAUUAGGUAGAGAUCAUAUUAGUCAAAUGUAUUUUAUGUCUUUUCUGCUUUUUUGGCAGAAAUGAUUUAUUUUUCUAAAACAUCAGUGGAAAAUAAAAAGGUGAAUAAAGGAAUUGAUGAUAAAGGAUCAAAUGGAAGUUUUUAUUUGGUUACCAUGUGAAAAAAUGUAGAGUUAAUUUAAUAUUUUUUUUCUUGACUUGAGCUCGUUGUGUGUCACAACUUGCUGCCCAAACAGGCAUAAAGUAGGACAAAGACUUGGACCCAUGUGUCCAAACAAGGAUCUUUUGUUUUACUUAAAGAAUAUUGAAGCAUAAUGGCUAGAAGAGAAAAGAGAAAAGAAAAAAAAAAAAAAACAGAAAUCUCAAAGUUAAAGCAGUCUACCAUAUAUUAAACAUCUCUCAUAUACAUAUACAUACCAGCAUUUUUUGUUUAUGGAAUCUACUUUUUCAAGCUAUCAGUGCCAUAAAGUUAUAUAGUUAUGUCAACAAUUUUUCAUACAGAGAAAUAAACUUGAACCAGCUUUGUAGCCAACAUUUUCGUGCAAAGAUUAAUCAAAGCAAUGGUGCUUUUAACUCUUCCUUCCUUGCUUCUACCAGUUCUUUUGUUCUUUCUGUUGCAGACACCUACCCUAUCCAUAAAAAAGGCAAGCAUGUUUUUCUUUUAAUCUUUUUGCUGCAGCUAAACAAGUUUUCUUGAACAUGAUGAUCAUAUUUCUAAAGUGUACUUGAGUUCUUCCAAUGACCUUAAGAUUUCUUUGGCACUGCAGUCAUUCAUAGUGUACUUAGGAGCACAUUCACAUGGCCCCGACCCCUCAUCCGUGGAUCUCGAUUCUGUGAGAAAAUUUCAUUAUGAUUUUCUGGGGUCUUUCUUGAGAAGGUAUAGAAUUUAACACAAGGCAAAGUAAACCUCUGGUCCUUUCCAUAUAAAUUGAUGUUCCAAACUAUUUUAUUUGCUUUGAAUUCCACUUACAGCAAUAAGAGUGCCAAAGAUGUGAUCUUCUACUCCUACACUAGACAUAUUAAUGGUUUUGCUGCAAUUCUUGAAGAGGAAGAAGCUGCAGAUAUUGCAGGUAUGUGGUAAUAAUUUUUUUCAUCUAAUGUCAGUUUUCAUACAUACAAGCUACAACCUAGUUUGUGGUAUUAAGCUGCAGGAAAAUAUUUAUUAAGUUGCUUUGUAUUUUUGAGGAUGCAGAGCAUCCAAAUGUGAUAUCGGUUUUCUUAAACAAGGGAAGCAAACUGGAAACAACUAGAUCAUGGAAUUUUCUUGGAUUGGAGAGAAAUGGACUAAUUCCUUCAUACUCCAUUUGGAUGAAGGCAAGGUUGGGAGAAGAUACAAUAAUUGCAAACAUAGAUACUGGUAAACUUCUAUAUGUUUUUCGAGUUUAUUAGACCACAAGUAAUUACUUAUUUUCUUCAAGAACUAUGACACUUGUAAAUUGCUGUCAGUGUCACGUUGUUUCUGGAACUUCGUUUCGUGUUUGCUUGUUUCAGUCACACAACUCGUUUCUUUGAAUGAAACCUGCCAAGCUGAUAGCUUUUAGAUUAUCCUGCUAAGACUUGUAACUUGAGAACUUGAUCAAAUUUGUGAUAGAACAUAAUAAUGAUGAACUUUUGAGAAAUUUUUUUUCACUCUUUGCCAAAACCUACAUUGUUUUUGACAUUAUUAACUGUUAUUUCUUGCAAUGGGGAUGUGUUAGGUGUUUGGCCAGAAUCAAAAAGCUUUAGUGAUGAAGGGUUGGGACCCGUCCCUUCAAAGUGGCGUGGAAUUUGUCAACAUGAUACAAAGCGAGUUCGUUGUAACAGGUCCAGCCUCUUGAGUCUUAUCUACUGACAGCCACUUUUUCUUUAAUUAUAUUUUAAACCAAUGCUUUGAUAAAGCUGGUAGGUAAAGUUCAAAUUCAAACUCUGCUUCUAUCGGAGUACCUUGAAUCCAGUUGAGUUUCAUUGCAUUUCAUACUUCAAUUUCACUAUAGAGAAGAGCAAUAUAUGGUUUUAGUCUUUAGGUGAGUAGGCCAAAAAAAAAGGUACUAAGUUUUGAUAUUCAUGCAUAUGGUGCAUAAGAAACUUAGAAAACAUUUUGAGAUAAAAAAGAAAAAAACCUGCUAGUGCUAGAGUUGGUACGUUGUUCUGUUCAAGCAAUGACUCAGUACCAGAGGUUGAUCAAUCAUUGGUUAGGAGGCCAUAACUGAGGGUAAAAAGAGGAGAAAAAUCUUAGCACUACUGGAUUUUGUGAUUUUCUCACUAACACCAGUCACCAUCUACUUUCUGUUGAAGCGACUCUUUUGAUCCUAGUUUUCACUUUUUAUUUCUUGGUGGGACAUUGGCUAAUAACUAGCUAUCUGAACCAUUCAAGCUCUCUCUUCUUAAUGAUGUGCUCUUGCUAAUUCUGCGUUUUAUUGUUUUGCCUCCUAUGGCUUUCUGUGCAUAUCUGCAUAUCAAAUUUUCAAACCAUGCUUUUACCAAAUUUUAGAAAUUUGUGUGUGUUAAUUGGACUAAUGGUCAUGCAAAAGUGUUCAACCCAAGCUUGAUGAGAAUCUUUCCCAUAUAUGAAAGGGCACAUGUUAAUGCAGAAAGCUGAUUGGGACAAGGUACUUUAACAAUGGUCUUGCCAUGUAUGCUGGCCCUCUCAAUUCCUCCUUUUCCACCGCUCGUGACUAUGAUGGCCAUGGAUCCCACACCCUUGCCACGGCUGCUGGCAACUUUGUUCCCGGAGUAAGUGUUUUUGGAAAUGGCAAUGGAACUGCCAAAGGUGGAUCGCCUCGAGCCCGCGUUGCUGCGUAUAAGGUAUGCUGGGCACCAUAUGAAGGUGUCCAGUGCUUUGAUGCAGACGUAUUAGCUGCCUUUGAUGCUGCAAUAAGUGAUGGAGUCGAUAUAAUCUCUGUGUCUCUUGGUGGAGGAGCACAAGAAUUUUUUAAAAAUUCAAUUUCAAUAGGGGCCUUCCAUGCAGUUAAGCAUGGCAUUGUUGUGGUUAGUGCAGCUGGCAAUUCAGGACCAAAUCCAGGGACAGUGUUAAAUCUGUCGCCCUGGUUAUUAACAGUUGGUGCUGGCACGAUCGAUCGGGAGUUCACAAGUUAUGUCUCUCUUGGAAACAAGAAGCAUUUGAAGGUACAUUGUGCAUACUUUCCUAGUGUCUACAAGGGACGAGCCAAUACAACCAAACUAGGAUGUUCAAUUUUUGAAUGGUUCCCAAUAGCAGCAUGCCUGUUUGAUGUUUACUAGACAUAAUGAGUUGCAGUAACUAGUUUACAUUUUUUACUCUGCCAGGGAGUUAGCCUUUCAGCUAAAGGCUUGCCAUCGGAAAAGUUCUACCCAUUGGUCAGCGCAGCAGAAGCGAAACAUGCUAAUGCAUCCACCGCAGAAGCGUAAGCACAAUUUCGAAAAGUUGUAUGAUUCUACUCUUUAGCAAUGAGUAAGCUGCUUCAUUUUUCACUUCAGAAUAAUUUGCCAGGGUGGAACCCUUGAUCCUAGGAAGGUGAAAGGAAAGAUCUUGGUUUGCCUUCAAGAAUAUAACGAUAAUGCAAGAACUGAGAAGAGCUGGCAGGCUGAUAUGGCAGGUGCUGUAGGAAUGAUCUUGGUUAAUGAUGAGCAAAGUGGAAAUGAUGUUGUAGCCGAUCCUCAUGUGCUCCUUGUUUCACAUGUCAACUACACUGACGGCAAAUAUAUCUUUGAUUACAUUAAAUCUACCAAGUCUUUAACUCUCUCACUUACUAAUUUGCUUUUGGACUUUGAUUAUGUAUAUAUCAUCAAAUUUGGUCUUAAUUACUCACACAGUGUGUAACUUUAUUCAUAACAGAACCCCUAUGGCUUACUUAACUCGAGUCAAGACUGAAUUUGGAUCAAAGCCAGCUCCAUUUGUGGCUACAUUUUCAUCUAGGGGGCCUAACCUCCUGGAACAGGGAAUCUUAAAGGUAAACGAUAACUUUCUCUGUUCUCUAGUCAAAUUAAUGGGUUUUCUUUCCCUGGUAUUACCAUUACAGUUUAUAUAUUACAUGAACUUUUCAUUACAUAUUUUCAGCCUGAUAUCAUUGCACCAGGGGUGAGCAUAAUUGCUGCUUAUACUGAAGCAGCAGGGCCAACUUCUCAAAUUUCCGAUACUCGCCGGGUUCCUUUUAAUGUGCAAACUGGGAGUUCAAUGGCAUGCCCUCAUGCAUCUGGAAUUGCAGGGCUUCUCAGGACACUCCACCCUGAUUGGAGUCCGGCAGCUAUUAAAUCUGCAAUCAUGACCACUGGUACACAACACCUAGUUUUUUUCAUUGACCAGUUAAAAAUGAAAUGCACAUCUGCCAUUCUAGCAUUGCUUAACUUUCCUUACACAUGCAGCUACAACAGAGGAUGACAGCAUGGAACCAAUACCUGAUGACUCUUCUUAUGUGAAGGCAACACCAUUUGCUUAUGGCUCAGGACACAUUCAACCAAACAAAGCAAUGGAUCCGGGACUAGUUUACAACCUAACAACGCUAGAUUACUUGAACUUCUUAUGCGCUCGCGGAUAUAACGAAACCAUGAUCAAAUCAUUCUCCAACUCAAUUUACAAGUGUUCCAAGUCAUUCAGCCUAGCAGACUUCAACUACCCUUCAAUUUCAGUUCCUAAUCUCAGUGAAGACUCAGUGACCAUAAACAGAAAAGUUACAAAUGUUGGUUCUCCCGGCACAUACAAAGUGCAUGUCAAGGAGCCAUCAGAAGUAGAAGUUUUGGUUAAACCUAGAAGAUUAAAAUUUAAGAGAAUUGGUGAAGUGAAGAUGUUCAAGGUUAUAUUGAAAGCUAAGGUUAAGGGUAAGCCUCAAGGGUAUGUAUUUGGAGAGUUGAUAUGGUCAGAUGGCAGUCACUAUGUAAAGAGCCCUCUUGCAGUGAAGCACUAUUAGAAUUUGGCCGUGUUUGCAUUCAACUUUAGAUUGAUUGUCAGCUUAAGUUCGUGCCGAUAAGCGAAUAAAAAGAUGAAACAAAUUUUCUUAAUUGGUUACUUUUCAUAUUUUGCUGCCAUAUGAAUAUGAUCAGCUCAAAGAAACUAUGUAACAAAGAUAUCCAUAGAUCAGAAAAUCAGCUGGAAAUUUAUAUGGUUGAUGAGAUCUUUGGCCUCAAAACAGAUCCUUACAUGCGCACUCAACAAAUUAUACCAACCCUCAGAAAGAAAAAACACAUGGAAAAACCAUAAAACCACACAUAAUAAAAACCUAAUCACCACACCACACAUAAUAAAAAUAUAUGAUGGACACUAAAGAAGAGUAAAUCUAUAGAUGAACAGCUACCAAACAUAAUAAACAUAUCAUAUAUAAAUGUGGUAGUAGUAGAGGAGAGAAAUUGAGGAGAGGGAUGAAUAAGAGGAAACCUAAGGCAUGGGUGGAUUGGGAAAGAUAAUAUUUUUUUUAAUCUGCUUCUAAGUUGUAACCACUCAAAAGUAGUAAUUAGUUUUAUCAUCUUCCCCACUUACCCAUGCCAUAACCUUCCUAAAAUUCCAUCUCCCUCUCCAUAUUCUCUGCUUCUUCACUUGCUGAGCUUAUGGCCACACAACAACAUUGCUUAUCUAUAUUUAUAUAUAUAUAUAUAUAUAUAGCUAGAGUUGUGCACCAAAUUCCUAUCCAUAGCCGUUGGAUUAAAGAUAAGUAUUAGGUAGAGACAGUGCUCUGGCCCUUCAUUUCAUAGGUUUUUUAAUUCCAACCUAUAAAAAGUGAAAAAGAUGCUGAAGCAACCUUAUCUUUCUUCUUGGAGAAUAUUUUUUCUUUUUUUUUUCUUUUUUUUUACAAUUCACUUUUUGUAACAACAAACAAGGCCCAAUCUUAUUAAAAACAAAUAAGGCCCAAUCCAUGGACAAUCAGUCCGACCAAAAAAUGAACCCAAAUCACUAUUUAGAAAUUAACAAAGGCAAAACCCUAGCUAUCCCUCUCUUCCUCUUUCGUAGCCCUCUCUCUCACAUAUAGACGAAGACGCAGAGGAAGAGAGGAGGAGUUCAAAAUUUGGUUACAUCACGCCCCAGGUACUCUCUUUUUAUCAUAAGGGUUUAAUUUUUUCUCCAACAUUUCUUAAGCGUAGUAAAAUUAGACUAUUCGUGACCUAAGUUUUUGUGGGUAUGUUGAAAAAGCAGUUGAUCUUUGUAUCUUUGUUGAGUUUUACAGAAGUUUUUGUGUGUUUUUCAUUUGGGUCUCUGCCAAUUUUGAUGCUUGUUCUAUUUCCGAACUCGGUAAAAAAAUAUUCAGGCACCUAUGAUUAAAUUGGGAAAAUUUUGUCACUUGAAACGGAAUUUAAUUUUCCUUUUAUUUGGAGUUAGUUUAAAGUAGGGUUUAUUGAAGCACUUUGUGAAAUUGAAAAUCCAUGAAGCAUGUGUGUAGUUUAUGAUUGCAUCUUAGGCUGUGGAUAUUUCAGUUGAGGUUGUAAUUGUGAGAAUAGCGCUCUGUUUCUGUUCUUGCAGACAAGGCAGGGAUAGUUUGUAUUGUAUUGUAUUGUGUAUUUUUAUUGAUAUAAAGCUUAAUUAGAAUUAGAGUAGAUGUUUACUGUGAGAACAUAUGUUUUUUUUAGGGAUUGGUAAACAUGAUUUCUGAUUUUAUGCUCCUAUUUGAACAAAUUUUUAUUAAUAGUUGAAGGGUCCAAAAGUCAGACCAGUUAAAAAUGCAGUCCAAUGAAGCUCCCGUUUCCAUGGAAGUCGAAGCAGUUCCAUCUGAACCAAGUUCAGCAUCUGCGGCUUUGCCACCAAAACCAAUUUUUGAGCCUUUGAAGGCUCAUGAGAUGUCAGAUGGUCGAGUCCAGUUUCGGAAAGUCUCUGUUCCGCCACAUCGAUAUUCACCUCUCAAGAAAGUAUGGUUGGACAUUUACACCCCAGUUUAUGAGCAGAUGAAGAUAGACAUUCGUAUGAAUCUCAAGGGUCGCAAAGUUGAGUUAAAGACUAGAGCUGACACACCCGACGUGAGUAAUUUACAAAAGUGUUCUGAUUUUGUUCAGGCUUUCAUGCUGGGGUUUGAUGUGAUAGAUGCCAUUGCCCUUUUGCGUAUGGAUGAGCUGUAUGUGGAGUCUUUUGAGAUCAAGGAUGUUAAAACACUUCGUGGGGAGCACUUGUCUCGUGCUAUAGGAAGACUGUCCGGUAAAGGUGGUAAAACAAAGUUUGCCAUCGAGAAUGCUACAAAGACGAGGAUUGUGAUUGCUGAUACCAAGAUUCACAUACUGGGCUCUUUUGCAAAUAUUAAAGUUGCAAGGGAUUCUCUUUGCAGCCUUAUCUUAGGGUCCCCUGCUGGAAAAGUAUAUUCAAAAUUAAGAGCAGUUACUGCCAGAUUGGCAGAAAGGUUUUGAUUUUUGUCUGUGAUACCUUAGAGAGUUUGUCUUGAGUAAUGCAUUUGUUAUAGCCAAUCAUAGUUUUGGGUAUUCGGAGGAUGCGUGUGGCACUGCAAAGGUUCUAGGUAUUUUUGUAACUUGAUUAGACUUGACAUCUUGUAAGAAUUUCCUUUUUAUUGUAACAUUUUGUUUGAGUUGCAUUCAUAUUUAUAUUUCUGUUUCAUUUUAGACUAUGCUCCUGAGUGACAGGUUCAUUUUGAUAUCCAGUUGAUGCGUUAUAUCAUCAAAGUGCUUACAUUAUUUAUAAGAGGUCUUCAAGGUGCUUCUUCCUGUGUUGAGACAAAUACAAGGGUUGAUGACCUUAAGGACUUGUAUCAAAUAACAAUAAAAAUAUGGACUUUAUGCUGGUUAACUAUCUAUCCCUGAUCACCAUUGCCCACUCCGCAGAGCAACUCUUCCAAUGUUUGAAGGGUCAUAGUCAGCAUGCUUAAAACUGCAGCAGAUGCAGCAUCUGGUUCCUUGCCACCCAAGCCAAAGUUUGAGCCUUUGAAGCUCCUGAGAUGUCAUAUGGCUAAAUUCAGUUUCGGGAAGUCUAUGCUCCGGCACAUUGUUUCUUGCCUCUCGAGUAAGCACAAGUAUUGAACGAGAAUGCUCUCAAAGAUGAUGAUUAUGAUAGCUGACACCAAACAGAUUGGCAGAUUGGUUUUGAUUUGGGUUUGAAAUACCAAGAGAACUUGUUUUGAUUGAGUUAUAUGCAUUUUCUAUAGAAUAUGUUUGGGAGUGCUUCUGGAAGGGUUAAAAGCGUUUUAGAAGUGUUUUUUUUUGGAGAAGCAUGUGUUCUGAUAGAAGAUUAAACAAAGUGCCAAAAGAAAUAAAGAGACAAUUUGGCAUGUAAUUAAAACCAAGAAUUCAUGGUUUGACACAACUUCACAAGAGGCCAAUCAAUAAACAAUGCUGACCUUAGCUAAGUUCUGACUAUAACGCACAUAUUCUUUUUACUUUUAUUUGUUAAGUGUUUUGGCCUUCAAUAAGCCGCAGGUGCUGGCCUUCAUUAAUAAAAUUGUAUAGGCUGAAUAAUGUUAUGUCGUUGUAUUGACGCCUAACCCUAGGAUUACAAGGAAACAAAAUGCACAAUUUAGUGGGAUAGGAAUCCUGAACUAGGAAGUAAAUAAAAGGGCAAGCAAUAAUAACGAGAUAUUAUAUACGAGUCAUGCUAGAAGACUGUCGUUAGAGCCUAUACAUUACAAAAUUAAUAAAUUCUAUAUAUUUUAAUUGCCAUAUCUUUGUUGUAUCCAAAUUCUAAUUUUUGAAAAUUUUUCGUAUCGUUGUGUCAUACUGUAUCGUAUUUAUGUACUCGUGCAAUACAGGUUUUGAACUUUUAAGAAUUUAUCUAGGGUUCUCGAUUGUUCAUUUUUGGAGCUUUUAGCAUUUUAAAUGUUGCUCCUUUUCUGAAAAAACUUAUUCAUAGGGGCGUCCAUCUCCUUGAGAGAUCCCUAACCCUAACCUACCUAUAGCUAUUAGCUAGUGUGCGCGCUGGAAGUGUUUGUUUGUUUAAUUACCUUUUCGCCCCUGAUUGGUGCUCUUGAAAUGUCUGUUUUGACCUCGCUUAGUUGCUUGCUUCUCAAGUAUAGGAAGGGACGGUUUUUGAUACUAAAGCAUUUUAUUUCAGCCUAAACUUUCAAAAUAAAAAAUUAUGUUUACUCAAUUAAUUUUUUAAUUAUCAUCAUUUUUCUACAUUCUUCAAUGCAACAUAUAGUUUGGAAUAGUUUUUGACGACCGUAUACUAAUUAACAUUGAAGGCCUAACCCAUACGUACACAAUGCAUUUACAAUACCUCAUGUAUGGCAGAUACAAUCAAAGACAGUUAGCAGCAGAGAUAAAGUAAACCAGGCAACCUCAACACACAGGAUGAAUGAUAUAUAAUCUGAAAAGGGUAAAUCUUGCCAGCCCCGUUCGUGGGUGUCAGUAGAUUAAAAUCAAAUCAAAGGGUAACAAAAUACACAAUAUUCCAACUUGAACUACUUUUGUAAUUGAGUUCUCCAAUUAAUCAUUAUUAUUCCAACAAUGAAAUGAAUUUUAAAAGGUAUAUAGCUUAAUCAGCCCCCAAAAAGAUAUCCUGCUGCUUGUUCUUCGUUACCGUCGAAAAAUUUAAGAGCUUGUAUUACAGCAUCUCUCCCGAACCCUAGCUCAACAAGCUUUGCAACUUUAGCUUCAAAAUCAGGUCCCUGCAGCCAUACCAUUAUCAGAUUAGAAUUUUCAUACCAUGAUAAUGGAUCAUCAUCAUCACCCCAGUCAAACUUCUCUAUUUGGUGACCCCAAAAGAUUGAAUAGCCCAAGAUUGAGAACUUAGAACAGUGAGUAACCAAAUGUAAACAUACUACAGCAGAGGUUAAAGCCAAAGAAGUUUACCUGAGUCGGGUUAGAACGAGCACUUCCUGUAUCAAUUUAAAAGGAAAAGUGCAUCAGUUAUAUGUGGCAAAACAUCAUGCAUGCACUGCUAUCACAAUUUACCUUUUAACCAAUUCAACCAAACUAGAGCAAACAAACUAAAUUGCAUACACAAAUCAUGAUCAAAAUGAGAAUCCCGUUAACAACUACAACCAAUUUCCAAACUAACCAGAUGAUUGCCCUCCCGAUGGUGAAUUUUUGCUUGUAUCUGCUUUUCCAGAUGUAACCUGAAGAAUAACACAAUAAAGUAAAACGUGGAAUAUUGAAAGAAAUAACAAGAGUGCCAAUCCAUACAAGAACUUACAAAAUAUACGUCAAAGGUUGAUUGCCUUCCUAGAUCUGAAAACUUUUUUAAGACCAUAAACAUAUCCUAAUAAAUGUUAUGAUGCAAAAAAACCAUGCUAUAUCAGUACUCAACAAGAAAAUUGGAGGGAAAGAAAAGAUACAAAGAGAAAAAGGGAACUAAUACAAGGACUCGUACAGGACGAAAGAGCCAACUGGUUUUUAUGGUUAACACCAGAAUAUGGAUCCUCCAUAGUUUUGCUAUUAGACUAUCCAUGGGCUGUGCACUCGAUGAUUAGAUAUAGCAGCAUUUUGAUUAAAGAAAUCAGACAUUGCAAACAUCAAGAACUGUUGACUUCAGGAAAAGCAUAAACUCAAGUAGACUUACAGGAGCUCCUGAGCUGGAUGUUUCCUUGGCAAACCUUUCUUCAUCCAGAAAACGAGAUGGGAUGUCCUUUUCUGAAAUUGGUACAUAGUUUAAUUUUCUUAUUUACCAAAGGGCAUAUAUUCAAGAAUCUUUAUAAAUUCAUACAUAUGAAGAGAGAUAAUGGGACCAACCUUGCAAGAAUGGUACGGAAACUUCUCCACCACCAACUCUCAAAACACUAUCCUUCAGAUCUAUAAUGCACUGAAGACAUCUGCAAUGUUAGAAGACUAACAAAUCCGGAAAACUUCACUAAUUAAAGCAAUUGAGAUGGACAACUAUCACAUAAUUCGAGCAUGUAUCCUACCUGAUGCUUACGGAGCAUAUCCAACCCAAAGAGGAACUCCAUAUUGGGAGCAUCCAAAACCAAGAAUGAGCAAGGAUAAAAUAUAUUCCCAAUCUAAAGAAACAAUGUUAAUAAAUAAGUUAAAAAUCCUGUCACUCAAGUAACCAUCUCAGACACAAGAGUAUAAUAUGAUAUGAAAUGUUUAUCAUAGGCAGCUACCUUGAUUGGAGCUACAUGUAUCCGACCCAAUAUCUCUGAUUGACCAACUCCAUGAGCAAUACCCUUGUAACGUUGAUCUAAAAGCCUCAACAAUCUAGAUAAUUCAAUGCCCAAAACAACACAACAUUAGGCUUUUACUUCUAUAACUCUCACAGUAUUCAUAAAAAUAAAAUAAAAAAACCAACAGAGUUUCUAAUAAAGAAAACAGAAAUAAAGCAAUCAAAAAUUGUUUCCUCUUUCACAAAAAUUCAUCUUUAGGGGAUGAUCAUAAAAGCCAAAUUUUAUUGUCUAAAGUGGUAAUGAUAUAAAGUAGCUAAUGAAAGCUACCGACUGAGAUUGUUAUAGAACAACUUCCUACUUUUCUCUCAUGAUCCAAAUCAACAUCAGCAUGCUCUCAAAACCAUGCAUACAUUUUGGUCGUGUUUGGGCCACUGAAUUUCUAGAAUGAAACACAACCAAAAAGACAGUGGACCAACAGCCAACGGGCAGGAUAGCAUUGGCACCUAAAUUGCUAAUCCAAACAGGAAUUAGAUUCAUGCAUGAGGGCAGGUGCAUAUACAUCAAAGAAUAUAAACAGUAAGCAUACCUAGGUAUGGAUAAAUAAAUACUAUACCUACAAGCAUAAUCCAAAAAGGGUAUGUGAUAAGAUAUUCGUCAACAUGAAUAUGUUACAUGAAUCGCUUGUGCAGAUCAAUUAUUACAAUUAGUAGAUAGUAAAUUACUGUCUAAUAGUGAAAAACAGCUCAUACCCGCAACGCUCAGCGCAGCUUUUUGAAAUAAUUGUUGACUGCGCUCCACUGUCAACAAAUGCCUGGACACAAGUGAAAAUAAACAAAAUAUGUAACUUUUGUAGCUAUUUGGGUACAGGAAAAAAAUAAAAAAUUAUCACUUCUAAUACUAGUUGAGAUGGACAAUCUGUACAGAAAAUAUGAAGGGAAGUCAAAUAAAGUAAGACAUUUAAGUAAGGCAACAAAAAUCAUGCAUGUAGUCAUCUCAUAUUACAUUGAACUGAAGCUAAAGAAGAGUAACAGUGCACACCCUAAGCUAUUACGUUUGAGUUACCUUUAACGGGACACCAUUGACUUCCAUGUCAACAUACAACAUAACCUGAAAAGUCACAUAGAACAUCAAAUGAAACAUCAAGAGUAAAUUUUAAAAAGAUAACAAUGGUGAUUAUACAUACCACCCUUGCAAAAGCUUCAGGAUUAUGUUCCAGAGCCGCGGCCCAGUUUUCAUCAAUUCCUUUCUGCAAAGCAAAUCAGCAAAUAUAAAAAACAGAAAAAAUACAUACUAGGUGCAUUUAAAAAUAAAUUUUAAGAGAAUGUUACUAGUGCAAAUAUUUUAUGAAAGAACAACUACAGCAUCAGGUUAUUGAAGAAAUUGUGAAGUUGAAUUAUCAUUUGUGAACCUCAGGCCUUUGACAAAGACAAUACCACUAACCUGGCGAAUAGCAGCUUCAAUCUUCUUCUGUGCUUCAACAUCAAAAGGAUCUGCAUAAAGAAGAGCCUGCUCACAAGAUAAGGUGAAACAGAAACUCCAUUAAUUACAGAGAUUAUACAUCAUUCCAAAAUCUAUAUUCAAGAAGUAACACAGGAUAAACAGGUAUCAUGACAGAAAUAGACAUUGCAAUAACAUUUACAGUCAGUUAAUUACUACAUUUCUCUGAAAAUUCAAAAAUUAUCAUAUGGAUGUAGGUGUUUAUUUUUAAGUACGGAGGCAAAUUACCACAAAAUUCAUAGAAAGUAGCAACUAUCCUACAAUAACUAUGAGAAGAAGGGGAAGAAAAGGUCACUUACAAGCUCCUCAUCUUGUUGCCGUCGAAGUUCAGACUUUUGGAGAUGACGCUGUCGUAAAAGUUCCUGCAGUCUAUUGAGAUCAUUUCCAAGAAUAACUUGUGCUAAGUCUGGGUCACUCUGUACGUUCCACAUAAAAGUAAGAUUGUCAGAAACCCACUGGAAGUAAACAAUCACAUAAACUAAGGAAUUGCAUUUUGAAAAACUCUGCAACAGUUUAUACCUUCAGAAUAACAAUGCUGAAACUAAAGAAAAAAUUUAAAUCAUGUGCAGGUGUCCACAAACCUCAUCCAAAACAAGAAAAAGAAAUUGAAGUAAAAGAACAGCAUGCUACCUGAAACAACUGUGCCAUCAAAUUAGAAUCAUUCUUAAUGUGCUGCUGAAAAGCUCCUGGGUUUACCGCAGACCCAUCUGGAUUGAAGCUCAAAGCAUUGGCUGAAGCACUGAAAUAUAUUCACAGACCCAUUAAAUGCAUGAACAUCAUAAAGGGAAUUGAAUAGAAAAUACAAAAUGACAAAAACAAAGAGAACAAUUGUAAAUGAUGAAGUGGGUCAACUAUACCUCGGUGCAGCAUUGGAUACCAUCAUUAUCAAGUCUUCAUCUUUAACGCCAAGGGCACUCAGCUUCUCAGAAUUCCUCAUCUCCCUCCCAUUAUAUAGCAGCUGCUGUUGCUGAAGCAGCACCCGCGUCUGCUUAUAUGCAUUGUAAAAACAAAUCACACAUUCACUUUACAUUCAUCUAUUAAUUAAUUAAUUAGCUAACUUAAACUAGUUUUCAAACCCAAAAAAGUUUCGAAUUUUAAAUUCUGCAAUUAUAUUUCGGUUCUUUACUUGUUCCCCUGAGUCCCCAAGUAAAGAAAGAUCCAAAAUUUACUUCAAUUGAAUAAUAUCUUUCCCCAUACUUUCAUAGUAGCCAACGAAUUUAUAAUUCUACAAAUAAAACUUAAAAAUUUACGUAAAGAAAUUCUCACCUCCACCUCCAGCAGAGCUUUCACAUUUUCAACCUAUCACAAAAAAAAGAACUUCCAAAUUAAUUAAACAAAACAGAGCAGCAAUAUGAACAAACACACCCCAAAUUACAGAGAGAUAUAUACGCAUGCAAGUAAUUGAGGUUUUGUUGAGCUGAAAUUAGGGUUUUACAGUUUCGUGAGGAUCCACGUCUAAGUUGAGAAUCUGUUCGUCCGCGGUCAUUACAGUGAUCUUCAUCUGUGAUUGGAUCUCUGCGAGUCUUCUUCAAUGGAGUUAAUUGCUGAAGAAUAAGUGCAAUUGUAUUGUAGCUUUUAUAUCGAAUUCGAGCUUCGGCUUUGGAAAUGGAGGAGCUUUGUUUUGUUUACUUUGGUCUUCUAGUCCCACUUGGAGAAGAAAGAGAAAAGGGUCGUCUGUGCUACGAAUUAGUUGCACCCGUCUAACUUUUGACGUUUUUAAAGUUUGCUUUCGUUUGAUUGGAUACCAAAACUUUCCGUCUUACUUUGCUUUCUCUAAAAGGAAGUUGUAUUCUUUUGCUUUUCUUUUUUUGUAUUUGUUUAAAACAAAUUAUUAUUUCCUUAGUUGUAUUUUUUUUUUCAGCUUCUUAUUCUAUAAUUUGUCCUAUCCUUAGAGACUUUUUGUUAGACAUGGAUUCUUAUUUUAUGUUUAUUUUUUUAAUUUUUAUUUUUAGUCUAUCUUUAUUUUUAUAUAUAUAAAAAAGUUUAAUGUUAUGUUUUUAAUUAUGUGAUUUUUAAUAGACUAUUGCUUUAUAUAACACCUCAUCCUCUUCCUCUUCCCCAAUAAAUGAAAAAUAAAUGUAUUCAUAUAAUGCUUCAUCCUCUUCCCCAUAUGUAGUAAUAAUAAUGGAGCGGUUCCGGGUUGAUUAUGCGCCCGAUAUAUGGAUCAAUCCAAUUUUCGUUAAUUAAAAAUAUGGAUGGACUACCUAAACAAAUUGAUAACUGCCAAAAUCUAAAUAGAAAACCAUAAAUACCAAACAAAUUGGAUCUAUUGAGAUAAUAAUAAUAAUACUAUUGGUACCAAAUUUGUUGACUAAUUUACUAACCACCUCUUUAAUAGAAGUGGGCCUUAAUAGGGUGUUUUACAUUUACCAUAUAUACUCUUAACAAUAAUAGUAUUACUUGAUAACAAUGAUACCAUUUUCGGUCCGUCCCAAAUACCAUACCUAAAAGUUUUCCCAAACUAGUCCCCAUACCGGAUUUUUAUUCUUCCUACCAUACUCAUUAGGGGCGAAGCCUCACGAAUAUGAGAGGAGAAUUGUCGUCCAUAUAUGUGACUUAAAAGAAAAAACAAAAGUAAACAUAAACCGAAAAGGAUAUAAAUUCUAAGAACAAUCCUUACAUAUGUAACCAAUGUAAAUUGCAACCCAAAAACCCAGAUUAACAUAAAAAAAAUUAUAACCUAAGAACUAAAAUUCAAAUAAUAACAAAGAAAGAUGAGACAGAUUCAUUACAUAAUGCGUCAGAGAAUAAAGAAACAAAACCCUAAUUAAGCUAGAAAUUAAGGUGGAGGUGCAGUGUAACCCAAUAAGGGUUUUCUAGUCAUUCCACUACGCCUACAUAAAAAGCCAUGAACAUUUGGAUCGCAGAAAUGAUGCACAGAUUGCUUGAUGAUGAAGUGAUGCCUCAGCUUCGUCAAAGGGCCGACCGCAAAUAACACCCCGAUGAAUAGCAAGAUUACUAAUAUGCACAUGCAGCACACGCACAACCUGCACAUUUUUACUUGCUUUGAGACCCAAAAAAUCAAGAGACUCCUCUCUGAGAGAUCUGGGGAGAAUUUUGUGAAAUGAAAUGGGGCAUUUGAGUUUUGGAAAAUGUAGGGGAAUUGUGGUUUUAUAUCGUUCCAAUUUUAUCGGAUAUUGUUGGAGACUUCUCCAAAUGUGGGGAAAUUAUGAUAUAUGAGAGGAUAUUGAUAUAUCUAUAUAUAGGGUAGGGUGUAUAUACCCUUUAUUUUGUGAGGGAGGGAGAGUAAAUGUGUGCAUCAAUAAAAUGCAUAAUGACCAUACAAAUGCUUGAUCUGAACGGUUGAAAAAUAAAUCUUGAAUGAUUGGAUUGUGUUCUUUUAUUUUUUUAAAACAAUGAUUUAAUUUUAAGUAUUAUUAAAAAAAAAAUAGAAUUUUAAUACAAAUUUGUAUUUAUUAUACAAAGUAUGCAGAUCUAACGAGAUUAAUUAAUCCACAUCAGCAUAGUUAUAUUAUUUUAAAAAUCACAUGUUGUACCGUAUCAAUUAUCCUUCCCUAUCUUUAAUGAGUGCAAUCUUCCCCUUCCCCUUUCACACCCUCCCCACCCCACGUCUCUUAUGAGAAACCCUCUUUCCAAACUCUUAUUUCCAUGGUUGUCAUCUCUCCAGUGGUCUAAUCCCAACCCCUCCUUAUCUGAGUCCCAUAUGCAAAUAAGAAACAAAAUCAUGUACCUAAUGAAUUAUAAGGCUAAUAAAUGCAAAACCAAUCAACAAUUCGAAGAAAUCAAAUUUAAAAAGCUAGAGAAUUGGUAAGCAUCAAUAAUGGAUUAAUAUAAAGUUAGUUAUGUGUUGAUAAAAGAGAAUUCCCACAACAAAUUCAAUUCCACGCACUUUUCAAUUUCUCCUCAACUUCUACACAAGUAUGGUUAUACCCAAGUAUUGAUUAUUUUAUGGCAAGCGAAAUUAACAGUGAGAGAGAGAGUUUGUGAAAGGGGUGAUACAGUACAACAUGUGAUUUUUUUAAAGAUAAUAUAACUAUGCUAAUGUGGAUUAAUUAACCUCAUUAGAUUAAUCAAAUAGUGAAUAUUUUAGUAAAUGCACCGAUGCUAAAUGCUGAGGCUCGAGUAUGCUAUAUGUUGGCGUGACUUGUGGAUAUUGACUUACUUUCCUUACACACCAAGAAUUCCUAUUAUAAUUGUAAUUGAUUUACUUUAAUUCCUGAUUUCUUACUGUAAAUAGAUUUAUGAAUUUAUUAUUUACUUGCCCAUUUAGGUUUCAUUGUAUUAUAAAUAUGACCUCUUACAAGGAGAAGAAUACACAGAAAAUUCCCACAAACAAAUAUUCUCUCAUAGUUUUCAUAUUUUAGCAUGGUAUCAGACUUCUCUUAGUUCACCCUAAGUUUACUCCAACUUUUAAUUUAAAUUUUCACAAUUUCUAAGAAAUCCCCACUAUCUUCCCAAACUACUCUUAAAUACACCCCAAGUUGAAAACAUAAGAAAUAAAAGAAAUUUUCUAUUUAAACCCCACAAGCUACCCUUAGAGGAGGAAGUACGUUCUUAUUUGACAGACACUUGAUUUGUUGACAAUGUUAAUUUAUAGAUUGGUAAAUUUUUUGUGCAUAAUAUGUGAUUCUUAUUUGAUUUCUACCUCCGAAUGCCAUCUAGAAUUUUUAAACAUUGAAACACUAUAUACUGAAGCUUUAGGCAUAUACUUUGAGAGGAGAUAAAACUGGUACUUGAGGUUGCUACACUUUGCACUAGGAGUAGGCCAUCUAAUCGGGCAUCAAUGGAGAAUACAUUGAAGCUUUUAUCAGAGUGGAAAAGCAACAAGAAAAAUGACCCAACUAUUGAAGCAGCAGUAGCAGGAUUAUGAUUUUAGAUGCAUACUGGAAUUCCAGAAGUGACAAUAAUAUUACUAUUCCCAGCAAAAAAAAAACACAAACAAAUGGAACCCAAAAUCCGAAAUUUAAUACUUUCUAGAGAAAGAGAACAACUUUACCAAAACAUCAGGUAAAAAGAAAAAAAAAACAAAAGCAAUCAACAAGUCUUUCCAUUAGCUCCCACUCAAAUUUUUAAGAAGCAUGCUCGUCAAUGUUCUACGUCUCUGGCAAUACGAUGUAGAGGAGUUUGUAUUUUUCUAAAACUUACUAUAAAGAGUGGUGAGGUGUGUGUAUAGAGGUACUAGGGUUAAGUAUUAAGUUGGAUGACCUUUUUUGUCUUGUUAUACAAUAAUAAAACUUAUAGUUUAAUGAUUUAAGUAUUGGGGUGAACUAAAAGAAGUAUGGAGUUUAAAUUAGAAAAUCUCUACUUCAAAGGGAUUGUAACUCAAGUAGUUAAACGUAUUUACCCAUGCACUCGAGGUCUUGGGUUUAAUUCCUCCUCCCCCAAUAUCGUUUGUAUAACAAAUAUAUAUAUAUAUAUAUAUAUAUAAAAGUAUGUUAUAAUUAUAUUGAAGAAAAAAAGUGCUAGAAAAUAAUAAUAAUUAUUACUAUUAUAUUAAUGAUAUUUGCGUAUUCAUUAAACAAAUUAGUCCCUAACUUACUAUACUUUAGUUAUAACUUCAAAUAUCAAAUAUCAUUUUGUUUUCCUUAAUUUUUCACAUACAUCGAUCUUUCAACGAUUUACUAUCUUCACAUGUUCCAAAUCUUUUUUUUUUUUGGUCUCUUCUUGAUGAAAUACCUGUAAUUUUCAUGCAAAAUGCUGCCUUCCAUCUUCUUCUUAUUUAAAGAUGUGCAAAAUUAUGUCUCCUCCUCCUUCUUCCUGUUAGUUAAUCCUAACUUCUUCUUCUUCUUGUUGUAACAACUAUACCAUGUCAUCUUACAUACGUCGACGAAUUUCAAUUUUUUUGGUGCAUAUAUUAUUUUGGGCCAAAUCAGAAAAUUAUUUGUGUAACAUGUUCUCCCACAUGCGUGUUUAAAGAAGUUAGGGGAAUAAUUCCAAUACUAGUUUCGUUUGAUGUAAGGGAACAUGUCAAAAUUAUAGUAGCUCGUGUUGCGGAUGUAUCUCUCCGUAGUUUCUGUUCUAAUUUGCAGUGUGGGGAGGAAGUACUUGCGGCGGAGCUUAUGGGCACUUUCCUUGCCCUCCAAUUAAUUGAAAACCACUCCUUAAGAAUCUUGUUUUUAGCUUGUGGAAUGGUUCCUAAUAUCACGGACGACUAAAAAACCUCAUUCCGUGACAUUAAGUAAACCCUAGACUUAUGAGCUCAAACAACUUUGACAAAAAAAAAACACACACACACACACACAUUUAUAGAGAGAUGAAUUUUUCAGUAUGAAAUAUGAUCUGGGCCAAUUUUAUUUGGUUAAAUUAGGUGAAGUGAAUUAUGGAUAUGGUUGAGCAUAAUAAGGGAGAUUACCCUUUCUUCUUCUUGUCCUUUUUCAUCAGGGCCAUGAGAAGUUUUCUCAAUUGACAAGAAAUUAAUGUUUUGCUAAGCACAACCUCACACACUCACACAUAAUCCCUCCAAAUGGGGUCAAUACAAAUCAAGCAUACAAAACAUGGUAAAAAUAGUUUUAUUAAAUUCCAAGAUCAGCUCUGAUCUAUCAGCCACAAGUAUAAUGUAGCCCUGAAACCCAUAUUUUACCAACAACAAUUCAAAAUCAAACCUCUAGCAACCCCAAAAAAAAAAAAAAAAAAAAAGAAAAAAAAAAGUAACAAUAGAUUACAUAUUGUAUAACAUUAACAAGAAGAAAAUCCUUUAGAAUGGUGAAGGUGCAACUUGAUCCAAGAAGGAUGUAGGCGCCAUGUCAAAGAAGGGUCUUCCAGGCCUGCACAGUGAGCCAUACAUGCUUGGCUCACAGCUAUCCAGGAAGUGCCUGGUCUUUAUAAUGGUGAACCUCUUCACUGGCCCCAACCCAAAUAGCAAGCAGAUUGCUAUUGUCAGGAUCGCAGAGCAGAAAAUGCACAUGCAAAUUCUAGCAAGACACCCAAUGCAGCACAUCUUUGCUUCUCUUUCUCCUUUUCUUUUUUGUUUUUUUUAAGAUUAAGAUCCAAGAAGAGAGAAGAGGGUUUUCUCUUUCUCUCUCUUUUUUCUUUUCUUUGUCUUGUAUUUGGCCAAACAAAAGAUUUCUCUUUUUCCCUUUGGCCAAACGAAAGGUUUUUUGCACGAGAAUUUGGAAUUCCCUGAAGGUAGGGAACGCAAAUACUUAUGACAAUGUGUUUUUCGCUUUAAAGGAUUCGCAAAUAGUAUAAUUAGUAAAUUUUUGUAUGAUACGCGUAUGUCCGUAUUUGUAGAAAUCAGUUGACAAAUACCCUCGUUU
rnacentral:lncRNA from 1 species